UUCAGUACAAACUGUAGAAGUUACAGAAGAAACAAGCCAUGCAUAAAGCACACACACCCUUCUUCCAAAUUAACAAGCCAUGCAAAAAUCAAAUUCCCAUACAUCAAUAUUAUUUUACAUGUCUUUUUAACAGACUGAAUUCAUUAAGACAGAAGAGUACAUAACUCAGAGGUGAAUCCUACACAGCCACUUCUACAGAACCCCAAAGAUGUAAAAGCUCAGGAACAGACACCCAAGCACAAAUGCAGAGGUUGAAAGCCCUGAGGAACUGGGUAGCACCAAAUAAAUGCCAGAAGUAAAUGCUAUCACCAUUCCUAGGAUGGAAACGUAUGUGAGUAUGGCUGAAAAUUUUAUGAAACCUAGAAGCAGAUGAUAGUUUCGUUCCAGUGAAGCAAAAAAGUGGAGAAACACUACUGCAGUUGAGCAAUAGAAAGCUAUACCAUCUGACAACAAGAAGGUCUUGAAGGCUAUCUUUGUUGAGAGAACUGCUUUACCUUUGUCGGGGUCAUCAUCAUUGUACCCACCAGGUAGAGUAAAGCCUGCUGCAAAAGUGACAGUUGCUAUGAGCGUCGCGACCAAUAAAUGGGUGUUGGAAAUGUCCUUGAGAUGAUGAGAUCGAAGUUCCUUUUCUUUCAUGAUUUCUCUGUUCCUAUCAAGAAGUAUACUCAUAUUGCUAGCAGUACGAGACGCGCCAUCACUGCUCUUUUGAUGCCCAUUGUUAUCAGUCCGCAUAUUUGCAUUUUCCUGGUAUCCUUCAUUGUCACCAUUUUGCAUAUAUGCAUUGUCUCUAAUGACCAACCGGUGUAAACUUUGUCGACCACCAGCAUGCUCCAACUUCCUCAUGAUCCAAUACUGGCAGUCAUUUGAAAGGAAUUAGAAUGAACUUGUAAAGCAAAGCUAUGGGAAAAAUUUUGAAUCAAACAUUGAACAAAAUCUAUUGGCUAGCUCUUAAAGAGGACACCAAACACAUUGAAUAAUAUUAGCCAUCCAUUUCAGAUACUUUUUUCUUUUUCUUUUUUCUCUCUUUUUUAAGUAAUCGCUUAACAGAUUGAAUGGCUAUAAUCAUUCAACAUGAUCUUUCUGCAUCAAAUAUCUUCAGAGAGAUAUGAGAAGCCUCAUCAUGUCUAAUUAAAAUUUGUCUCAAACUUUACAGUAACGUACCUUGAUUUUUUCUCCAAUAUCCAUAUUUGACUGGACAAUGUCAAUAGUCUUCAAAUACUCAUUGUUCAUUGCCCUUUUGUCCACUCUAUCGUCUGCAGCCAACAUAAUCACAACCCCGUAAUGUCCAUAAAUGGCAGCUAGAUGAAGGGGUGUGUUACCUUCCUUAUCUGGCUCAUUUAUGAUACUUUCCAAGUUUGGCUUCUUCAGGAUAUACUUAACGACUCUAGCGUUUCCAUAUUGAGCUGCAACAUGAAGAAUUGUGCGGCCUUUGUUGUCAAUCAAAUCAUAAACAUCUGGAAGACAUGUGAUAAUCUGUUCCAUUACAUUAGUGUGGCCCUCUUUGGCUGCAAUGUGGAGAGCACAACUGUGUUCUACAUCCAAUAAGCCAGCAACAGAUUUGUCAUACUUCAGUAACUUCUCAGUUGCUUUGAGGUGACCCAAGUGGGCAGCAUAGUGAAGAGGGGUCCACCCAAAUUCAUCUGCCUUUUUUAUCACAUCCUUCUUCAUUUCAAAUAGUACUUCCAUAAUAUCUAUACAUUGGGAGAAGAAGGUUAGAAAUCUUAAAAAGAAGUGGAAGAAUCUACUUAAAUAGCAUUUCAUACCUCACCAAAAAUAUGUCAAGAGAAAUGGAAAAGGCGACCAAAACACCCUUUCCCCCAUAUUUUAAGCAUAAAAAUGUCCUCAAUAAUGAUCCCCUUCAUUUCCAAAAAAAAAGGAAAAUCCUCGUACAUCUUGAUAAAUAAACACAUGGCUUAAUCAGUUGUAUGGUUUGAAGGUCCGUUCUUUUUUCUUAUAUAGGAAUGGGUGUUCAAAUAGAGUGAGAAUGGAGAGAACUCUCCACUCAUAAGCUUUUUGAAGUAAAAAGGAAAAAGGAAAAAAUCCAACUUCUUAGUAAACAAGAAUGAAAAGGGCACAGGAUCUUCUUACUUUAAAAAGGGGACAAAAGGAGUCUUAUUACCAAUUUCAUCAUUCAAUUGUUUUCCUUUGAAGUGUCCUCGUACCCUAAAGAAAAAGUUUGUAACCACACGGCGAUGUUUUUCUAGAGAUAAUUCUGGAACUUCUUGGCCUGCAGCAUGAUAUAACAAACUAAAAUCAGUGAUAUCCCCAUAAAAAUAACAAAGAAGGCCAAAAAAACAAAGGCUUGCCUUUUAGUUUGUUCAUCUUGCAUAAGGGAUUGAAAAAAGGAAAAGGAAAGAAAGAAAAUUAAUGCAAAUUAAGUCUUUUCCCAAAAGUGGUCCAUAUUCAGAAGAAAUAUUUGUUGAAAUAAUUUUCAAAACUUCAUACCAAACAAGGAAAUAAUGAAAGCUGAUAUUUUUCAUCUACUUGAUUUCUUUUCUUCAGUUUCUUCCUCAUUUUUCUCUCCAGGCAUGGUGGUAAGACUUGGGUCUUAGAAAGUAUACACCCAAAUGCCUGAAGACUUGGGUUUUUUUUUCUUUUUUUUCUUUUUUUGUCACCAGAAUUAUCACUGGACGCCCUUUGCAUGCCCAAAUUAAACUUGAAAAAGUAAAACAAAUUAACAUUAGAAAUGAAGAUUUCAGAUAUACUCCUACUAACCAACAUUGGAUUGUGUUCCUGGAAACCAUUCUCCUCGUAGAUGCAGUCCAAGUCCAUUUACAGACAGCUCGGGGGGUAUGGGUUUACCCAGCUCAGGACCUACAAGUUAGGAAGAAUCGAAGAAAUCUUUUAAGUAUACAAAAGCAAGCAUGAACAUAAACUUUUAUGCAUAGAAAGAUUUUGACCUUUAUGGGUACGAAUCACAGCUGCAUGUAAAGCGGUCAUCCCUUUCGUGCCCUCACAGGAACAUUCAGAACUGUUUCCUUUCAACAGUUCGUCAGCAAUCUUGAAAAACCCCCUUUCCACAGCCAAAUACAAGGGGGACUCUUUAUGAUUAUUAACCAAAUCCAACAACUUAGGAUUUUCUUGAACCAACCGGUUCACCACCUCAAGAUGACCAUUCCUCACAGCCACAUGCAGUGCCGUAUCAGCCCUCCCAUUCUUCAUUUCCAGUGCUUGCUUGGCAUUUUUACUUUCAAGAAAGCACUUAACCAUGUCACUACAGCCAGUUCUCGAGGCGAUAUGCAGCGGAGUGUCGCCUUUGAAGUCAGCUCUAGUCAGAAGCUCUGGAAACUUCUCAACAAGAGCUUCAGCAAAGCCUAUGCACUUGAAAUUACCAGCAAUGUGAAGAGCAUUGCGUUUCUGGGAAUGUGCUUGGCAGGGAAUACUCUGGAGGCUAUGUGGCUUNNNNNNNNNNNNNNNNNNNNNNNNNNNNNNNNNNNNNNNNNNNNNNNNNNNNNNNNNNNNNNNNNNNNNNNNNNNNNNNNNNNNNNNNNNNNNNNNNNNNUGAAUUUUGUGGCACCUCCCGUGGAAACUUGCCACCAAAGCUCCCAAUUCAGAAAUGUUGUUUUUAAAAUAAUAACAGAAUUGAGUAAUUUUCUUUCUUUCUUAUCUCCAACGUUUUUGCUAAAUACUUUCACUUUUGGAGCUUGGUUUUAUAUCUGAUUUCGUAAGUCCUAAGAUAUCUACUACCAUGUACCUUGAAAGGUUGGUGUUGAAUCUAUUGAUUAAUUGUAUAUGUUAGGGCAAUGAGUCUUCAUCAUAAGUUAGCAAUUUUGUUCCUUUUAAUUUUUGGCUUAGGAAUCUUUUUAAAUAGUGACUUACUUUCUAUUAAAAGAUUCAAGGUUAUUGUUCGAUCAACUGGAAAGUCAUAUGUAAAUCUAAAAAGGUUUAGUUUAUGGCAAAUUAGGUGUUUAAAAGGGUUAAGUGGAUUGGUAUAUUUUUUAUUGAAUUAAAAAUGUUUUAUUUAAUAUUUUGAAAAUGCAAGGGAUGCUCGAGUGGUGGAAAUAGUGCUCAAGCGUUGGGACCACUCAAACACUUAUCAACUCAAACACUUAUCCAACACUUAAGUGAUCAAGGCACUCAAGUGGUAGGUAAGUGCGCUCGAGUGCUCAUCCCAAAUCUGCUAAAAUAUGGUAGAAUAUUUUUGGAUAAUUCAUGCAAAUUGAGUUUGGAAACUUCACUAUACCAAUCCCCUAAGGCUUGGAGGCCUAUAUAAACCCAUCUAUAACCCUUUUAGUAUGAAGUGUAGUAAAACCAAAUGGAAGAAUGAAUAAUCAAAUGGAAGAAUAAGACAAUUAAGGAGAAAGAUUACAUGAAGAUAGGGCCUUAUGCUUCAACAAUAAGUAGCCUUAUGUAUGUGAUGUUGUGUCCUAGAUUAGAUAUUUGUUUUACGUAAGAAUGAUGAGUAGAUAAUAAUCCAAUCCAAGUAUAGAGCAUUGGACAACGGUCAAGUAUUAAAACCAUAAACAAAAAGCUAAAAUCAUGUUCAUUGAUUCUAAUUUUCAUAUGAAAAUUUUAAAAAUAUAACAAUAAAAUAAUAUCACAGGAUAUUUUUAUUUAAUUUAUACAUGAUUAGAUUUAUAAAACAAAUAAAUAUUUUUUUAGUAUGAAUAUAUAAAAUCUUAUAUCCUAAACCUCUAAAAAAUUUUAUUAUAUAUUUAUUUUUAUAUUAAAUUUGUUCUCAUUAAUUAUUUAUUAUAUAUUAUUAUUUUUUAUUUAAAAUAUCCAUAAAUAAUUGAAAUCAAUAACUAUAAAAAGAUGAAAUGGUAACAAAUUUUGAAAUUAAAAAGAUUUCAUGAAGCCUAUACAUUAAAAAAAAAAAAAACAUUUCACAGUGAAAAAUAAAUAAAAUUCAUAUGGUACGGUUGAUUGUCACACGAUAAAGUUUUUAAAAAAGAAAAAUUGUUAUAAAAUUGUUAUAGUUCAUGGUAGGUAGGAGGAGAAAAGGGUAAUUUUAGAAUUUUGAUGAAUAUAACUAUUUAAGUGUAUAUUUAUAGGAUUAGCUUUUGUAAGCGAGAAGUCAAGUCAAACCUCUCAAAAAAAAUCUUUUUUUUUUAAGGUGCACAUGAUUAUACGAUUCUUCCUAUCUCAAGGCUGGGGCCCAUGCUGAAAUGAUAUGUCAACAACCCUCCUUAAAGUAGAGUUGUAAAAGCUACUUCCCUUCUAUGUCUCCGGCCGAUAUUUCAGUCUAGUGUGGCGGCUUUUAACGCUUCAUCUACCUAUCUUCUUUUACGUUGAGCGUGGAAUCCACCGUUAUUUGAACUUAGGAGAUACCCACACUGACUUUUCAAGUUUUGUCCAGUUGAGGAAACUUUGAAAAUUAUUUAGCAGAAGACUGAUAAUGCAACCUUCUUCAUAAGAUGGGUGAUUUUUGAACACUACUGUACUCUAACCAAAUACCAUUUGUGCUUAUAUGUGAUACAAUGAAUGGAAUAUCUUUUCCCCUUUAUUACGCAAAUACUUGUUUAAUAAGUUCUUAUUCUCCUGCGAGUAACUUGCGAUUGAUUGUUUGAAUAGGUAGGGAAUUUUUUUAAAUUAGUCCCCCAUCCAUGCCCAUUAGAGAUUCUGAAAUUCAUUUGUAACAUUUAUGAUUUUUUGGAAAAUAAAAGACCUACUCCAAUAAUACCAAUAUGAAUGGUACCACCAAACUUUCGUACGUAUCUAUAAAGAAGGAGAAGGUGCCCAAACAAUGUAUCCAGAAAAAAACAUUCAAGAAAAUAAUCCCAACUACUAGAUUUCAACAAGUAGGAUUUUGAGCAUAAAAGAAAUAAAAUAAAAUAAAAAUAAUGACGGCUUCGAAUGACAUCACUGACCCAACGCAGGCAGAGGAGUUAGGAGUUGCGUGGAAAUUGUGAAAGGCGUAGAUCACGCCACAUGGAAGCAGUGGAGACAUGGCCAGUAGGAUAAUUAAUAUCCAUGUGGAUAACAGAGUGGAUCAAAACAAUGCCAUUCCCAUCAUGAAUGAACACUCAUUUACUUCUGCGUUUACUUGACUUUUGAGAGAUUUGCAAAACAUGUAGAGAGAGAUAUCACUGGAAGAGUUCUCUUCUCAUUAAUCAUGUUAUAAAACUGAUGAGUUAAGGCUAGUCUAUAAUUUCCAUCAGUGGUAAUAAAAUAAGUAUGCAGCUGUUUAGAAAGAAAGAUCAGCAUGGGUGGUUGCAACGCGCAACAAAAAGUCCCAUCAGACUUCUCAUCCCUGGGAAUCUUACACUCGCUAGGUAGACUAAUCAAACCAGGAUCCAACCUGGUACAAACUACUGUUUCAACCACUCAAUAUUUAAGGAAUCACUUCCUAGUCACUAAGAACAUAAACUAAUCAAACCCAACCUGGCACAGGCUACCUUAUCGACUAGUCAGUACUCAAGGGAUCAUUUCCUAGUCACCAAGAUAGUUAAUUUAGAAAAUCUUACACUGAAAAAUGACCUAUUCAUCUGCAUGAGCAUAUGCUUUUCACAUCCCACUGAAUAUAAUCUUAACAUCUGUUUCAUUAGUAUGAUUUUCUCUUAAGCUAUUGACUUCAAUAUUUACUAGGAAACGAUAUCAAAGGGAAAAAGAUUACCAAUUCAGAAAAAUGUAAAGCAAGGUACAAAAUACUAGAUGGAGAUAUCUCAAAGAAAGAAAUUCUUUUCCUAUAGCUAAACUAAUGCACACGAUCAAAUCUAACAGUGACAUUUGUUCUUGGAGCCAGACAGAAAGCCAAGUACAGAUACAGAGUGUUUUCAAGAUGGGAUUAUUUGGUGUUUUUAACUAUUUAAGUUGAAUGAUGAAAACACAUGCACUUCAACAAUGACAAACCAAAUUGGUUAGUAUCCUGCUUAAUAACCGUAGUUUGCUCCAUUCACCGGGCCAUAGCCUCCAGUGUGGCUUGCAUGUGCUGGGUUGGAUGCAGGAGAUGCAUACAUCGAACCAUGAGCUGCAUAAGAAUUAUAGCCUGGGUCAGUAGAUCCACCAGUUUGGGCCUGUGCUGGUGCAGCAGCUUCAGCCAUAAAAUUCUGCAACACAAACAAUCAUUACAAGCAGACAAGUCCAAUUUGAUUACAUAAUGAAGCAUUGACAAAGAAUAAACAAAAUUUUAAUGGAAAAAUCAACUUUUUUGGUUGAGUAAGAUCCCAAUAAAACAAUAAUUAAACAAUUCUAUAUUAUCAGUAAAAAUCAAUGAUGAAGCUAAAUGGAAAAGAAUGAAGUCCAACUGUCUGAAUUGCUGACCACACUUAACAUUUCAAUAAUAUAUAUCCUAUAAAAAAAAUUCUUUAAUUCUUUAAUUCUAGUAAUAAAGUCGGUCCCACCAUACCUACCCCCACACGCACCCAAACACCACAUACAAGGAGACAUCAGAAACAAUGAUCUAAUGCUAAGCAAUGUCAUUAUGCAAAUGGAAACUGCAAUAUUAGCAAAGACAAACCAACAACUUGGUAUCAAAAACAGGGAGGAAGAGUGCCUGUAUCAGUUGAUGAGAUGCUUGGACUUGGGAAGCAGUUGCAUUGAUUCACGUGGCUACAAAAGACUCUUUAGGAGAAAGUUGAGGAGUUCACAUGUGUAUAGGAAGAUUGAUUCACAAGGCCCUUGAAAAUUUUCUAUUUAAAGCUCUUGUAAGGAAAAUGGGAGACAUAUCUUCCUUCUCCAUCAUUCCUUCUUUUCUCAUUUCUUUUUUCUUGAUAUAAAGCUAAGGAUUCUCUCAUUUCUUUCUUCUUCAUUGUAAGUUACUUGAUUGAAGCCAAAAUAUGUGCUCCAAUGGCACAUAUAUGAUGUUAUAAUUUAUGUAAUAUAAAAAGUUCAAAUCAUCCAACUUAACUUAAUUUCAUGCUAUGGCCAUAGUUAUGGAUCUAACUUUUAUUUUGAGCCUAAUUCUAAGUUUAAGGGAUGACAUAAAUGGAUAAGUGCAAAAGUCAUUAUCAACCAAGAAAGCAGAAGGGGUUAAACUAUAACUAAGAAACUCAAGACUUAUGAACCAUGAAAGUCCAAGAAAGGGUGUAAGAAGCAAGCCAUAGGCAUGAAAUACCAAUAGUAGAUGUUAUGGAUUGAGAUAGAGGGCAAGAAACCAUAAUGGAGGAGGUUUGAAGCAAAUGUAAUCAAGUUCACAUGAAAAUUUGGAACUCAAAAUUUGGCAAUAACAUUUACUUUGACUUUGAGAUAAAGUUUAGAAUGCUUUUUGAGGUCAAUUUUGGGAAAACUAGAUAUUGUUUCGAAGCUUGAGAAGUCAAAAGUCCAACACUUCAAACGAUGCACAAAUCGGAGUUAAAAUGAGGAAGUUAUGUGCAUUUGAAGCAAACUAGGGAAAGAAAAAUGUUGAGUUUGAAAUUGACAUCCUGAAUUCGAAAUGGUUUUUGGCUAGUUAAAACUCAAAAGGAAUGCAAGGAUACUUGUCAUAGAGGCUAAGUUUUAUCCUCCUACCUAUUUCAAAUAGGAGACAAAUUUCAAACCCAAAAACAUGCAUGGUGGGCCAUUUAAAACUCAAAGGAAUGCAAGGAUACUUGUGGCAGAAGCUAAGUUUGAAUCCCCCUACAUAUUUUGAAAAAGAGACACACAUUCCCAACCCAAAAAUAUAGUGAACAUGUAUGGGCAGUGUGUGAGUUCUAAAUUCACUGUGAAUUUGUGGAUGUCACCAUUUUUUGUAAUAAACCUUUCGGAUAUCUAUCUAGCCUUCACAAUUAUUAAAAAGUAUUUAUUCCAAUAAUUAUGAUUGUAACCCUACAAAUAAGGUUAAGAAUAUUAGGGGAAAUUUAUAACUUCAGAGUUCACUUUCUUAUCUAAUUUUCCUCUCCUCUUUAUUGUCUUCAUUUACAACAUCAAAAAAAUUAUUAUUGUUUCAUCUACAAAUUGUCUAAAACUCAUUAAAUUCAGAGCAUAGAAGUAUUGAACAUUCUCAUAUACAUUUGUUUGAGGCUGUGAUAACAUACAAUUUUACAUUAUAUAUUAAUGGAUAUAUUCCUACCGUCAUAUCUUGCCGUGGAUCACACUAUCAAACCUAGAAGUAUUCGAAGGAAUUACCAAAAACCUUCUAUUAAGUAAAUACGCAGAGAUUUUAGAGUUAAAUACAGGCAGUUCCUUACUAAGAGAGUAUUCCAUCUAUACAUGAACUAAUGUAUAUAUUGUCUAUAAAUUCAUUGAGAAAUUAAGAAUAUACAAUUAAUAUCACAUUCUAUUCUAUGGUUCUACAGAAUCCCAAAGAUGUAAAAACUCAAGAAUAAACACCCAAGCACAAUUGAAGUUGUUGGAGUCGGGGAGGAAUCAGGUAGCAUCACAUAAAUGCCUGAAGUAAAUGCUAUCACCAUUCCCAGUAGAGAGAUGUAAGUGAGUAGGGCGGAAAAUUUUGUGAAACGUGGAAGCAAAUGAUAGUUUUGUUCCAGUGAAGCAAAAAAGUGGAGAAACACAGCUGCAGUUGAGCAAUAGAAAGCCAUAGCAUCUGUUAUCACAAAGACUUUGAAAGCUGCCUUUGUUGAUAAAACUGACUUACCCUUGUUUGGGUUUUCUUCAUUGUACCCACCAGGUAGAGAGAAACCAGCUGCAAAAGUUACUGUUGCUAUGAGGGUUGCCACCAGUAGAUGGGAGUUUGAUACAUCCUUCAAAUACUUAGAUGUGAUCUGUUUCUUCUUUACAACUUCAUUAUUCCUGUCACGAAGCGAUUCACUUGCAUGAAGUGAUGUUCUCUCUCUGUCCUCUCUAAGCUCUAACUCAUUUAUGCCUUCAUUGUCAUUGAUUGUUCUGCCUGUGUUCUCGCUAACGAUCAGCCGCUCGAGACUUUGUUGAGCACCGCCAUUCUCCAACUUCCUCAUGAUCAAAGACUGGAAAGUUUUUUUAAAGAACUUAGAAUAAAAUGUUGUUUUUAGCUACCAAGGCACAUAUAUGACCAGAAAAUUCAAUUAAGGCAACAUAUUUCUUCUCUUUUUUUUUUUUUUCUUUUUUUUCAAGUUUCACAUGUGUAAAGAGAAAUAAAGCAGUGGAACCAAUGCAUAAUCUAAAAUCAUCAGCUUUCUAUGCACAUACCUUUUUCAUUUCUCCCAGAUCCAUAUUUGAUUGGACAAUGUCGAUAGCCUUCCAAUAUUUCUUGUUUGAUGCCUUCUUAUCCACUCUACGAUCUCCAGCCAAAAUCCGGACGCUGUUGUACUGUCCGUGCAUAGCAGCUAGAUGCAAAGCCGUGUUGCCUUGAUUAUCUGACUCAUUUAUUAGGCUUUCCCAUCUUGGUUCUUUUAGAGUAUACUUCAUCACUAUAGACUUCCCACAUUGGGCUGCAACGUGAAGAAUGGUCCGACCUUUAUUGUCAACCAAAUUAUUAGAACAUGGACAGCGUUUGAUGAUCUCUGCCAUCAUAUCAGGGUAGCCUUUUUUAGCUGCUAUGUGAAGAGCAGAACUAUCUUCUUUAUCCCACAAGUAAGCAACUGAUUUAUCACAUUCCAGCAAUUUCCUAGUCGCUUCAAGAUGUCCCAAUUGUGCAGCAUAAUGAAGGGGAGUCCACGUAAAUAUGUCUGUUUCUGUGACCAUAUCUUUCUUUUUGUCCAGUAGUAUUGCAAUAAUGUCAUCUAGCAAUUUAGACCAAGAAGAAGAAAUACAAUUAAAACAGACUUUUUCAUCCAGAGUACUUUUAGAAAAUAUAUUACGUUCUUGUUAUUUUAAUAUCAGAUAACGGCUCGGGAUUACUUCUCCAUGAGAAAGAUCAGGCAUUAUGCAAUGAAUUUUCCCAUCAAUUGUAAAGAGGGUAGCUACUAGCCAGUGUGGCAUAUAUUGUAAAAGCAAUUGUGUGAUUUUCUUUCCCUGGUCUUAUUACUUUUCUAGUUCAGUUAAGCUCUCCACCUAUCAAUUAGAGAAGGAGAAGUAAAGGUUUGGGCUUGGAUAAGUAUUCUUCAAAAACAAUUCUAAAAAAUAGUUUAUAAGAACUAUUGAAAACCAUUUUCUGAUGAUAUUUUAUAAAACAAAAGUUCUAAUGGCUGUAUUAUUAUGCUUGGUUGGAACUAAUGAAUACAAUUCUGGUGACUAUCUGUCAUAAGUAUAGGGAGGCCAUGCACUCCAUGUAGAUUUGUUCCGCGUCUGUCAGGAAUCAGGAAUUAGUUAAUGGGGCUCCGAAUGUUCUACUAGCCUUGCCAAAAAAUACUUCAUGAGGCUAAACUCAUCCACACUAAAGUGGUGUUUUUUUUUUUACUUAAUUCUAAAUAGAACUUUAAUGCUUAAUAGCGUUAAGUAUUAAGUUAUUUAUUUUUAUAAUACUUUAUUUCUAUUAAGCAUUAAAAAGUAAAAAAAAAAAAUCAACAUAUCACUUUUUCUAUUCAAUAAAAAGUUUAUAAUAAAUCAUGAAAAAAUAAAAAAACAAAUGAUCUAAAGUCUGAAAGCAAAUUGCUUUUAGCAAAAAACUAAAAAAACACUCUCUAAGUCUAUAGAUUUAUGUAUUCUUGGCUUUGUAUAUCUUAGACAUGUUGGAUAAUGGUGUAACAAAGAUUUCUCCAUUUUUUUCUUAUGCAUUUUCUUCUACAAUAUUUUUCAAGUAUCCCGUUGUAGGGAUAUUUACACAUAGUGCAAUUUUGCUUUAUUUUUGUUGGCAACUUCUUCUCUCUGUUGUAUUAUUCCAAUAUUUACACAUAGUGCAAUUUUGCUUUAUUUUUGUUGGCAACUUCUUCUCUCUGUUGUAUUAUUCCAAGUACCUUAUGUUACGUCUGACUCUAAAAAAUUAUUAAAUGAAGGAAAAAUAUCAAGAAACUUAUUAUUAUUAUUAUUAUUAUUAUUAUUAUUAUUAUUAUUAUUAUUAUUAUGUUUAGUUUAUCAAAAAUUAUUAAAGGAAGGAAAAAAUUGUUAAAAAAAAUAAUUUUUAUUAUAAAAAAAUUAGAAAAAUAAGUACAAUUAAAAUAGGUUAAAAAAAUUAUAUAUUUCCAAAUUAUUUUACAUUUGUGUAAAAAGGAAGAAAAAAAAAAUGAGAAAAAUGAAUUUGAAAAAAUAUUAUUAAUAAUUUUUUAACUUUCAAUUAAUUUUUCAUCUUCCUUUAUUUUUGUUUAUGUUUUCCUUGUCUAGUAUAUUCCUUCAAAAUUUCUAAGAAUCAAACAUGUGGGUUGCGGACUGGUUCGCUGGCCUGCUGGCCUGCUUGCCCGGUCCAAGCAUGAAGUUGGGUUGACCUCUAAUGGUCCUUUGGUGGACCAACCCACCAACCUAACCAAACGACGGUUUCUACCUUGGAAACCUUGGAUCAAGUGUCUGGGAUUUGAAUAAUAUCUUCUCCUGGGUUAUUAAAUUUUUAUUAGUUUUCAAUGGUUUUCUAUUUGUAAUGAUUAAAUUUUUAUUAUAAAAAUGGCUCAUAAAAACGUUGAUUAUCCUAUAACAAUGUUCCAGAAGCAAGAGAUUAUUUACCAUAGCUUUAAACCGCUAAUUUUGAAUAUCGAAAUAAGUAGAAAUAGAAAUAAAUACUAUUAUUAUGUUUAACUUUAUGAAAAUUGUUGUAAAUAAAGUGGUGAAUGACCACAUUGAUGGUCAUUUAUGAACUCCAUUUACUCAUCUUUAAGAUGAGUCAUGGGAGUUCAUAUUAUGAAGCCUAUAAAAGGCUUUUUACACCCCAUGUAAGCAGCAUCCCAAAAAAAAGAAAGAAAUUCUCUUCCUCUCAUUCUCUCUCUCUCUUUCUUUCAUUCUCUCAAUUUUCUCAACUCUCUUCUCUGAUUCCUUCUUCCCAUUAUAUAUAUUGUUAAAGUAAGAUAUAUUUUAUCUCUACUACUUUAUUUGUGUUGCAUUUAUCCUUGUUUUACAACAAAAAUUAUAUUUUAGAAUUAUUUUUAUAAAAAUUAUGGUGAAUAUUUGAAGGCACCCAAAGCAUACUAACUUGUACUUAAUAAAGACAAGACCAUAUUGAAUGUUUUGAUAUUGGUUUAUGAAACUACUUAGAGGAGAGUGAAUAGGCGAUCCUCUGCUGACAACCCUCAAAUUGAAGUUUUAAAUAUUUUUAUUAAUUCUUAAUUUAAUCAAUAUAUGUAAUUAAUAAAUAAAGCAAAGAAUAAUCUUACACUUGACAUGUGAUGUACAUGGAAAAUCAUCUAUAGAAUCUAUAAAAAAAACUUGACGAUGAAAAAUUCAUGGGUCAAUUGAUCGUAGAGCAAAUUCACUAAUUUUGAUAGAAUAAAUACAUAAUCUUACCUAGAUGAAAUACUACCUUCCUUCAAGCAUCUUACACAGGUCAGUACUUACACUUGCUUUCAUGUUCAUGAUGCAAAACCCAUAUAUUCCUUAGUGAAUACCUUAAAAGUUUAAGAGAUGUGAUCAACCACCAUGAGCAACUUCAAACAAGAUAUGAGCUUUUGGAGUAUCAGGAAUAUGCAAAAGAUAAUAACAAUAAAUUGUAGGGUAUGAUGAUGUAUGAAAGUACAAAGUUGAGCAAUGUAUGAUGGCAAGAAACUAACUAAAAAAGAUUUGAAAAGCUGACAAAUAUAGGAUAUUUAUGCAUAACAUCAAGACCGCUUAAGCCCAUUUUGUGGGCACUCGAGCGCUCCUUGUUAAUUUUAGCUUUUCUAAUUUAGCUUCAAGCCCAUUUUGAAUCUAAGUCCACUUUACACCUUAUGCAUGUCAUUAUAUUGUAACAAGAUAACCCUACUUACCUGAACAAUCAUGUGAAUAAAUAAAAAAUGAUCACAUAUCUUCAAGGCCAAUGCAUACGUAGAGUUGAGUAAAAAAAAUAUUUGGAAUAAAAUUGUUAACUUAAACUAAUUAGUCUAGAUCACUAACACAAAUAAUAUCAAAUUUAGUUAAAAUACAAAUGCACCUUCCCAUGAGCAACAUUAUUAUGUUUUACCUUCUUCAUCUUUUACAAGUUUUUAGUUAUAGAAAUAAUGAGAUUAAAAAAUUGAAGGGUAAAUUGCUCCGAUGACUAACUUGAGUGCCUUGGGGCAAUUUUUCUUUGCUUUACAUAUCUCAUAUACCUUAUUAUUGGGAGAUUAUUAAAGAUCGAAUCACAAUAGGACCAAUCCUAAAAUAAAUUCCCCAAAAUCAUUGAUAUUUGAGGCUAUGUAAUAUUUUUGCUCCAACAAGUUUAAUAUUUUGAAUAAGUUUAUCAUACAUGCAUGGAUGUACUUCAUUCUACUACUUGACUAGGGUAGCAAUCAAAAUAGAAGCAAACCUAAAAUCAAUGCUCCAAUAACGUUAAUGUUUGGGGCUUCAUAAUUUUUUUGCUCCAAUAAUUUUGAUAUUUUAGACAAAAUUAUUUUACAUGGAUCGACUUGCUUCUUUAUGUUUAAGUAAAGGGGGAGUUUUUCUUGCCUAAAUCUUGACACUUAGGGGGUGUUUGGUACGUUGGAAUAGGGAAUGGAAAUGAAUAUUUUGUUUCCUUUCCUAUUUCUUAGUGGAAUGGAAUGAAUUUGAUGAUUCCAUUUCUAGCAUUUGGAUGAACUUAGGAAUGCAAGAUUAGAAUGAUUAUUUGUUUCCAUUCCAAUGUUUGAUAAUAAUAGGAAUGGAAAUAAAAAUAUAUAAAUUUACAAUAAUAUCCUUUCAUAUAAUUUAAAAUAUUUUUUAUUUUUACUUUUAUUUAAAAAUAAAAUAAAAUUUGAGAGGUUUUUUGUUAUUAAAUAAUAAGACUAAAAAAUAUAUAUACUCGAUAAAUAAAAAAUUAACCAUAAAAAAUCGUAUAACCCUAAUGCACAAAUAUUCAAUUAUUAUUUUUAUUAAAAAUUUGAAUAAUUUGUCAUGCUUAAGUAGUUAAAUAUUUGUUUUUUUUUUCCUCAAAAUUUUAAAUAAUUUGUCAUGCAAAAAAAACUAUAGAAUUAUAUUUUACUAAGAAAAAAAAGGAGAAAAAAAAUAUAAGAACAUAUAAAUUGUCAAAGCUACCAAAUACUUAUUUCUUAUUUGCAAAAAAGGAAAUAAAAAAACACAAACUUCAUUCUAGUUCUCAAUAUAAGUACCAUAUCUACUAAAAUCUAUAACUAGUAUAUCCUCCAAAAUUAAGCCAUCAAAUCAAUAAAAAAGUUCCUAGGAAAGUGAUGAAACAAAAUCCAACCUAAAAUUUCUAUCAAUCCAACCUAAAGACAAUAAAUCAACAAGGAUGCAACAUGGAGAUUUAUGGGGUUUGAAGAAGUUGUUUCGCCCAUUCAACCUUGAGAUCUUCAUCUAAAUUGAACAAAAGUUUGACUUUCAUUGGGUCACUCAUAAUAAUUUGACUUAACUUCAAUAUNNNNNNNNNNNNNNNNNNNNNNNNNNNNNNNNNNNNNNNNNNNNNNNNNNNNNNNNNNNNNNNNNNNNNNNNNNNNNNNNNNNNNNNNNNNNNNNNNNNNNNNNNNNNNNNNNNNNNNNNNNNNNNNNNNNNNNNNNNNNNNNNNNNNNNNNNNNNNNNNNNNNNNNNNNNNNNNNNNNNNNNNNNNNNNNNNNNNNNNNNNNNNNNNNNNNNNNNNNNNNNNNNNNNNNNNNNNNNNNNNNNNNNNNNNNNNNNNNNNNNNNNNNNNNNNNNNNNNNNNNNNNNNNNNNNNNNNNNNNNNNNNNNNNNNNNNNNNNNNNNNNNNNNNNNNNNNNNNNNNNNNNNNNNNNNNNNNNNNNNNNNNNNNNNNNNNNNNNNNNNNNNNNNNNNNNNNNNNNNNNNNNNNNNNNNNNNNNNNNNNNNNNNNNNNNNNNNNNNNNNNNNNNNNNNNNNNNNNNNNNNNNNNNNNNNNNNNNNNNNNNNNNNNNNNNNNNNNNNNNNNNNNNNNNNNNNNNNNNNNNNNNNNNNNNNNNNNNNNNNNNNNNNNNNNNNNNNNNNNNNNNNNNNNNNNNNNNNNNNNNNNNNNNNNNCAUCCAACUCUUGUUCCAAAGGAUCCACAGGCAUCUCUCUUUUAAUGAGAUUAUGAAUAAGACAACAAGCAAGAAUGAUUUUGCAUUGUGUCUUUAUUGGAUAGAAACAAGGGCUCCUAAGUAUAGCCCAACGUAGUUUAAGCAAACCAAAACAUCUCUCGAUAACAUUUCUUGCUGCAGAAUGCUUCAUGUUGAAAAACUCUUCAUGGGUUGUUGGCAUGUGUCCAUCUCUCCAAUCAUUGAGAUGAUAUCUUUGCCCUCUAUAUGGGGCAAGAAACCCUUUUCCAUUUGUAUAGCCAGCAUCAACAAGAUAGUAAUAACCUAAAAUGAAUAUUCCAAAACAUAUUUUAAAAAAUAUAUCAUAUAUUAAAAAGAAAUCAAUUGUUUAUAAAAACCAUAUAUUUACCAUGUGGAACUGUCAGUCCAUUUCUCCUACUAACUGCAUCUCGAAGCACUCGAGAAUCAGAGGUUGAUCCCUCCCAACCUGGCAAUACAUAAAUAAAUUGCAUGUCUUGAGAACAAACUCCUAAGACAUUUGUUGCAAUUUCAUUCUUCCUUGUUCGAUAUCUAGGUUUGUCUCCCUCACGUACAUUCACUUUAAUGUAAGUUCCAUCUAAAGCUCCUAGACAAUUCUAUUUAAAUAAAAACAUUAGUAUUACUAUAAUAUGAAAUAAUUAAACCUAUAUAAACUUAAUUUUAUAAUUUAUAUACCUUAAACCAUUUCCAUCUCUCAUCUGUGGAGUUCUUAGAGACUGGUUCCGGUUUUUUGAGUAAUACUCCUUGUAGGCGAAUGACUGCAUUCAAUACUGCAUUGAAAUGUCUACUAAUAGUUUCUCCAGACCUUAAGAAUCGAAAUUUUAUAACUCGAUUCUUUACAUGAUGUGCAAGAAUAUGUAAGAAUAAUGCAACCAUUUCUUCUACAUCAAUAUAUUUUGAAUCCUUUAGUUUACCAAUAGUACGAAGCAUAGAACAUAACGUGGUGAAAGUAUGUCUAUCCAUCCUAAGUUGCUCCAUACAUGCUACAUCACUCCCAUGAAUCAAUCGAUUAAGAUUUUCAACUCGCAAAAAUUCUCUAUUUGCAGGUCUUUACAUCAAUGUUCGCCUCUGAUAAUGUUUCCUUGUAGUCGUACAAAGUGCAGUAAGCAUAUUAAGUAUGUUCACUAUAAUAUAUAGAAUCAGGAUAAGUUGUUCUUUUCUUUCCAUCUCAAUGAGGUCCAUGGCUAUGCAAGAGUCCUAAUCAUAAAGGAAGAAAACACCAUAAUAUUUAAUAUUAUUAAAUAUUAAUGUUCUAUUUAGAAUUAUGUAAAAAAAUAAACACCACCUAACUUUAAAUGCCAAUUUCAAAUUUUUAUUUUUAUUUUUUUGUAUAAAAGAAAAAUAAAAUAAAAUUAUAUAUUUUCAAAUUAUUUACACUUUACCUGAGAAAUGAAAAAUAAGCUUUAAAAGAAACUUCUCUUUUCCUUUCAUUUUUCUUUCUAUUUUUUUCCUUCUUUCUAAGAUGUUUUGCCUCAAAAUUUUCAACAACUGCCAUUGCUUGUGGAUGUGACUGUUUGAGUACAUAAUCAUUUCCCCUUACACUUUAAGCCAAUAAAAAGGGAAAAAGGUGGUAUGGGCAAUACAAAUAAGAAACUACGGCAGAGCCGAUGGUAUGGACAAUCAUCCUAUUGUGUAAUGAUAAAUUGCAACCCGGGGAAAGUGAAAGAAACCCAUUGUCAUUAAAACGAUAUGGACUUAAAUUAGCUCUGCAAAAAUUACCAUAUAAACUUUAAACCAAGGUUGGCUAGUGGGUGCUUGACAGCAGGUUAAUUUCAUUUCAAACAUUUUUCACCAUAAUCUAUGCAUUCUUUCUACCUGUCUAAUAUUAUAGUUCUUGAAUUGCAACUUUCAUAUUAAUGAUCUACGAGGUGAUUUGUGUGACACGAGAGAUAAAAGAAUUCCCGUAGGUUCUUAAAUAAAAUAAAGAAUUCUAAUUAUCACAGUCACGGAGAGCAGAACUGGGUGGUGGGGUGGGUGUGGUAAGAAGACUUCGUAUUACCGGAAUGACAACCCCAUGAUUUACUCAAUUUAAACAUAGCAGGAAGACAGUCUAAGUUGAUAAAGGAAUUAUGCUACAAUUAGUAGCUAUACCAGAGGCCUGAGUCAAAUCCCACCAGGGUCAAGGUUGGGGUUUUGUGAAUAUGGGGGGUGGUCCUCUGUGGAAAAGAAAGUUAUCUACUCCGACUUCUCAACAGCAGUACCAGAUUAUACUUAAAACUAUUAUCAAAUUGAAACAUCCGUUUAAUUUUAGAAUGACAUUAUCCUAACCAUUAAAAAUUUUAAAUAUUGCAAAGACGUGAAAUCGAAAAAUCUUUUUCCAACCAUUUCAAUUUUUCUCUCCAGUUUUCAUUAAUACAAUAUAAAGAAACAUCAAAUACAAGAUUCCAAACACAAAUUAAUAAAAAUAAAUAAAUAAUAAUCGAUUUAUAAAGAGGAAGAAACACAUAUAAAGAAGUAGAAGAAAAAAAAAAAAUAAGGUAAACCUGAUCGGAGAUGUAGAAGGGAGUUUUUAGAACUUAGUUGCAGCAAACAAUGACGAAUCCUAGACCCAACAAUCAAAAUGAACAUCCAAAACCCUAUAAAUUAGAAAUUGAUUUUUUUUUUUAAAUAUAGUGGAAGGUUUAAUUAAUUCAAUUUGGAAGAAUCACUUGUUGUAGAGAAUUGGAUGAUGAAUGGGUUUCUAGCUUUGCAAAGAAGAUAAGAAGUGGACGAUAAAUGGAUUUCUACCUUUACAAAGAAGAUAAACAUCUGGAAGGUUUAAUUAAUUCAAUUUGGAAAAAUCACUUGUUGUAGAGAAUUGGAUGAUGAGUGGGUUUCUAGCUUUGCAAAGAAGAUAAGAAGUGAACAAUAAAUGGAUUUCUACCUUUACAAAGAAGAUAAACAUCGGGUUUGAAGAACGAGAUAAGAGGGUAAAAUAGUAAUUUAGGUUAUUUUAUAUUAUCAAAUUGAUUUAAUGAAUCAGAAUACCACCUAUUUUUUAUGAAUGCAAAUCCGACUUAUAAGUUGAAUUUGAUUUCUGCCGGAAUAAUUUUUUAUUCCGUUUCCAUCAUCUUAACAUUUAUCCAAACAUAGGAAUAAGAGAAAAAAAGAAUGAGAUGUCUAUUCCCACUUCCUAUUCCCAUGUACCAAACACCCCCUUAAAGAUACUAAUAUUUGUGUUUUGAACAUGAGAUAAGGGACAAAUCACUAUCUUUAACUUGAAUUUAUGUUAAUGCAUGCUUUGAGAACUAAUACGCCAUCUUUUUUUUUUUAGUAUAAAAGCAUAAGAAGGGAGGAAAUGUAAGCAACUUGAUGUAAUUCUAGCAUUUGGGAUGGAAUGGAGGAGCAAAGAUGCAACAAGAUUAGCCCUAGUGCUUGCUAAUGUAAAUAAAUAAAUAAAUAAAUAAAUAAAUAAAUAAUAAAAGCGAAAAGGCAAAAGAAAACUACAAAGGCAUUCUAAAUUGGUUUAGGAGUAGCUAAAAGUGAUUUGGAGAAGCCAAAAUCGAUUUCAAAAGUUGAUUUAAUCAAUGUUAAAACCAAUUUGUGAAUGAGAAUUGUCAUAUUAAUGGAGUCUCACAUCAUAAAAGUGAUUUAGAGGAGGCUGAAAUCGAAAUUCCAAUCUUAGGUUAAAAGUUAAAACUGGUUUCCAUAUUGAAAUUUUGAUUUCAUCUUGUUGAAAUCAGUUUUUCCAAAAUUUACUGCAUAUGCCAAAUCAAAAUUUCACACUUUGGUUAAUUUGGUAUCAAAAUCUAGAUUUUAGGCAAUUUUGAUGUAAUUUCAACUAAUUAAGUUAUACGUUUGCUAUGGUGGCCAAUGAGAUUAGGCCAAGUGCCUUUUUAGGGUUAAGAUAUUUAUAUUUUCAUUUUUUUUUCAAGGUUACAAAGAUAACAUUUUUACAAUUUUGUUUGUAGUCACACUUUCUAGACUUUUGUUUCUUUCUUUUUAUUAAUAUCCCAUUUUUUUUCUUAUGGAAUUUGGGUGUGAAAUCUCAAUAUAAGAGAUUAAGAUCUUUAAUUUUGGAGAUGUAGCAUGAAGAUACAUGGAAGAUUUGGACAAAGAGCAUAAGAAAAGUAAUGUCAGAUUAAUUGAUCAUUAGGUUUUCAUGUUUACCUUAUUAGAAUGAGAUCAUCUAUGAAAUUAUGGUUAGACUAAGAUCCUAGUGAUACUUCUAAAACCAUUUGAUCACUAGUUAACAUAAUUUGAUAUACUAUCAUGAUUGAAUUGAAAAUUGAUUGUACAAGAUAGAUGAGUGGUACGAAUGUAUAAAUAUAAACCUCAAUUAACCAAUCUAUAUUAUUUAUUUUAGUGAAUCAUGUGAAAAGAGUAUAAAUGUCUUAAAAUUCAAUUUGAUCCCACAUUGACUUUGGUCCUAAACCCUAGAUCUAUGAUUUACUCUCUCUCUCUCUCUCUCCUUCUCUUCUUAUGAAUUUGAAGCUAAAUUUUGAAAACUCCAGAGUUGUUAUCAUAGAUUUGUCUUAAUCAAUUUAAUCUAAAUUCGGUCUUUUUAGAAAAACUUCUCUAUUAAAUUCACAAUUUUGGGUAUAAGAAUACUUUGUUCAAUACAUAAAUAGUCAAAUGUGUUAGUCUUUAAAGGAUGACAUCUAGAUACCAUACACCAUAACUAUCCUCUCUUUGUUUUUUCUUGGCUAUGAUUUCUAUAAUAAUAAAGAUUUUCGUUCUAAAACAUAGAGUAUCGAUAAAAAAAAAGUGUCAUUUUUGUUAGAGAUUGAAGAUUGUCUUAGUUUUUAGGAGCUUAGAGCUUGUUUUACGACGUGAUUUAAAAAUAGCUUUCUAUUUUUCUAAAAAAAAAUGACUUCUAAAAUUUAAUAGCAUUGUUUAGCAAUUGUUCUCUAGAAAUAGUUCAAAAAAAAAAAAUGAACGUUCUCUUCACUUGCUUUUAAAUACAAUAAGAGAACAUAGAGAAAUAAGAAUAAUAAUAAUUAAAAAAAUGAUAAUAUAAGAUUGUGGACCCCGCACUUCUGCACAUGCGUUCCACUCGAUGACGAAACUCGUUGUUUUUAUUUGUUUGGUGAAAUUUUGAUUUUUAGAAAAGAUUUGGAGUCACCACUUAUUUUUAUUUUAUUUUUAAGGGAAAACAAAAUAAGAAAGAAAACUCUAAGUGUGACUCCUUAUUUGGAAAAGACAGUCUAUGGAAAACCAAACUUGGGUUUGGGGGUCAAGUUACUUAUUGGGAAGGUAUGGUAAGGACCAUAACACCCCUCCAAACCCCUAAAAAUGGGUCUCUACUAAAUAAGGUGAAGCAAAUGUGGAAAUUGACAAGGAAAUUUUUAGCCCAAGGGUUCUCCUAAUCGGGUUUUGAUGGUAACAAACCAUGGUUAAGUGACUAAUUGGUUUAAAUGUUUAAGAAUCUCAGGUAUAAACUCGAAAAUUCAUCAAAGAACCAAAUGGAUAAAAGAUCGAGACGCUUGGAAGACUUGUGAUCAUAGGAAACUAAUGUAAGAUGAAUGCAUGAGUGCACUUAGGAUUUUCAUACGUUUCAUACACCUUAGAAAACUCGGUUUAUUCUUUAAAAUGUCGAUUUCAUUAAAACCUGAGUUUUUAACUAAUUUACCUUAGGCAAAAUGUUUCAAAAUUGGCUUAAUAAUUUACCUAAAGACCUUGCCUAAGUGUUAGAAAAAAAAAAAAGAAUCAAAAAAUAGGUUUUUCGGGGCCAAAAAGGCUCAACCGGUCGAGGCUAUGGCCAACCGGUCAACCGAUUAAGGAAUCGGUUGACCGGUUGAGGUCGUCCGAUCGAGGACCGGUCGAGGAAGGUCAAAAACCUUAUCUCUCUCCCAGUAGCCUUCUCUUCCCGGUCGAGGUGAUUCCCUUAUCGGUCGAGGUCCAGUCGAAGACCGGUCGAGGUCCGGUUGAGGCAACGGUAACCUGUCAUGCAUUAAAUGCUCCAACGGCUAGUGAACCGGUCGACCCCUAGCUCGACCGGACGAGGUUGCCUUUUGCUGUUUUUGACUCCCAAGCUUAAAAACCUAUAAAUUGAGAGCUCCACUUCAUUUAUUGACAAGAGAACACUUGCAUUCAAAGCCCACCUACCUGUUCUUGAUCAAAAAGCUCUUAUUUCUUUCAUAGUGCAUUAAAUUACCACUUGCAUAUCCUUUAGUGCACUCUUGUUUGUCAUCCUAGCUUUAUCUUGUAUUUGAGCCAUCUUUAAGCUAGGUUGAGUGAUUAUAUCUUGUAACAAUCCGAGUGUUAAAGCCUUCAAGAGGGUUGAAUCUUGAAGAGGUUGUGUAAGAGCCCAUUGGAGCCGGAUUCCAAGUGUAAGAAGAUUAGAAGCUUGGUUGAAGUUUCAUGUUAGUGGAACCUUCACUCGGUUAGAAGGUUGAGGAGAGUGGACGUAGGCAAGGAAGUGUCGAACCACUAUAAACCCAAGUUUGAAUUCUCUAAACUCUAUAUCUUUACUUUGCUCAUAUUUUGUUUAAAUUUGUUGUGAUUGAAAAGAUUUAAAAAACCCAAUUCACCCCCUAUUUUAGGUGUUUUUCUUAACUAAGCAUAGCCUUUGUUUUCUCAGAAAUCAAUGGAUACCAAUAAAAUGAUCGAAUAAUAAAACAAAUCGAGCAUGAGAAUGAAUAAAUAAAUGAAGUAGGAGUGAGAGCGUACCUUAGUAGCAAAUAAUAGUGCACUAUCAUGGAAAAAAGGUUAGCUCAAGUACAAAAUUUAUCGCAUGCAUAUCAAAGAGCAAGACAAAGAUCAAGCAAUAUUCAUUAAGGUGUGGCUCCUAUAGAGGUGCAAAAAUAAGUUUGAUAAGCCCACAAUGCAAACAAAAGCUUCUCUAACCAAUCUCGAGAAGUCUCAAUCAUCCUCUGCAAGAUCCUCUUAAUAUUCUUAUUCGCAUCCUCUACCACUUCGUUAGUCUGCGGCCUGUAUGCAGACGAUCUAUGAUGCUGGAUACCGUAUCUCUGUAAUAAAGUGUCAACAUCUGCUCUAAAAUGUACUUCUCUGCUCGAAAUCAACUCAUGAGGGACUUCAUAGCGACAAAUAAUGUGUGAUCUGAUGAAACUAGCGACCCCAAAUGAUUUCAAUCUCGCAUAUGAAGCAGCCUCCAUCCACUUGGUAAAGUAAUCAAUGAUGACCAAGAUGAACUCAUGACUACUGGAAGACUUUGGCGAAAUCUUCCCAAUAAUGUUUAUACCCCAUAUUGAAAAUGGUCAUGGUGAAUUCAGUGCAUGUAACUCUAAAAGGGGUAUGUAGAUAAGGUCUCUAUGAAUCUAGCACUCUCGACAUCUUUAAACAAACUGGCAAUAAUUUGUCUCCAUAGUCAACCAAAAAUAGUCGGUCUUCAUGACCUUACAAGCUAAUAUAUGUUCUCCCAUAUGUGGUCCACAAACUCCCACAUGAACCUCUCUCAUCACUCAAUCGGUAGAGGCGUGGUGAAAGCACAAUAGUAACAUCCCAUCAACUGAUCGUUUGUACAAUGUCUCCCCACAGAUCACAAACCGGGUAGCUAACUGUUUCAAUGCUCUCUUAUCCUUGGUUGUGGCGACCUCAAGAUAUAUGUCAAGUCUCAAAAACUGAUAUAUGUCAUGGCACCAAGGCAAACCAUCUUCCAACUCUGCCUCAUCAAUCAAGCAACAAUAGGUAGGAACUGAUCUCGACUCAAUCAGUAAAGGGCGAACAAUGGUAUCAGCGAGAAUAUCAAUCAUGGAAGCUAGAGUAGCUAAGGUAUCAACAAACUGGUUUUGCGCUCUAGGCAGAUGAGUAUAACUCAAAUCAUCAAAUUUUCCAACCACCAGCUCUAAGUAUGCAUGGUAAGGCUUAAGUUUCACAUCUUUAGUCUUCCAAUGGCCUUGAAUCUAUCUCAAUACCAGAUUGGAGUCACUAAACACCUCCAUCUGUCUAAUCUCGAGCUUAAGAGUUGUCUCUAAUCCCAAGAUACAAGCCUCAUUGUGGACCCGCAUUUUUCACGUGCGUCCCCACUCGAUCGGCGAGACUCACAUUCUAUUUGUGAAAAAUUAAUUUUAGAAAAGUUGGAGUCGCCACCUAUUUUAUUUUUAUUUUAAAGGGAAAAUAAAACAAGAAAGAAAAACCCUAAAAAGUGACUCCAUAGUUUUGGAAAAAUCAUGUCUUUGAGAAACCUAAGUCUAGGUCCGGGGAUUAGGUUACUUAUUGGGAAGGUACCUCUAGGAGAUAGCACCCCUCUAAGCCUUAAAGAGGUCUUUACUGACUAAAUUGGGGAAAUGGGGCAAUUAAUUGAUUAAUUGUAGAUACCUAAGUAAGCUAGGUGAUUUUAGAAAGUAGCAUGCUAAAUAAGGAGAUCAAUCACAAUAAAGGAGAGUUAGAGUGUGUACCUGAACCACUUCUUAAGCGCUAUCAUAAAACAUCAAUGGUUAAUUCAGAAGUAUGACACACGACAUGCAUUUUAUCAAGGAUGAUCAAACAAGCAUUGAGACAAUCAAGUAUGGCAUCAAACAAGGACAAUGACAUGCAUAUUCAUGAAAUUUUGGGAACGUACCUGGAUAGCAUAUAUAACUCCUAAUGCGCUUCCUCAGGACAUGGGGGUUAGAUAAUAAAUAAUAAAUAAUGAAUAAUAAAUCCUAGCAUGCUUAUCUAAUUAAUUAGCAAAAAUUAUCAGAAUUCGGAAUAAUUAAUUAUCAUACAUAUCUUGCAUACAAUUCCCAAAAAGAAAAAUGUAAAUAUGAUUACAAUAAAUAGCAAGGUGGUAGCAAAAAAUAAAUUUUGAAAAAGAUUUUCUUAUGUAGGGGUUUCACCAAUUCCCCAAAUUAAUAUACAUGAAUUUAGCCUAAAAUUGUCCCAUUUAUUUGGGACCACAAGCUUUGAUUCGCAUUUUGUUUAAAACCAAAAUUUUUGUUGAAAAUUGAGAAGGAUGCAAACCGAUCGAAAUAUGGUUGCAAAUUUUAAGAAAAUGAAAUUUUUUUUUUCUAAGGACUCUAAAUGAAUUCUUUUAAAAUAGAUUUUUAAAGGGAUCUUUUAAGAAAAGUGUUGGAUUUCAAAAUAAAAGAAAUUAAUUUGAAAACGACAAGACAUAAAGAACAAAAUACCAAGCAAAACAAAAGUUAUUAAAAUCGCAAAGUAGAGUUUUUGACAAUUGAGAAAAUUGAAGUGGUGGGAAUGGAGGUCAAUCUUCACUAUUUUCCAAUGGCCUCCGAAAAGUAAAUUUUACCAUAGACUACCAAAGCAAUAAACUAUUCGAACUUAGAUCAUAUAAGCUAACGAUCACUACUACAAAAAUUGAAAUUAAUGACGCUUUAUUUUAUGACGCUUUCUAAAAGCGUCAUUAUUGAGGGUAUACAAUGACGCUUAUAAGAAGUGUCAUAGUUGUAUUAUUUAUCUUGAUACUUAUUAUAAGUGUCAUUAUUUGAUGUCAUCUUUUUCCUUAUAAUCGUGUAUAUAAUGACGCUUAUAAGAAGCGUCAUAGUUUUAUUAUUUACCUUGACACUUAUUAUAAGCAUCAUUAUUUGAUGGGUAUGUAAUGACGUUCCUGAGAAGUGUCAUAGUUGUAUUGACUUUUAAAAUUUUUGUUUUAAGUUAACUUAUACAAAUUUUGAUAUUAGAAUUUUAUUCUAUAAAUUAAUUAUGGUAAAUUGACAUUAAUAUUAAUGACAUAAAGUUGCUAGAUUAAGGUUUUUUUAAAAAAAAUUGGAUAUAAAUAAAAUAAAAUCCUAAUAAAUUAUUUUUUUAUUGUUUGAUAUUAAUUUUUUUAUAGUUUGUAUCAAUACAAUCUAUUUUCAUAAACUAUUUUUCAUUUUUAUUAAAUUAGAAAUUAUCUUAUAUUUCAUUUAAAAAUAAUUUGUUAAUUUAUUUGUGGACCACAAAAAAGUGGCCUAUUUUGAGCACUUGUUCGAGCCUUGGGCCACAUUUAUUGGGUUUAACCCUUUUAUUUGAGAAUGUUUUAUAGUUAAUGAAUAUAAAUUUGAAAUUAUUUAACUAAAAUGAAAUAAAUUAAUAUUUAAAUUAAUUUAAUGAUGAUUAGACUCACAAUAAAACUAAAUGCAAUAAGAAUAUUUAUAAAAACUUUCUAAUAUUUAUGGGAAUUAAGCUCAUUCUAUUAAAUUAGUUUUUUUUUUAAAUAUCAAUAUUCAAAUUAAACCGACAUCAACCUAAAAUAUCAAAUAAUUAAACAAUAUAAAUUCAUUAUGAGUUCAAUAUAUAAAAAUUAUUAUUGGAAGAUGAAAUAAAGAAUACUAUUUUAAUAUAUUGAAAAAGGACAUGCAUGGUAUUUUAGAAUUUGUUAUAAAGUCUCCAUUGAAAACCCUAACUUUUGGAAGACAAGAAAGAAGGGAGAGAGCCACCGUUUUUAAUGAGAAAGAAGAGAAGAGAGAAAAAUGCAAGUUUUUCUCAUCAUGCCCAGAUUUCAUCAAAGGUUUGAUCCCACUUCGUCCGUGGUCCGAUCGAGCUGAAAUUUGGAGGAGAGUUUCGUGACUCAUUUAUCUUCAAUCUGAACGAUGAAGAUCGGAUUUGGAGUUUCGGAAAGUCAUUAGAAAGAAAGAGGAGAAGAGAGAAAAACGUAGGUUUUCUCAUCAUGCCCAGAUUUCAUCAAAUGUCCGAUCCCGCUUCGUCCGUGGUCCGAUCGAGUUGAAAUUUUAAGGAGAGGUUCGUGGCUCAUGUAUCUUCAAUAUGAACGGUGGAGAUCGGAUUUGGAGUUUUGGACAGUCAUUAGAGAGAAAGAGGAGAAGAGAGAAAAACGUAGGUUUUUCUCAUCAUGCCUAGAUUUCAUCAAAUGUCUGAUCCCGCUUCGUCCGUGGUCCGAUCGAGUUGAAAUUUGAAGGAGAGGUUCGUGGCUCAUGUAUCUUCAAUAUGAACGGUGAAGAUCGGAUUUGGAGUUUCGGACAGUCAUUAGAGAGAAAGAGGAGAAGAGAGAAAAAUAGUGGUUUUUUACAUCAUGCCCAGAUUUCAUCAAAUGUCCGAUGCCGCUUUUUUCAUGGUCUGAUUGAGCUGAAAUUUGAAGGAGAGGUUCAUAAGUCAUUAAUCUUAAAUUUGAACGGUGAAGAUCGGAUUUAGAGUUUUGAAAAGUCAUCUUUCAGCUAAAAACAAAACCUUUAUUUUAUCAAAGAUGACGCUUCCUGAAAGUGUCAUUGUUGCCUAAGACAUACAAUGACAGAGGCGAAGAGGACGCUUUAGAGAAGCGUCAUCUGUUACCUUUCUUGACGCUUAAAAAACGUCAUUGUUUCCCAUUUUUCUUGUAGUGGAUAUACCCACCAAGAAUUAAUGACUAUUUUCGAGAAACACAUCAAUUAAAAAUAACAAUCAAGAAUUAGCACAUGAUCAAUCAAACACACAAACGCAUCUAGACUUGUUAAAAUGGAUGAAAUUAAGUCAAGGCAAAUGUGAAUUUUCAGUCAUAAAAUUAAUUUUUUUAAUAAGCUAAUAUUAUAAAAAAUACCUAAACUAAAUAGAUGAGUUAAAUUUAACCAAGGUAGACUAAAAGAAACAUGAUUUUUUUCACAUAAAAUUGAUUAAACCAAAAAGUUAGAAACUCACAAACACAUCUAAACUAAAAGAAAAAUCAGCACUAAAGUAAAUUGAAAUGAAAAAAAUAAGAACUUUAUCAUGUAGAAUUAAUUAAACUAAUUAUAAAAAAACAUCUAAACUAACGAAAUAAAUUAAAAUUAAACUAAAAUAAAAUUUAAAAAAAGAAAAAGAAACUUGCCUUCAAGAAUGCAUAUUGCUGAAUCUAUUGUAGGAAGACCGCUCUUGGAUGCGUGCCUUUCUUUGCGUGUUUCAGGAAAUCAUCUCUUAAUGCGUGGCUUAUGUGGCGGCCAUCUUCCUCUUUCCAUAAGAUACAAUUCCAUAAGUACCCGAACCAAGUUCUUUUAUGUAUUCUAGGUCAGAAUUUUAUUUUAUUUUUUAUAAUCUGCAGCACUCUAGUGGCUAGAAGAGAAUAAAAUAUGGCCUGGUUGUGUAGUUGACAAUGACGGGAAUUGGAGGAUUCAUCGUUUUCAAAUAUGCAUGGAUGGAUGGGCUGCUGUCCAGAUGGUUCCGUCAGUGAGUUCAAACAGCCACCUCUUUGCUCUCAAAUCUCCUUGCACUAAUCCCUUCAAAACAGCCCCUCUCACACUCUCUAAACUCUCUCUUUUAUAUCCCUUGAAAUAGCCUCUCGCAUGCUCUCAAAACUCUCUCUUCGGAUCAUCUCAAACAACAACUCCUCACGCUCUGAAAAUGCGGACUGAUCUUUGUGCGGACAGCAGCCUAUGAUCCCUUCAAAACGCCUACUAAUCUCUUCCCAAACGGCAUCCUCAAAGGCUCUAAAAAAUCCCUCAUCCGUUCACUUCAAACAGCAGCCUCUCACGCUUCAAAACGCCUCCUGAUCUCCCCCCAAACGGCAGCCUCUCCUUCCAUGGAAUACUCUGUUUCUUUGUUUUAAUCUCCGCGGAUAUAUGGAAAGUGCAUAUGUGGUGACUCACUUAGAGAUUCUAUAGGAUGCAGUCGUGUGUCCUCCUUGGUAAGUAAUCAAAUCCUUACCAUGUUGACUUUUCUUUCUAAAAAAAAACAAAAAGAAUCUCCUCACAGCCCACUAUAUGCGUAUUGUGCACUAAUGGUGGACUGCAUGUCCACUUCUCCUCAUUCAUGGACUGUGUUCUCUCAUGCGGAGUGCGUGUUGUGUCCAACUCUUUCAAGCAUGCAGCCGCUUUGCUUAUGGCAGCAUGUGGAUGAAGAAUUGAUGUGCAAAUUGGAGGUGGACCAAUCAUGGAGGUUCAGGAAUCGGGAUGCCAAUGUUGCUAUCAGUUUUCCUUUCCUCUCUUCAAUGCGCCCUGAAAAUGUAUCAAAAAUGGUGCGGCUGGUUGGUGGUCGUCUUCCCAAUGGUGCAAUUGCACCUUUAUCCUGAUCAGAAUCUGUGUCCGCUCCAUUCAAAAAGCUGGUGCAUCCCUCUUCAAAAAUCUGGUGCAUCUCUCUUUCAAGAAUCCCAUCAUACUCCCUUCCAAAAUUUGGUCAUCUUUCCCCUUAACAAUCUCGUGUAUCCUUUCAAAAAUCUGAUCAUCUUUCUCUGCUCCCAUCUUGCACCCAUAGGGAUCCUUCAAUAUGUGGACUGUCCAGAUCUUUCACAUGCGUGCUGGCCACUUACCAUCCUUGCAUGGUGAUAUCUUCCUUCCUUUUUUUUACAGGAUUCUUUCCAAGUCUCUUUAUUUGGCCGUGAUCUUCUCUCAUUCAUGGCUCCAAGUCUCAUGCAAAAAUUAAAAAUAAAAUUGAAAUAAGAAAUGGGAAUUAUGAUCAAAAUGAAAUAUAACGAAAUAAAAUAAAAUCUCAAAUCACAUAGCCACAAAAUCCAAGAUAUCAAUUUAUGGGAUUAAAGAAUAAAUAAAUAAGUAGGUAAAUAAACAAAUAAAUUGAUAAAAGUAUAAAAAUAAAUAUUAGACGUAUGCAAUUAGGAAAAAUCAAGAAAUUAAAUUAAUGCAACAGAUUAUAAUAAUUUAAAUGUCAAACUCAAAACCAUUAAAAAUCAUAAAAUUCAUUCAUGCAAUAAAAAGUCAAACAACACUCAUCUUAUCCCGAAAAAUAAGUAACCAAAAUCAAGAUCAUGCCUAAGAGAACUAUGCCAAAAGAAGUGUCUAAGUGACCUAUUUUGAAAGACUGUCUAAGUAACCUAGGGUGAAUGUGUGCAAGCUAGAAGGUGCUAAGUGCAUCUAAAUUGGCCUAAGGUGGUGCCUAAUGGGCCAAAUGUAUCUAAAUGGGUCUAGGGUGCCUAAGUGGGCCUAAGUCUAAGUGAGCCUAAGUCUAAAUCAAGACUACCAAGGAUCAUAAUAAGGGGUUAGGCAAUCCCUCAACCAAAGUCUCCGAGGUGGCUCAGAAAAAGUAAGUAGUAUGAGUAGCUAUGGGUCACCAAGGAACUACUGUAGAGCCUUGGAAAUGAACUUAAAGGCAUGUGCUAAAGAGACAAAAUUAAGGGUCUACACUCAUACUCAACAAUAUUGUUCAUGGCAAGGUGUCGACCAGAGAAUGCCAAACGAACAAAUCUAGGAAUGUGGUCAUCGUGAUGGGAUAUCAGUAGAACACCUAUCCCGUAUCCAAAAUGGUUGGCCGCAACAUCAAAGUACAUGCGCCAACCUGACGAAGUAGUCACUGCAGCGAUAUCCUCAUCUAGAAAGUCAUCAUCAAUAGCUCUACCAUCAUAAAAACUAGUAAUGAGGCUAAGUGAUCUACAACAAUGCUCCAUCUGAUAGACUUUUGAGUGACAUAAUGAAUAUCGAACUCAAUCAGGAGUACCAACCAUCUCAUGAGUCGAUCAAUCAAAGCAAGCCUGUCAAACAAAUAUCUCAAAGAAUCUAGACAAGAUAUCAAGUGCACUGAAUACUCCGUCAUGUAAUGUCUCAAUCUCUUAGUAGCUCAAACCAACGCCAAACAGAAACGUUCAAUCAUGACAUAUCUUGUCUCAUAAUCAAGCAUCCUCUUACUCAAAUAAUAAAUAGCUCGCUCAUUUCUAGAAUCAUUGAGCUGAGCUAACAUGCAUCCCAAGGCUAUAUCUGAGACUGACAAGUAUAGGAAUAAGGGACAACCUGGUGUAGGAGGCACCAAGACUAGAGGCGAAAACAAGUACUCCAUGAUCCUCUCAAAUGCACGCUGACACUCAUCAUCCCAAACAGGAGGUCGACUCUUCCUCAAGAGUAAAAAAAUGGGCUUGCAAAUAUCUGUCAAUCUGGCGAUGAAUCUACUGAUGUACUGGAGUCUACCUAAAAAACCUUUGAUCUCUCUCUCAGUCCUCGGCGCAGGCAUGUCAAGGAUGGCUCUGAUUUUAUCUGGAUCUAUUUCUAUGCCUCUCUCACUGACCAUGUAUCCUAGAAGUCACUCCAAAAGUGCACUUCUUAGGAUUCAGUCCUAAUCUGAACUGUCUGAUCAUAUCAAAGAAUCUCUUUAAGGCUGUUAGGUGAUCUACUCUAUCUUGAGAUUUCACUAUUAUGUCAUCUACAUAGACCUCGACAUCCCAAUGCAUCAUGUCAUGGAAAAGGAUAGUCGUUGCUCUUUGAUAAGUAGUUCCUGCAUUCUUCAACCCAAAUGGCAUAACUUUGUAGCAGUAAGUACCCCACUCAGUAAUCAAAGAUGUCUUCUCCAUGUCCUUUAGAGCCAUCAUAAUCUGACUGUACCCAAAAAAUCCAUCCAUAAAGGACAACAUCGAAUGACCUGUUGUACUAUCAACUAGCAUGUCAAUGUGUGGGAGAGAAAAAUCAUCCUUGGGAUUGACCUUGUUGAGAUCUCAGAAAUCAACGCAGACUCUCACCUUGCCAUCCUUUUUGGGAACGGGGACGACAUUGGCCAACCACUCAGGAUACUCAACCACUGAUAAAAAUCCCACACUAAGCUGCUUCUGAAUUUUUUCUUUCACAUGCAGACUCCAACGAGGAUGCAAUCACCUCAACUUCUGCUUAAUCGGUCUAGCAAGGGGCAGUAGUGGCAAGUAAUGCUAGACUAUGGAUAGAUCAAGGCUAGAUAUGUCCUCAUAAGACUCUGCAAGUGAUGUUGGACUAUGGAUGGAUCAAGGUCAGACAUGUCCUCAUAAGACCAUGCAAAGACAUCCAAAUAUGAUAUGAGUAACUGGACAAGGCCACCACUCUCAUCUGUAAACAAAUCCAAUCCAAUCCUCAGCUCCCUAGGCUAGUCUGUUGUACCAAAAUCAACAAUCUCAACGUCUCUUGUGGUAGGUGAAACUCUCUGAUCACUAGGACUCAAAUCAGAAGCAAAAGAAGAGUCUGCAUCUGAAUCGUGAUGUACAAUCUCAUCAUCUAUAUCAAAUAUUUGUGAUGUGGGUGAAUGAGGUGCAGAUAAAGUGUUAUCACAAUAAAUAGGCAAAUACUCAAAAAGACUCAUAUCCAUAUAUGAAGAAAGAGUCAGUACAUCAUCAGAAUGGGAGACAAACCCGACAGUACAUCAAAAGAAAGUGGUGGGUCCACAUGUUUGGACUCUACCAUGACUGGGCUAUUAACACCCACAAAUACAUCAUCAUCAACUAUAUCAUCCUUUGAAAACUCCAGAGCAGGAGCAAUCUGGAUCUCCUCAGCAACCUCGAUGGCGGACACCCCAAAUAGAUCAAAUGGAGAAGCAAACUCAGGUUGGACUAUCCCAUCAAUCUGACUCAUACUCAUCGCGAGCAUCUCAUCAAUGUACCUGUCGUGUGGAACAACUCCAUCCACCAUGUCCCUAAUCUCAGCAAAUGUCCCAUGCUCGUCGACCUCAUCCUAGAAAUAGAGUGUCAUGAGGCUCAUAUGAUCUGGAGAUGAUGGGGUGGCUAAUGUAGAAGCAGAAGUGCCAGGAGCUCCAUCACUCAACCGUAGCUAAUGGACAAGACGCUGAAGCUCAGCCUCCUCAACAGUGUUGAAUCCAUCAAUAAUCCCACUUGAAUGCGUCUAUGGCUCCGGUGCCCUCACAAAGUAGUCCGCCAAGCUCAUGUUGUAUGAGCAAAUAGGAUAGUCAAAUGGUGUGUGAGUCAAUCGGGCUCUCACUCUCUCCUUGCGCAAUCACACCAUAUAUCAAUAAUCGGCCUCAGUAGGAAUAAACUCAAAUCCAAAUGGUACAUCACGAUCAACGAUAGUUAUAAGCUCAUUGGGCUCAUGCUGACAUCGCCCUAAUCCCAUGCUCGGCAGAAAAGACAUGCUCCUCAUCAUGUCAAGCACCACUGUACUACCAUGCUAAUCAAAUGACAUAGCCACAAAGUCCCUACAAAAAUCCUCAAUCUCCAGAGUUUACACCUCAUCAAAUAUGAACCCAGUAAAAAACAAAUCAUCCUCAUUGUGACUAAUCUGAAGCACUGGCUUGGAAGAAGCAAACAUAUCUCCAAUAGACCACACCGUGAUGACUUGGCCAUCAUGAAUGAACUUCACCUUCUGAUGAAGGGAAGAAGGAAUGGCCCCAGCUCUAUGAAUCCAAGGUCGGCCAAUAGUAGGUUAAAAGAUGUAGAAAUCCUCAAAACCUGGAAUAGAGUAGGAAAUGUAGUCGGACCUAUCAAUAGCUCGAUCUCCAAAGUGCCCAUGACCUUCCUCUUAAUGCUAUCAUAUGCUCUGAAUUUCUGAGUAGAGGGACCAAAGUUUGAGGACGCAUAGCCGAGGGCAAUGACAUAAGCUAAGGGACAGACGUUCAGGGUUGGGCCAUCGUCCAAAAUGACAUAUGGGACUUGGUGGCCUGAAAAACCAACUGAGAUGUAUAGAGGACAUGUAUGGUCUGAACCCUCGGGUGGCAAAUCAUCAUCUAAAAAUAUAAUGCAAGUGGCUCUGCCAACUGUCAUAAUGUGAAUCAACCCCUCGAGAAUAGUGGUAGUCUCGACUCUAAUCUAACUCAAGGCUCAAAUCAAUGCAUCUUUAUGAGUGCUAGAAGAUGCCAAUAAGCUCCAAAUAGAUAUACAAGUCUGGGUACUCUACAACUAUAUCAGAAUAUCAUCAUCAUCUCUCCUGACCUUCUCAUGAGAGGCUGCACCCUCCAAGGGUCUAGCGGUUGUGAAGGGUUGCUGUCAUACUACCCUACCUCUGUGAAUAACAUAUUGUAUAUCUGGAGUAUGAACAUCAUCAACAUAUGGAGUAUGUACCUCAUCAACGUCUGGAAUCAAAACAAACGAAGUCUGAACACUAUAACAUGGAAAAAUCAAUGGCUCGACUAUAGUCAACUAUACUGAUGUCACAUCGAGAACCAACCUGAAUAGUGUGGGCAUCCAUGGGCCCAAGGUCAUUCUACCUACCUCAUAAAUCCCAUCUACUACUAUAGGCUCUAGCACUGACUCAUCCCAACUCAGCAUGUGGAUAUGAUCAUAUGGCUUAGUGAAAUCCAUGAAAUGUAUACCGUUGGCUAGCAGAGAGACUGCAUGUGAAGUAUAAGCUAGCAGAGGGUUAGUGGUUACACUUGGCUAACCCAAUGAACCAAACCCUGAUCUAUCAAGUCCUCGAUGGCGUGCCUCAAAGUAGUGCAAUGGUCCGUGUCAUGCCCUAGACCCUGAUGGUAAGAACAAUGUAAAUCCAUCCUGAAGCGAGGUGGCAUGAGUUGAGGUAUAUGCCGAGGAGCUAACUGAGUCAACAAACCACCCUCCAUGAGCUUUUAGAAAGCUCGGCUCAAAGGCAUACCUAGUUGGGAGAACUGUUGUGUCGACCUUUGUACAAAAGAAAUAAUAGUCUGUGGGGCUCGUGGCUGAGGGUAUAAAGUAGGAGGUCUCUCUAUGACAUGUGCAGCAAAAACAGGUUGUGAGACCAGAUGUAGAUAAGUAGGAGUCAUAGGUUUGGAGGAAAUAGGUGGCCUAUACUGAACAUGAGGUGGUGGUGGGUAGUAGAAUCCAGAAGGCUGCCCAACUGUCUGAUAGCGUCUAGGAGGUCUCAACCCUGUUGAACUGAUAGCACUCACAUCUUCUAAUCUUUGUCCUCCUAAAGGCUGCUUUCCCUAAGAGUCAGUAGGGGAAGACUCGACCAUAAUCCUCUAGUUAUGUCCUCCUCUAUACCAUAUAAAUCAUGUACCAAAGAUCCAAAAUCCGUAUGAGAAAAUCCCAUCAAGUGCCUAGCAAAUCAAGGCUGCAAGCUCCUCAUGAUCAUACUAAUCUGAUCAUUCUCCGAAGGAUGAUCAAUAACCUGUGAAAUCUUCUCUCUUUAGCGAGAGAUAAAUGAGGUGAUCGACUCAUCUAGCCUCUAUCUCAAAGCCUCUAACUCUCUCAUCGAAACAUCAAUGACAAUGUUAAAUGCAAACUGUCUCAAGAACUUCUGGGCCAAAUCAUCCCAAGUUCGGCGGCGUGAUACAUCCAAUGAAGCAAACCAACGUUGUGCCACACCACUCAGGGAUAUAGGAAAAAACAUAACCAUCUGGGCCUCAUCCAAUCCAUGGGCCCUCAUAACCGUACUGUAAAGCCUCAAAUGGAUGCAAGGAAAGCCAAUGUCCGUGUAUUUCUCAAUCUUAGACAUCCUAAACUUUGUCGAUAAACUGGCCACUGGUGCUCCAUUAAAAUCCUCCUAAGUAAUAGCUCCAUCUGAAGUCUUCAUCUGUCUCAUCCUCUACUCAAGUCUAUCCAUACGAGCAUGUGGGUCCUCUGAGAUCGGGGUAGGCACUAUGACAGGAGGCAAGGCAACCUCAGUCUGACUCUAUAAAGUAAAUGAUAUAGGUUGUGAAACUAUCUGACCAAGUGGGAGAGGUGGCAGAAUAGUGGGAUCAUACUGCACACUCUCCUAAACUGGAACCUUUUGGGUUUGCUACCCAUCCAUCCUUUGAUCAAGACUAGUUAUGGCCUCCUGGAUCGAAGCCAUAGCAGCAACGAACUGAUCAAAUGUAACCACCUACGAAUCCAUAUCUAUCUGAUCUAACUGGUCUGAUACUCUGAUCAAUCUACCUUUAACUCUGAUCUAAGAAGUUAAACCCAGAUCAAACGUAUCAAUACACCUACAAUAGUGGAAAUACUAGAUAAGAUAUUGUGUAAGGGAAACUCUACAAGGAGUGUCUAUCAACUAUGCAGGAAGGUAACCUGGAAGUAUUCAAACUUAUAUCUAAUUCUGAGCAAAUAUAUAAGAGACUACUAUGAAGGUAACUAAAUUUAUCACUACUGACCCGGCUCUGAAGGCCCAUAGAUGCACCCACGUGUAGGAAAGGAAAUUCUGAUCGAAUAAUCGAAGGCUCAACCUAUAAGGUCAAGGUGGCUCUAAAAAAAAAAAAAGAUGGACUUUAAAGGAUCCCUAGCAGAAGCGAUCAUACCCUUCAACAGUAUGCAACCCUCUGCACGCCUUUGAAAAGACGAGGCGCUUCCAUGCAAGGUGGUCAUCACCUCUACACAUGCACUACCUCGACAUCGUAAGGGGUUUUGCUAUAGUGAAAGCUCUCACAACUCUCAGCACUCAGUAGUCAACUAAAGUGCAUAGUGAGUGGUGCAGGUGCAUCCGAAAAACCUAUGAAGAUAAAGUAGAAAAAGAAACACAUUAGUCACACAAAUAUCCAUGAAACCAGCUCUAGGCUAUUCAGGUCUUCAAAGAUCAGACUCCAAUCAAUGUGUCGGCCUCCUCAAGAAUGCUCCUAAACAUCAAUAUAGCCCAUCACUAUACCUUACUCCUAACCACUAGCUCGGUCAUAGAAACAAGUACACACAAGGCCUCACACUUGCAAAUAUAAGAACCGAAAUGAAGGAAAUGACCGAAACCAAAGGGUUGGAGGUAAGGGGAUAGAUGUGCGAUCCACACAGACAAGCAACAUACAAUCACAUAGGAGAAGAUUAGUUAUGCAACAAGCAAUCAAGCAGAGCGCAAAUAUAUCAUCCAUGUCCAUACACAAGCCAAACGAAAAUAUGACAAUCACAAUGACUAGCAACAAGGAUAGCAUGCUCAAAUAUAAUCAAGAUAACAUACAAGAAAGAUAAUCAACACUAAGACAAAUAAGAGAUGCAGCAAAGUGAACAUACAUGUCAAAGUGAGUAGGAUAAUCAAGGCAAGAGCAAGAUCGAUCAAUAUCAUCAGCAUGCCAAUGUCGCAAAGGGAUAUAACAAUUAAGCAAAGAAAAUCGUUGCAUCAAAAUCCUCAAUGUGCUAUGAUCACUCAAGCAUUGAAAAUUGUAAUUUUGAAAAAUUAUUUGAAAAUUGGAGUUUUGAAAAUUAAAUUUAAAAAUUAGAAUUUUGGAAAAUUAAAUUUAAGAAUUGGAAUUUUGGAAAUUAAAUUUGAAAGAAAUUGGAGUUUUGAAAAUUAAUUGAGAAUUGGAGUUUUGAAAGUUAGUUUUAAGAAUUGGAGUUUUGAAAAUUAAUUUUGAAAGAAAUUGGGGUUUUGAAAAUUAAUUGAAAAUCGGAGUUUUAAAAAUUAAAUUUAAGAAUUGGAGUUUUGAAAAUUAAUUUUGAAAGAAAUUGGUUUUUUUUUUUGUUUUCAUAUUCUCAUAAACGAAAAAUGGAAACUAAUGAAUAAAAAUAAAAAUUAAAGAAAAAAAAAAGCAUUUAAAAUAUAUAUCAAGAAAGAAAGAUAUUGAUCACCUAUUUCUUUCAACAUAAGUUCCUCUAAGUAAAAUGAUAAGGUUGCCACUAUGGUUUAAUCUCAGGAGGUUUAAGAGCACACAUCUUGGGGGAAGGUUUGAGAGCACAUCUUCAAUACGGGAAGGUUUGAGAGCACAUCUUUAAUAGGGGAAGGUUUGAGAGCACAUCUUCAAUAGGAGGAGGUUUGGGAACACAUCUUUGGUGGGAAAAUAAGAUUGAUAACUUCUUCUUUUUUAAAUAUAUACUACUAUUAAAAAUGUGAGGUGUUUGUCAAUUUUUUCAUUCCAAAAAUAUCUGACAACUCCUUUUAAUUCUAAAAAUACUUCUCAUCAAUUUAUUAAUAACAAUAUAUUAAUAUUUAAUGUUACAAAAUGUAUUCUAUUAUCAUAAUCUAUUAGUAUCAAAUGACAUUAUACAUUUUAUUCUCUUUAGAACCUAUAAUAUUCUUUGACUCUUGAUGAUGUGCCUAAGCCCCAUAUUUUCAAUGCCCACAUAAGCCUUUUCUAUCAUUUUCUCCUCUCCAUGGUCACAACAGCUUCUUCUUCAAGCUUUUAGAUUUUUCUUUGCAAAAUUGCCAUCUUAAUAUUCCUCUUCGCCACAAAUGGCAGUCGAUUCAAGACUAUGUCUAGAGUUAUGGUCAUGGUUCUGGAAGGUUUGGAUUGAUGAAAGUGUUAUGUUAGGGACAAGAGAGAGUUUCAAUGAAAUGUAAUGUUUUGGGGAAAGCUAAGAAUGACAAUGGUGGCAAAGAAGGUGUUCAUGAAAAGAACAAACAGUUUGUGUGGUGGUUUCGGGAGGCGUGGUUGUAUUUUCACAUUCAUAGGGGUGACACGUUUGUUGUCAUAAUUUUUGGUGAAAUUGUUGUCAAUUCUUACUUGGAACCCAUACUGAAGGCACAUUUUCUAUGAAUUUCUUUUCCUCUGUUAAUUUAGUUUGAAUGAAUAAACUGUUAUUGUGUUUCAUAAAAGCAAUAUGGAGGGUUGGUUUGGAUAGUGGUGAUACUCUACAUUCAGAUAUGUUUUCCUUUUGUAUUUUGGAAACUAAUGAAUCAUAACAUGCUUAUUGGUGAAAGGAGAUUGUUGUUUAUCCCCUAUUUGUUUAAAGAGAAUGAAUUGUGUUUGUGGAGUUGACAAUUGAAGAUGUUGACUGUGAUUUAAAUCCAAAUAGUUUUAGAGAAUUGGUCAAAUAAAUCUCUGAUAAAUAUUUUUUUUUAAUGAAUUUACAACUCUUAUCUAAGUAAUUUAUCGCAUUGAUGGUAUCUAUGUAUAUCAAUUAUUUGUGUUCUAAUUUAUUGUGAUUCUAUCUCGUGUUAUUAAUCAUUUGGGUUAUUGGAUUUUAACAUUUUGAUUUUUAUCAUUUCCCAUAUUUUUAAUUCAUUGCAUUUUUGUUCGUUGUGAAUGUUAUUUAUUUAUUAUUUUAGCACUCAUUGGGUUUUUUGUGAACACAAUUAGAUCAACUGUUGUUGCCAUUAGUGUUUUUGAUGAUUUUGCUUACAUGUUUAUUAGGGAAAUAUUAGAAUUCAAGGUGUUUGGUACAUUUGAGAGGUAAUCCAAUUUAGUAUUAGAGUAUACCUUUUUUUUUUAAUGAAUCCUGAUUUUUUUUUUUUAUUGGGAUCAAAAUUUGUUACUUACUCUAGAAAUUUAGUAUUUUUGUAAAUACUUUUAAUUUUUCUAAUUAUAUUUUUUUAUAAGUAUUUAGAACUUAAAGGUUUUACUGAAAAGAAAAUGAAGUUAGUAGUUUUAAAUUGAAAUUAGUCUUAUUUCUUAAGGUUUUUUUCCUUUUUCAUUUUUAGCUUAAUUGAAUCUAGAACUUUCUUGUACAUUAUAAUUCUAAAAGAAGUUUUAAUUACAACCUAUUAAUAUUUAAUGUUACAAAACGUAUUCAUCCAUUAAUAUCAAUCACAAAAUUUAUUAAUAUUUAAUGUUACCAAAAUCUAUUAAUUAUUCCCUUUAAAAUCACCCUAUAACAUUAUAAAAUAUUAUAAUUAAUACAUUAUCUAACCAACAAUUAAGAAUUACCCCUUCACUCUUCAAAUUUCUUAUGAUGACAGUUUCACUUUUCAUUUCUAAAGUUUGAAAACUUUUUAAAUUUCUCAUAACCUUUUCCUCUUUGAAGAGAAUUAAGAAGUUUUUGUAAAUUGGCACUCCCAAUUUGAAUGAAGUACUAUUUGGUGAGUUUUUAUUUAGUGUUCUGAAUGAUUUUACUUAAAUGUUUGUGUUACUUAUGAGAAUAAUUUGAUUACUUUGUUGAAUUUUAUUUUUAUGAUUUUGACCUUUUUAAAACAAUACUCAAUUCUUUGAGGAGUUUGUUGGAUGUGAGUUGGAAGAAAAUUGAAAUUUAAGGUAAUUGGUAAAUUUGAGAGGUAACUAAAUUUAGUUUUCAAGUAUACAUUUUUUUUGUAAUGAAUUUUAAUUCUUUAUUUUAUAAUUCAAUGUUUAUUAGAAUUGAAGUUUGCUACUUAUUAUAUAAAUUUAGUAUUUUUGUAAAUACUUUUAAUUUUUAUUAUUUUUAGACAAGUAUUCACAAGUUAAAUCUUUUAAUAAAAAAAAUAAAGUUAAUUGUUUCAAUUGAAAUUUGGGUAAAUGUUUCUAGAGUAUGUUUUUCUUCAUUUUUUGUCUUAUUGGAUCUUAAUUUUAGAAUAAUUAGAACUCUCUAAAAAAUAAAAUCCAUAUUUUUUUUAAUAUAAAUUACCAUUCUAGAGCUAAAUGCAUUUCCUUAUUUUAUAAUUCAAUGUCCAAUAAUAUGCAUAGGAAUUGGACAAUAUAGUUUUUUGUUUUAUAAUCCAAUAUCUAUAAUAAUUGGAAACUACAGUUCCUUAUUUUAUAAUCCAAUGUCUAUAGGAAUUAGAGAUUCUUAUUUAUGCUAUAAAUUUAGUAUUUUUACACAUUCUUUUAAUUUGUCUUAUUUUGUUUCUUUUAAAUUUUAUCUUUAACCAAUAUUCACAACUUAAAUCUUAUAAUAGGAAAAGUAAAGUUCCUUAUUUUAAUUGAAGUUGAGGUAAGUGUUUUUCAAGAUUUUUUUUUUUUUUUUCAUUUUUAGUUUAGUUGGAUCUUCACUUUGGGAUAACUAGAAUUUUCUCAUAAUUUUUGUUUGUUUGUUUUUUUUAAAUACCAACCACUAUACUAAAAUGAAUUAAAAAUAACUACAUUUAACAAUUUGAGAAUGAAAUAUCAAGUAUAUUUGAGAGAUCAAAAACAAUUUUUAUUCUUACUAAGAUAUUUGUCUUUUUAUUUGCUCAUGGUUCUUGUUGUUAUGACUUUGUAUUACAUUCCAGAAACAUAUAGUUUUUCCUUAUGUAAAUAAAUUGAUAAAAUUAAAGGAAAUUGACAAGGAAAACAUAAAAAUAAAAAGUAUGUUUGAAUAAAUAAUCCAAUUUUUUUUUUUUAAUAUUCAUCUACUUUUCAUAAAAUUAGGACAAGUAAAAGUUACAUUUUGUUGUCCCUAAAUUGCAAUGAAUUUAAAUUAACAAUAGAUAACGGGUUUAAAUAAAAUUUGGUACAUAUCAUUGCUAAGGUGACAUUUAUUUUGCCUAACUUAGAAAAAUUGAUUUUAAAAAGAAUUUUACCAUCUAAGAUUUUUGGAAUGGAAAAAUGUAACAUUAUUUAUAUUUCAUCGCAGUCCUUUUUCCUUUCUAUUUAUAUUUCAACCCAAUCAUUUUUUUUUCCUUUUUUUAUGUCUAGUUUGAUUAUUUGACUUUGAAUCUCUUCUUAGUUUCAUACAAGGAUUUUAAAAGAAUAAAUUCACAUAUUCAAUUUUUUUUAUUGGAUUUGUUUUCAUAUUACCUCACCUGCAUCGCAUGUGAACACUUCCUAACACACACACACACACAUAUAUAUAUAUAUAUGACUAUUUAGAUACGUAUGGAAGAUACACACAUAUACAUACAUAUACAUACAUACGUAUGGAAGAGUAAGAUGACUUUUUCAAAGAAUCAUUUUUAUAAAAAUGACUAUUUAGAAGAGUUAAGGAGCAAGUCUUUGAGGGGAAAUAAAAUCAAUAGCAAAAGAAUAGGAUGACGUUUUGAAAGAAUCAUCUUUAUAAAGAUGACUAUUUAAAAGAGUUAUGGUCUCUUUCACAAAGUAGAUAUUUAAUUUGAGAACGAGUGGGAAAAUAAAAUUAAUAGCAAUUUGCUUUUUAAUAUUUACAUAUAAGGGAAAGGAUAGGAUGAUUUUGUCAAAGAAUUGACUUCAUAAAAUAGAUAUUUAAAUUGCAAAGUCAUUAUUUAUCAUAUUAAUUAAAGAUAAUGAAAUUUUUUUUUAAAAAGUCAUUGAAACAACCGUCAUUAUCUCCUUUUUUGUUGUAGUGACUUUGGAUAUACUAUUAGAUACAUAAUUAACAAAUCAAAGGAUUGAGUGCAAUUAAUUACAAUAGAUUUUUUUGUAGAUAUUAGAAUUGGUAUAUAUUUUUCUCUAUCUACUGAUGGAAUGAAAAAGCAUCCUAGCCUCCUACGAGGGUCUAACCUUGUGAUUCUCCACUGUAUCAUAUCAGGGUGAUCCAUGGCUUGGUAGUCUUUUCCCUAAAACCUCUUCAUAUUGGCUCGUAACCGAUUCAAAAUUCACGAAAUUCAUAUAGAUCGUUCAAUGAAGUCCCCUAAUCAAGUUCAAGGUAGUCUUUGGUUAUUCUGGAAAUAUGACUAAUCUACUUCAGUACAAACUGUUGAAGUUACAGAAGAAACAAGCCAUGCAUAAAUCACCCACACCCCUCUUCCAAAUUAACAAGCCAUGCACAAAUCAAAUUCCCAUACAUCAAUAUUAUUUUACAUGUCUUUUUAACAGACUGAAUUCAUUAAGACAGAAGAGUAGAUAACUCAGAGGUGAAUCCUACAAAGCCACUUCUACAGAACCCCAAAGAUGUAAAAGGUCAGGAACAGACACCCAAGCACAAAUGCAGAGGUUGAAAGCUCUGAGGAACUGGGUAGCACCAAAUAAAUGCCAGAAGUAAAUGCUAUCACCAUUCCUAGGAUGGAAACGUAUGUGAGUAUGGCUGAAAAUUUUAUGAAACGUAGAAGCAGAUGAUAGCUUCGUUCCAGUGAAGCAAAAAAGUGGAGAAACACUGCUGCAGUUGAGCAAUAGAAAGCUAUACCAUCUGACAACAAGAAGGCCUUGAAGGCUAUCUUUGUUGAGAGAACUGCUUUACCUUUGUCGGGGCCUUCAUCAUUGUACCCACCAGGUAGAGUAAAGCCUGCUGCAAAAGUGACAGUUGCUAUGAGCGUCGCGACCAAUAAAUGGGUGUUGGAAAUGUCCUUGAGACGAUGAGAUCGAAGUUGCUUUUCUUUCAUGAUUUCUCUGUUCCUAUCAAGAAGUAUACUCAUAUUGCUAGCAGUACGAGACGCGCCAUCACUGCUCUGAGUACUGGUCUCGCUAGCACUACGAUAUAUGCCAUCACUGGUCUUUUGAUGUCCAUUGUUAUCAGUCCACAUAUUUGCAUUUUCCUGGUAUCCUUCAUUGUCACCAUUUUGCAUAUAUGCAUUUUCUCUAAUGACCAACCGGUGUAAACUUUGUCGACCACCAGCAUGCUCCAACUUCCUCAUGAUCCAAUACUGGCAGUAAUUUGAAAGGAAUUAGAAUGAACUUUUAAAGCAAAGCUAUGGGAAAAUUUUUGAAUCAAGCAUUGAACAAAAUCCAGUGGCUAGCUCUUAAAGAGUACAUCAAACACAUUGAAUAAUAUUAGCCAUCCAUUUCAGAUACUUUUUUUUUUUUUUUUCUCUUUUUUAAGUAAUCGCUUAACAGAUUGAAUGGCUAUAAUCAUUCAACAUGAUCUUUCUGCAUCAAAUAUCUUCAGAGAGAUAUGAGAAGCCUCACCAUGUCUAAUUAAAAUUUGUCUCAAACUUUACAGUAACGUACCUUGAUUAUUUCUCCAAUAUCCAUAUUUGACUGGACAAUGUCAAUAGUCUUCAAAUACUCAUUGUUCAUUGCCCUUUUGUCCACUCUAUCGUCUGCAGCCAACAUAAUCACAACCCCGUAAUGUCCAUAAAUGGCAGCUAGAUGAAGUGGUGUGUUACCUUCCUUAUCUGGCUCAUUUAUGAUACUUUCCAAGUUUGGCUUCUUCAGGAUAUACUUAACGACUCUAGCGUUUCCAUAUUGAGCUGCAACAUGAAGAAUUGUGCGCCCUUUGUUGUCAAUCAAAUCAUAAACAUCUGGAAGACAUGUGAUAAUCUGUUCCAUUACAUUAGUGUGGCCCUCUUUGGCUGCAAUGUGGAGAGCACAACUGUGUUCUACAUCCAAUAAGCCAGCAACAGAUUUGUCAUACUUCAGUAACUUCUCAGUUGCUUCGAGGUGACCCAAGUGGGCAGCAUAGUGAAGAGGGGUCCACCCAAAUUCAUCUGCCUUUUUUAUCACAUCCUUCUUCAUUUCAAAUAGUACUUCCAAAAUAUCUAUACAUUGGGAGAAGAAGGUUAGAAAUCUUAAAAAGAAGUGGAAGAAUCUACUUAAAUAGCAUUUCAUACCUCACCAAAAAUCUGUCAAGAGAAAUGGAAAAGGCGACCAAAACACCCUUUCCCCUAUAUUUUAAGCAUAAAAAUGUCCUCAAUAAUGAUCCCCUUCAUUUCCAAAAAAAAAGGAAAAUCCUCAUACAUCUUGAUAAAUAAACACAUGGCUUAAUCAGUUGUAUGGUUUGAAGGUCCUUUCUUUUUUCUUAUAUAGGAAUGGGUGUUCAAAUAGGGUGAGAAUGGAGAGAACUCUCCACUCAUAAGCUUUUUGCAGUAAAAAGGAAAAAGGAAAAAAUCCAACUUAUUAGUAAACAAGAAUGAAAAGGGCACAGGAUCUUCUUACUUGAGCUUAAUUAACUUUAAAAAGGGGACAAAAGGAGUCUUAUUAAAGCAGAGGAAUUUACCAAUUUCAUCAUUCAAUUGUUUUCCUUUGAAGUGUCCUCGUACCCUAAAGAAAAAGUUUGUAACCACACGGCGAAGUUUUUCUAGAGAUAAUUCUGGAACUUCUUGGCCUGCAGCAUGAUAUAACAAACUAAAAUCAGUGAUAACCCCAUAAAAAUAACAAAGAAGGCCAAAAAAACAAAGGCUUGCCUUUUAGUUUGUUCAUCUUGCAUAAGGGAUUGAAAAAAGGAAAAGGAAAGAAAGAAAAUUAAUGCAAAGUCUUUUCCCAAAAGUGGUCCAUAUUCAGAAGAAAUAUUUGUUGAAAUAAUUUUCAAAACUUCAUACCAAACAAGGAAAUAAUGAAAGCUGAUAUUUUUCAUCUACUUGAUUUCUUUUCUUCAGUUUCUUCCUCAUUUUUCUCUCCAGGCAUGGUGCUAAGACUUGGGUCUUAGAAAGCAUACACCCAAAUGCCUGAAGACUUGGGUUUUUUUUUUCUUUUUUUUCUUUUUUUGUCACCAGAAUUAUCACUGGACGCCCUUUGCAUGCCCAAAUUAAACUUGAAAAAGUAAAACAAAUUAACAUUAGAAAUGAAGAUUUCAGAUAUACUCCUACUAACCAACAUUGGAUUGUGUUCCUGGAAACCAUUCUCCUCGUAGAUGCAGUCCAAGUCCAUUUACAGACAGCUCGGGGGGUAUGGGUUUACCCAGCUCAGGACCUACAAGUUAGGAAGAAUCGAAGAAAUCUUUUAAGUAUACAAAAGCAAGCAUGAACAUAAACUUUUAUGCAUAGAAAGAUUUUGACCUUUAUGGGUACGAAUCACAGCUGCAUGUAAAGCGGUCAUCCCUUUCGUGCCCUCACAGGAACAUUCAGAACUGUUUCCUUUCAACAGUUCGUCAGCAAUCUUGAAAAACCCCCUUUCCACAGCCAAAUACAAGGGGGACUCUUUAUGAUUAUUAACCAAAUCCAACAUCUUAGGAUUUUCUUGAACCAACCGGUUCACCACCUCAAGAUGACCAUUCCUCACAGCCACAUGCAGUGCCGUAUCAGCCCUCCCAUUCUUCAUUUCCAGUGCUUGCUUGGCAUUUUUACUUUCAAGAAAGCACUUAACCAUGUCACUACAGCCAGUUCUCGAGGCAAUAUGCAGCGGAGUGUCGCCUUUGAAGUCAGCUCUAGUCAGAAGCUCUGGAAACUUCUCAACAAGAGCUUCAGCAAAGCCUAUGCACUUGAAAUUAGCAGCAAUGUGAAGAGCAUUGCGUUUCUGGGAUGUGGCUUGGCAGGGAAUACUCUGGAGGCUAUGUGGCUUCUGCAAGUAGUUCUUAUCCCCAGUUUUAGCAGCUAUGUAAAGAUCAGUAUCCAUGUCUUGACAAUGGAAAUCAGAAUCCAUGGGGAUGCUUGCUAGGAAUCUCCUUCUUUGCAGUCUACAUAUAUAUUACUAAAAGAAUAGACCAGUCCACAUCAAAUGGGGUACAGAGCCUGCUCAAAAAUAAUUGCACCUCUCACCUACUGCAUUAACAAAGCUCAUAUCAUCACAAAAACUUUUUAGUACAUAUAAAUAAUUUUGUUUCAUAAAGUAUCAUUAUUAUUACUUCAAUAUAUAUUAGUUUUAUGAAGGGUUUAUGAUUGUAGACGAGUCAAAAUUCAUCCAUUUUUGUUUUGUUUAUCACCUAGUGUGGGCAUUUUGGCUCUUUUACGGUGUGGCCAUCGAUUCAAAUGCUUACACAAAGCUUCAAUGAAUUUUGUGGCACCUCCCGUGGAAACUUGCCACCAAAGCUCCCAAUUCAGAAAUGUUGUUUUUAAAAUAAUAACAGAAUUGAGUAAUUUUCUUUCUUUCUUAUCUCCAACGUUUUUGCUAAAUACUUUCACUUUUGGAGCUUGGUUUUAUAUCUGAUUUCGUAAGUCCUAAGAUAUCUACUACCAUGUACCUUGAAAGGUUGGUGUUGAAUCUAUUGAUUAAUUGUAUAUGUUAGGACAAUGAGUCUUCAUCAUAAGUUAGCAAUUUUGUUCCUUUUAAUUUUUGUCUUAGGAAUCUUUUUAAAUAGUGACUUACUUUCUAUUAAAAGAUUCAAGGUUAUUGUUCGAUCAACUGGAAAGUCAUAUGUAAAUCUAAAAAGGUUUAGUUUAUGGCAAAUUAGGUGUUUAAAAGGGUUAAGUGGAUUGGUAUAUUUUUUAUUGAAUUAAAAAUGUUUUAUUUAAUAUUUUGAAAAUGCAAGGGAUGCUCGAGUGGUGGAAAUAGUGCUCAAGCGUUGGGACCACUCAAACACUUAUCCAACACUUAAGUGAUCAAGGCACUCAAAUGGUAGGUAAGUGCGCUCGAGUGCUCAUCCCAAAUCUACGAAAAUAUGAUAGAAUAUUUUUGGAUAAUUCAUGCAAAUUGAGUUUGGAAACUUCACUAUACCAAUCCCCUAAAGCUUGGAGGCCUAUAUAAACCCAUCUAUAACCCUUUUAGUAUGAAGUGUAUUAAAACCAAAUGGAAGAAUAAGACAAUUAAGGAGAAAGAUUACAUGAAGAUAGGACCUUAUGCUUCAACAAUAAGUAGCCUUAUGUAUGUGAUGUUGUGUCUUAGAUUAGAUAUUUGUUUUACUGUAGGAAUGAUGAGUAGAUAAUAAUCCAAUCUAAGUAUAAAGCAUUGGACAACGGUCAAGUAUUAGAACCAUAAACAAAAAGCUAAAACCAUGAUCAUUGAUUCUAAUUUUCAUAUGAAAAUUUUAAAAAUUUUAAAAAUAUAACAAUAAAAUAAUAUCGCAGGAUAUUUUUAUUUAAUUUAUACAUGAUUAGAUUUAUAAAACAAAUAAAUAUUUUUUUAGUAUGAAUAUAUAAAAUCUUAUAUCCUAAACCUCUAAAAAAUUUUAUUAUAUAUUUAUUUUUAUAUUAAAUUUGUUCUCAUUAAUUAUUUAUUAUAUAUUAUUAUUUUUUAUUUAAAAUAUCCAUAAAUAAUUGAAAUCAAUAACUAUAAAAAGAUGAAAUGGUGACAAAUUUUGAAAUUAAAAAGAUUUCAUGAAGCCUAUACAAUAAUAUAAAAAAAACAUUGCACAGUGAAAAAAAAAUAAAAUUCAUAUGGUAUGGUUGAUUGUCACACGAUAAAGUUUUUAAAAAAUAAAAAUUGUUAUAGUUCAUGGUAGGUAGGAGGACAAAAGGGUAAUUUUAGAAUUUUGAUGAAUAUAACUAUUUAAGUGUAUAUUUAUAGGAUUAGUUUUUGUAAGCGAGAAGUCAAGUCAAACCUCUCAAAAAAAAUCUUUUUUUUUUAAGGUGCACAUGAUUAUAUGAUUCUUCCUAUUCAAGGCUGGGGGCCCAUGCUGAAAUGAUAUGUCAACAACCCUCCUUAAAGUAGAGUUGUAAAAGCUACUUCCCUUCUAUGUCUCCGGCCGAUAUUUCAGUCUAGCGUGGCGGCUUUUAACGCUUCAUCUACCUAUCUUCUUUUACGUUGAGCGUGGAAUCCACCGUCAUCUCUAGCCUCAGCAUAUGAUUUGAACUUAGGAGAUACCCACACUGACUUUUCAAGUUUUGUCCAGUUGAGGAAACUUUGAAAAUUAUUUAGCAGAAGACUGAUAAUGCAACCUUCUUCAUAAGAUGGGUGAUUUUUGAACACUACUGUACUCUAACCAAAUACCAUUUGUGCUUAUAUGUGAUACAGUGGAUGGAAUAUCUUUUCCCCUUUAUUACGCAAAUACUUGUUUAAUAGGUAGGGAAUUUUUUUAAAUUAGUCCCCCAUCCAUGCCCAUUAGAGGUUCUGAAAUUCAUUUGUAACAUUUAUGAUUUUUUGGAAAAUAAAAGUACCUACUCCAAUAAUACCAAUAUGAAUGGUACCACCAAACUUUCGUACGUAUCUAUAAAGAAGGAGAAGGUGCCCAAACAAUGUAUCCAGAAAAAAACAUUCAAGAAAAUAAUCCCAACUACUAGAUUUCAACAAGUAGGAUUUUGAGCAUAAAAGAAACAAAAUAAAAUAAAAAUAAUGACGGCUUCGAAUGACAUCACUGACCCAACGCAGGCAGAGGAGUUAGGAGUUGCGUGGAAAUUGUGAAAGGCGUAGAUCACGCCACAUGGAAGCAGUGGAGACAUGGCCAGUAGGAUAAUUAAUAUCCAUGUGGAUAACAGAGUGGAUCAAAACAAUGCCAUUCCCAUCAUGAAUGAACACUCAUUAACUUCUGCGUUUACUUGACUUUUGAGAGAUUUGCAAAACAUGUAGAGAGAGAUAUCACCGGAAGAGUUUUCUUCUCAUUAAUCAUGUUAUGACUUUUAGUAAUAAAAUAAGUAUGCAGCUGUUUAGAAAGAAAGAUCAGCAUGGGUAGUAGCAACGCGCAACAAAAAGUCCCAUCAGACUUCUCAUCCCUGGGAAUCUUACACACUCGCUAGGUAGACUAAUCAAACCAGGACCCAACUGGUACAAGCUACUGUUUCAACCACUCAAUAUUUAAGGAAUCACUUCCUAGUCACUAAGAACAUAAACUAAUCAAACCCAACCUGGCACAGGCUACCUUAUCGACUAGUCAGUACUCAAGGGAUCAUUUCCUAGUCACCAAGAUCGUUAAUUUAGAAAAUCUUACACUGAAAAAUGACCUAUUCAUCUGCAUGAGCAUAUGCCUUUCACAUCCCACUGAAUAUAAUCUUAACAUCUGUUUCAUUAGUAUGAUUCUCUUAAGCUAUUGACUUCAAUAUUUACUUGGAAAUGAUAUCAAAGGGAAAAAGAUUACCGAUUCAGAAAAAUGUAAAGCAAGGUACAAAAUACUAGAUGGAGAUAUUUCAAAGAAAGAAAUUCUUUUCCUAUAGCUAAACUAAUGCACACGAUCAAAUCUAACACUGACAUUUGUUCUUGGAGCCAGACAGAAAGCCAAGUACAGAUACAGAGUGUUUUCAAGAUGGGAUUAUUUGGUGUUUUUAACUAUUUGAGUUGAAUGAUGAAAACACAUGACUUCAACAAUGACAAACCAAAUUGGUUAGUAUCCUGCUUAAUAACCGUAGUUUGCUCCAUUCACCGGGCCAUAGCCUCCAGUGUGGCUUGCAUGUGCUGGGUUGGAUGCAGGAGAUGCAUACAUCGAACCAUGAGCUGCAUAAGAAUUAUAGCCUGGGUCAGCAGAUCCACCAGUUUGGGCCUGUGCUGGUGCAGCAGCUUCAGCCAUAAAAUUCUGCAACACAAACAAUCAUUACAAGCAGACAAGUCCAAUUUGAUUACAUAAUGAAGCAUUGACAAAGAAUAAACAAAAUUUUAAUGGAAAAAUCGACUUUUUUGGUUGAGUAAGAUCCCAAUAAAACAAUAAUUAAACAAUUCUAUAUUAUAAGUAAAAAUCAAUGAUGAAGCUAAAUGGAAAAGAAUGAAGUCCAACUGUCUGAAUUGCUGACCACACUUAACAUUUCAAUAAUAUAUAUCCUAUAAAAAAAAUUCUUUAAUUCUUUAAUUCUAGUAAUAAAGUCGGUCCCACCAUACCUACCCCCACACGCACCCAAACACCACAUACAAGGAGACAUCAGAAACAAUGAUCUAAUGCUAAGCAAUGUCAUUAUGCAAAUGGAAACUGCAAUAUUAGCAAAGACAAACCAACAACUUGGUAUCAAAAACAGGGAGGAAGAGUGCCUGUAUCAGUUGCUGAGCUGCUUGGACUUGGGAAGCAGUUCCAUUGAUUCACGUGGCUACAAAAGACUCUUUAGGAGAAAGUUGAGGAGUUCACAUGUGUAUAGGAAGAUUGAUUCACAAGGCCCUUGAAAAUUUUCUAUUUAAAGCUCUUGUAAGGAAAAUGGGAGACAUAUCUUCCUUCUCCAUCAUUCCUUCUUUUCUCAUUUCUUUUUUCUUGAUAUAAAGCUAAGGAUUCUCUCAUUUCUUUCUUCUUCAUUGUAAGUUACUUGAUUGAAGCCAAAAUAUGUGCUCCAAUGGCACAUAUAUGAUGUUAUAAUUUAUGUAAUAUAAAAAGUUCAAAUCAUCCAACUUAACUUAAUUUCAUGCUAUGGCCAUAGUUAUGGAUCUAACUUUUAUUUUGAGCCUAAUUCUAAGUUUAAGGGAUGACAUAAAUGGAUAAGUGCAAAAGUCAUUAUCAACCAAGAAAGUAGAAGGGGUUAAACUAUAACUAAGAGACUCAAGACUUAUGAACCAUGAAAGUCCAAGAAAGGGUGUAAGAAGCAAGCCAUAGGCAUGAAAUACCAAUAGUAGAUGUUAUGGAUUGAGAUAGCAACUUCCUCAUGAUCAAAGACUGGAAAGUUUUUUUAAAGAACUUAGAAUAAAAUGUUGUUUUUAGCUACCAAGGCACAUAUAUGACCAGAAAAUUCAAUUAAGGCAACAUAUUUCUUCUGUCUUUUUUUUUUUUUUUCUUUUUUUUCAAGUUUCACAUAUGUAAAGAGAAAUAAAGCAGUGGAACCAAUGCAUAAUCUAAAAUCAUCGAAUUUCGAUGCACAUACCUUUUUUAUUUUCUCCCAGAUCCAUAUUUGAUUGGACAAUGUCGAUAGCCUUCAAAUAUUUCUUGUUUGAUGCCUUCUUAUCCACUCUACGAUCUCCGAGCUUUGACCCAAAAUGCUACACUUUAAAAAAAAAAUCCAUAAAGUAAACCUAAUGUGAAAAUAAUGCCCAAUCUAGUGCAUUUGUGCCACAUAGAUUGCCACAUCAUAAAACCGUAAUUGGUAACUACGGUUUUAUUUUUUUAAAACAUUCAAAACUGUAGUCACCAACCACGGUCUUAACUUUUUUAAAGUUAAAACCGUGGUUGGUAACUACGACUUUGACUGUUUUUACAAAUAGUCAAAGUCGUAGUUACCAACUACGGUUUUAACUUUAAUUCUAAAACCGUAGUUGGUGACUACAACUUUGACUAUUUUAAAAACAGUCAAAGCCGUAGUCACCAACUACGGCUUCAACUUUAAUUUUAUAUAUAUAAAUAAUUAUAUUGCUUGAUUUAAAAUAUUUAACUUUAAUUUAUUUAAAUAAAAAUAUUAUAUUAUUUUGAUUUUAGAUUGACUAAAAAUAUGUGAGUGGUUUAAUAAAAAUAUUUAACUUUAAUUGAUCUCAUUAUUUAAAGAAUAAUAAUAUAUGAAAUUAAAUAAUUGAUGUCUUUAAUUUAAUAUAAAAAUAUUUUGGUUUAGUUUUAUUAAAAUAUUUGACACUAUACUCAAUAUAAAUAUAAUUAGUUAUAAAUAUACUAUUUUAUGCCCUCAUAAUGAAGAAUAUUAUAUUAUUUUGUAACUUUGUACAAAAAGUAAAGCCAAUUAUGCAUUUGUACAAAACAUAAUAUGACUUCAAGUGGGUAAAUAAUUGGAAAAUUACUUAAAUACAACAAAAAUAAUUUUAUUUUCUCCAAUUUUUUCCUUUCAAAAUGGGAUCAAAAUGGAAUGGAAAGGCUUAAAAUUUUAAACUUAAAAUGCCAACCUAAUAGAAUUUGUUUUUCCACUUCUUAAAAUAUAGAAUUGUAGAAAGAAAAUACCUAUGUUUUUCCAAUCAAUUCACCAUUUAGUUUAACUGUUUUGGUAAAUAAAUGAAAAUGCUUUUAGAACAUUUUUGUAAAUUCAUUGAGAAUAAGAAAAAUGUUCCUUAUUGGGUUUUAACGGGAGUUUUGGACAAAAAUGAUUUCUUCAAAACAAAAAAUUCAUAAAUUAAUUUUAUUCUCAAAAUAAUUUUCAAUGUGAUGUGUGUCUUAUUCAUGAGGGUAUUUACAUCAUAAAACUGUAAUUGGUAAUUAUGAUUUUUGAUUUUUUUUUAAAUAGUCAAAAUAGUAGUUGGUGAUCAUAGCUUUAAAUUUAAACCUAAAACCAAUUUUUUUAAGUUCAAAUUUUAAACCAUGCGAAUGUUCAAUUUUUUAAGAAUUAUUUUGAUUGGAGGUUAAGAUUGUAAAUUAGUUUUAAUGCAUUAUUUUUUCUAUAUUGAUAUAGUGUUGUUGUAACUAAUUAGUUACAAAAUUUUAGAUUGUAGAAUUGCUAUAUAUAUAUAAGUUCAAUUUAAGUUUAAAAUUGAUCAUAUUUUCAUUUAAAUAUAUAAUAAUUUGUUCAUAAUAAUAAUAAUAAAAAGUUAACAAUAUAAUGCAAAUGAAAAUAAACACAAAAACUAAAAACUAGUCCUCAAUGAGUGCCACAUGAUGGGGUGGGUCUUCCUCUUUCUUUGCGGACACCUAUGAUACACAGACAUCUUUGUGGAAUCUAACUGUGCAAUCUGCCAUGUCUUAGUAUGUAUAGGUUGAGAUGGAGCUGAUGGAGGCAAGACUCGACGUCUACGUGGACCACGAUGUCUCCUAGGUGGACAUACAUCUAACUAUGUAACAUGUGUAAGGGUAUGAUGCAUGGUAGUCUCUAUGGGAAGAGGUGUAGGUGAUGGUAAAGUGGUAGAUGGUGGGGUGAUCUCAGGUACAGUGAUAUCUGAUAUGGUAGCAUCUAAGAGAGGUGAUAUAGGAGAUGAAAGAAUGACAUCUACUAUAGUGGUAGCUGGUGCAAUAACAUCUGAUAUAGUAGGCUCGAGGAGAGAAAAUAUAAAUGAUGAUGGUGAGGUGACAUGUGGUGUAGUGGUCUCCUCGAGACAAGGUAGAGGUGAUGGUAGAUUAGUAGAUAGUGGGGUAGUCUCUGGUGUAGUGACAUCAGGUAUAGUGGCGUCUGUGGGAGGAAAUAUAGGUGAUGGUAGAGUGCUAUCUGAUACGACAUGCUCUAAGGGAGAAGGUCUAGGUGAAGGUGAUGGUAGGGGUGAAGGGGGAAGUGUGGAAACCUCAGGCGCAAAUGGGGUAGAUGAUGUAAAUGGUGCUAACAUGGUCUCGGGUGGAUGCAUAGAUCAUCGAGGUUGUCGACCAGUUCGCCCACCAUCUCUCCUACUAUCUCUCCCUCGGCCUCGAAUAGGCUACAUCCUAACUGUAGUGGCUAACACAGGUGGUCUCAUAGAUGGGUAUGAUGAUGUAGGCGACUGACGGGCAAAAUGUAUGCGAUGGUCCUCACCAAUAACAUGCAAAAUAUCAAUAGCAAUCCGAUGAAUGUCGCCUAAUGCACCUGAAGUAGGCUCAGCAGAUCGACUAGCAAUCUCAACCAUACCAGUGAUCUAUUAAAAAAAAAAAAAGUUAAACAAACGAAGAUGAUUUUUAAUUAAUUAAAAUUUAAUAAACCAUUUAUAAAUUAAAAAAAUCUUACCAACAACUGAGUAGUUGCUGCUGUACUAUGAUACCUCAUCUGAUCUCUAUAGAGAGGGGGUGUGAUCAAACGUCGUGUAAUACGUCGGUACCACUCCAUAUAUGGAUCAUGAAACUGCAUAGCACCCACCAUAGGUGGUGCCGUCACAAUACGCUCCGCACAACUAGCUCAUAAGGUAAUAUACUGUGCAUGAAAUGCCUCCCAAUCAUACUUAUGUCGUCCUCGCCUAUCCACGGAAUGGAGGUGUUGCUCUAUGGAACAAGAUGGAGGUAUCCCUUGUUGGAGGCCAAACUGUCGCAACACUCGCUCCAGUCGAUGCCACUCGACAAUGUCAAAGCAGAUAAGAGGUGUCAUCAUCCUCCAAAUCUCCUAGUCUGCUAGAGAUAUCGCUGGAAGAUGGGCAACUAAGUCUCCCAUGUAAGGCUCCCAUAAAACUUGUUAAAAUCAAUAUUUGAAAUUAAUAAAGUUAACGUUUAUAUGGUUAACAAUAGCACAUUAGAUCUUAUAUGUACCUGGUCAUGGGUCUGUGCAUCUAAUUGGUCUCGAUAAAAUGUCAACACACGUGAUGGGUUUUGAGCCCAUGAUAAAGGUACUUUCCACCUACAUCCUAACAGAUCAGCUAGUAAACCCUCGUGUAACAAUGCCUCAUCCUGUAAUCCCUGCUCUAAAUGCUCAGUUGGUAAAUCAUCAACUGCAUCAUGCUCUAAAUGCUGGGCUGCUGGAGGGGCUGGUGGUUGACCAAAAUCGAGUUGACCCAGGUGGAGUCUCUCCCAAGACCAUAACUGCAAAAAAAUGUAACAUUAAAAUUUUACUUAAAUUAAAAACUUGAAACAACUAGAAAUUUCAAUCUAAUGUGAAUAAUUAAUUAUACCUGUAAUAGUGUGACACAUCCAGCAAUAUCGGUGGCACCAUCCAAACUCACUCGACACAACUCCCUAUAUAGGUGUGCUAAUACUGCACUACCCCAACUAUACAUAGAUGUUUGAGUCAAGUCUCUAAGAAGUGGGAGAUAACACAUAUGUAUGUGAGUACCCUUCUUGUCUGUGAAUAGCGUUGAACCUAUGAGUCCUAAUAUGAAAGCCCAUGCAUAUUGCUCUAAUGUGGCAUCAUCUAAAUCAAUUGGUGGAUGAGAGAACUGGUGACAUAGUCAUCGUGUCGAUAUCGCUGAUCCUUUAAUCUCAGAUGUAAGGGGAGUCACCCCUAAAAGUUCAUAACAUAGCAAUGACCAAUCUAUAUCACAUGUGCCAGUGAUGGGAAGCCCAUGAAUACGAAGACCUAAUAUGACAGCAACAUCCUGUAAAGUAAUGGUCAUCUCCCCAACAGGUAAGUGAAAUGUGUGUGUCUCAGGACGCCAUCUCUCAACUAGACUAGUGAUCAAUCCGCAAUCUAGUGUAAUGUGUCUAAUACGAUAUACAUCAUAAAAUCCAGAUCGAAUAAUAUAAGGUCAAAGACGAGGAUCCAUCUUCCACUCCUGCAUAAACCUAGAUAUAUGUUGUUGACAAGUCAAGAUUGAAGCAAGCUGUAAAAAUACAAAUAAAUCAUUUAGAUAAUAAACUGCAAUUUUUUUCAUUCUUUAAAGAGAUAUUAUGUGUUUUCAUAUACAUACCUGACCAGAGUCAACUAAAUGAGACCUAUGUCUAUCAUGUAGAACCAAAAUAGACGUAUCUAAUGGAUCUGGAUCAGAACUAUGUCCUCUAUACUCCAUAUCUGUAACAAAAUUGUGAAGAUAAAUAAACAAUACUUAUUGUUUUUAAAUAAAAAAUAUUUUUAAUGGAAAAGUUUUAAAAAUUUAUGGAGUUUUCCAUAUAUUAAGUAUAUAUCAGUUUGAUAAAUUUAAGUAGAUCAAUUCAUUUAUGACCAAUAAACAAGUCAUACUAGUUUAAAAUAAAAUUAGAGAUACAAAUACAAUGAAGCAUUUUGUUAACAUUUUUAAUAGAAAAUUUCAAAAUUUUGACAGAGUUUCCCCUAUAGUAUGGAUAUUAUUCCAAAUACAAAUAACAUGAUUAGGCAAAUAACAUCAAUAUUUAUAAUCAAACCAAAGCCAAUAAUUGAAUAAAGGUAGUAUCAUAGUAGCUUACAUCACAAUAUCCAAGAAAAUUACAUGCACACAUCACAAGGUCUAAUCAACUCUAUUACUGUUUUGACAAGAAUGACGAUUGUGGCCACUUUGUUUGCAUAACCCACAUGUAAUAGAAGUCUUGCCCUCUCUAACAUCCAUUUCAUUAUGCAAACGACUUGAUUUAGGUCGUCCACUCGAUGCACGUUUCAUCGACUUAGAAGGCAUGAUAAUCGGGCCAUCAUAAGGAGGCCACUCAUAUACAUUGAAAAUGGGAUGGAACAAGGGUGCCCAAGUAUUAUAGUACGAUUGUGUACUGUAGUAGUGUUGAACAAGUGGUCUAAAAUCAACUGAACGAAAAUGACAUGCUGCUAGAAUAUGACUACAUGGGAAUCCAUAUAUGAGUGUUUUACCACACAUGCAUGCAUACUCCUGUAAGUUGACGCGAUAUGUUCGACCACGAGUUGAGCUACUCUUAGUACCCCUAUUACUCUUCACGUGGAAUUGUCCUUAGAUGUGAUCAUAUAAAAUAAUCUCAUAAGAUCCCACCUUAACCACAUUUGCCUUCAUCUUAGCAUCAACAUAUGGAGUGUAUUCCUCACUUGAAGCAAGUCGAUUAGCACCUUGUUCCCUUCUCACAACAAAGUAACUAUUUAGCCGAAAAAAUGUCAAUUGAACCAAAGCAGUUACGGGUAAGCUACGAGCCCCUUUAAGCACACUAUUGAACACCUCCGACAUGUUUGUAGUCAUGAUGUCGUACAUUCGACCUCCGUCAUGAGAGAGUGUCCAUUUCUCAAAAGGGAUUGCUUCCAACCAUUGUUGUGCGGCUGCAUUAAUCCUCCCAAUUGUGUUCAUAUGUUUAUUGAAUUUUUCAAUCUUGGUUGCUAAGGCUCCUCUGCACAUAAGAUUUUUCAAUAUUUUAUCCUUGAAUCGAGUCAUAAAAUUGCUAGCAAGAUGACGCAUACAAACCCUAUGAUAUGCGUAUGGCUCAGACCAACCAAGAUGAACAUCGCUCAUUGCAGCCAUAAUGCCUGGAUGUCGAUCUGAUAUAACACAAAGUUUCCUCCUAUUAGUGACUCUUGUUCUAAUACAUGCCAAAAACCAUCCCCAACUAUCAAUAUUCUCACCCUCUGUUAGGGCAAAAGCCAAUGGGAAUAACUGAUUAUUUCCAUCACAACCCAUAGCAAUCAUUAAAGUGCCUUUAUACUUCCCAUACAAAUGUGUACCAUCAAUACUGAGUACAGGCCGACAAUGCUUGAAUCCUUCAAUAGAUGGUUGAAAUGUCCAAAAAACUCGUUGAAAUAUUUCUGUAUUCUCCAUAAUACCAGGAAAUGUUUUUGAAAUUACAACACAUCCUGGAUUUGCCUGCUCUAAGGCAAUGAAAAAAUGGGGCAGCUCUGCAUAUGACUUAUAAAAAUCACCAAAUAAGUUUGUAAGAGCUUUAAGCUUUGCUUUAGAUGCAUUCUUGUAUGACAUUUGGUAUCCGAAUUUCUCCACAAUACUUGCUUGAAUAGCAGCCACUGAUAAUGUGAAUUGUGCCUUAAUCAUUCCUUGGAUAUGAGCAGCAAUCAAGUUGGAAUCUAAUUGUUGAUGAUCCCGAUUCAAGCAAGGAUUUACACAUUUGUGGGGACCAUUGUGUUUAUUGAUUGCAAAUGAAGUUGUACCUUUUACAACCAUAGCAUGAAGUUUCCAUGGACAUUGCGAUUGCUCAGCCUUCUUGCAUCUUAGGACCAACAACUUUGUAGUUGACGAAACAACAACGUACUCUUGGUGUUGACUUAAAGAGUACAACUUCGCAGCAUGUUGUAAAUCUGCUUUUGAAUUAAAAACUUGGCCAACCAUGAACUCUCCACCUGAGUUUCCAAUAUUAGUGUUCCCUCAUGGGGUCCAGUCACUUGAAACGGCGUUACCAAUGUUUUCUACAUUUUCAAACUGCAAUGAUGGUGCCGAGUGAUACUGAACAGGGGAAUACUCUAUUGGAUCAUCAGGAUCUGGGUUAUUUGACAUAUCACAACAUUCCCCAUCCACGGAGACAUAUCUCCCUUGUUCACUUUCCAUUGCUUCGUAAAGAGCUAAGAAAGAUGAAACAACAUUAACAUUAUUGUUUUCCUCAUCAAUAAAUUCAAACACCCCAUCGCCAUCAUGUUGAACAUCUUCUGCUCUCUCACUUUGAUCAUCACCUUCUUGGGAUUCACAUUCUUCUUCAUUUUCAUUUGCUCUACACUCAUAAGUCAUUGCAACUGGGGCACUACUAGGUCCACAACCAUACUCAAAUUCCUCAACAUUAUCAUUUUGUCCGAGUAAUAAUUGUGUGAAGUUACCCAAAAAUUGCCCCCUCUCCCGUGGUUGUAUUGGCACUUGUUCAAUAUACAAUUCAAUUUCGUCCAUUCCAAAUGUGUUAACCAAUUUCAACAUUUGAGAUAAACUAUUAUCAUCCCAUAUUGGACAAGGUUGAAACCUAUUUUCCCUUUUUAAAGGAUAUCUACAGUUGAGGACUAAUUGAAAUUGUUUUUUGUCAAUGCCAGUUCUCGAGUAUAUCCUAGAUAACAAGUGUUCAUAGGUUGAACUAACAGGCACAUCCAAAGGCACAAUUACAACUAGAUCCCCAAUAUACUUUACAUCUGUUUCUGUCCUCAACAUUUUUCCUUUACAAAAGCAAAUCACAAGAACAAUAGAUUCAGACAUGAUUUACCUACAAAAAAUACAAUAUCAAAUGGUUUAAUAAUCAAUGAAAAUAAUAGCAAGAGAAAUUGCAUAUAAUAUUUUAACAUGUGAAUACACAAUUAUAUAAUAAAACACAUUUUUACACAUUAGGAGGAAAAAUAUAAAUCACUUCAUAAUAAUAAUUUUUUUAUUUAAAUAGUUAUCUAUGAUACAAAUAUAAUCAUAGAUAAAUGUUUUAUAGAAUUUUAAUUUAAAACUUAGGUAGUGGGCUAUAAAUCAAUAAAUGUUGAGUUAAAAAAUUACAAUAAUCUUAAAAUUAAAUAAAAAAUAAUCCAUCAAAAAAAAAUUUUAUUAUAAAAUAUCAUAUAUUAAAAUAAAAUUGAACGUUAUGAACUAUUAAAUAAUACAUAAUUUAAAUAAUUAUGUUAUUAUUCAUGAAUCAAUUGAUAUUUGAUUAAAGCUAAAAGUCGAAAAAAAAAUCAAAAUCAAAAUCAAAUGAAAGUAACUGACAAAAAAAAAUAUAUUAAUAAAAUAUCAAUUACACAAUUAUAAAAAUUUGAUAUAUGUGUUUAUUCUGUUUUUGGAAAGCUAGGUCCCUUCUUUUGACUAGUUUCAUUGAUCAGGAGCUGUCUAGAUGAGAAAUUGUGUGUGAAGAUGAAUCAAAAACCUAGGAUAAAUCAACAAUUUCAUAUGAAUUACCAAAUUGCAGAUCUAAAACAGGGGACAACAUGGGAUAUGGGAAGCAUGACCUCAAAAAGAUAGUAGAACCAAGGAUGAGACAUCAGUUUUCAUGGAUAUAUCGGUAGUUGGAUUUUACGAAUAUACUAGGAUAUAUCGGGAAAUAUCAAUGGAAAUUUUGACAAAUAAAUCGAUGGAAGAAAUUUUGAGGAAAAAAAAAAAGAAAAAACAAGAAAUAAUAUGCAUAUUCAAGUUAUUACUUUUAAAUUAUAUAUAUAUAUAUAUAUAUAUAUAUAUAUAUAUAUAUAUUAUUUCUAAUAUUCGAUAAUAAAUUAAUAAUAUAUAGAACUUGAAAGCACAUUUUACAUUGAUAUAUCUAAAAGAUACAAAAGAAAUGAUGAUAUAUGUAUGAUUUUUAAAAUAUUUGAAAUUUUUUUUUCUAUUAAGUUUAAUUAAUAAAAAAAUAUGAACAAAGACUCAUUAAAAAAUUUAUGAUAAUCAUUUUUAUAUUUUUUAUACUUAAAUCAAAUUUGGAAAUAAGAUAAUUAAAAUUAAAUUAUUUAUUAGAUGUUUAUUUUAAUAUCUUAUGUAUGAUAAAAAUGUAUUAAAAAUAUAUUUGUCUCCAAAAUUCCUUUAUUUUUUUUAUUAAAAUGAGAAAAAUAAAAAUUUGUGUGUGUGUAUAUAUAUAUUUAUUAACAAUUGUAAAAAAAAAAAUCACAUUAGUCCCACUGGUCAUGAACUCUUUUGCCAUGUAUAAGAACAAGGGGGUUUGAGUUUUUAAUAUGGUUUUCCCAAAAUUUAAAUUAUUUAUGUUGUCUACCAUAUGAAGUAACAACCAUCUGGAGUGGCAACAAAAAGGUCAAGAUCAGAUUCUGAUGGCUAGGAUAAAGGCCUUGAACCCACCUUAAUAAUAGCAACCAUUACUUUGUUUUCGUGUACACUCUUUCCUCUCUAAAUACAAGGCAAAAAAAAAAAAUUGUUUAAAUGAAGGGCUCUCAUUUUUUCUUCUUCAAAAUUGGCAACUUCCAUACAUAUCAAGAAGAUAACUAUUAGGCAAAUACUAAGUGGAAGGAAAUUAACAAAAGUUGAACUGUUACAAACUUAUACUAGAGGCCUUCUACUCCAAGUGUACUAAGCCUUUCAUUGUACCAUGUAUAUUGUGAAAAGAUCAUAAGCUUAAAGCUACUAUACUUUUUCUCUUUUUCACAUUAAUUACUUUUCUGCAUGGAAAAUGAAAGCAAAAGAGAAAAACAUGUCCCUUGACACUUUCCAUACCAAACAAUCCAUGGUCAGCGUUUUUGUCUAUUUUACUUGUAACUUUUAUGCACUGCACCUCAUUUACCAUUUUUGUAUUUCUCAAAAACUAGCUAGCUAGGUUCUGUUUGACAGCCUUUAAUUGGUAGGAAUAAACUUCUUUUUGAGAACCCAAAUAUAGAAGUUUUUUUUUUUUGCUCGAGAUACUGUACACUUAAGAAAUAGUACAAAAUUUUCCAACUUAUUCUCAUUAUUUUUAGAUUAUUUUUCAAAACACUCUACAAAAAAAAUAUGUGAAAAAUCCUUAAACUUAUUCAAACAAACCACUCUAUGUUUAGAAUAAAUUUUCAAAAGCUAUUUCCAGUCUACAACUUACCAAACAUUGAAAAACCAUUGUUUGUUCUAAAAACAAAACUUUUUUAGAAAAUAGGCCCCCUAAAGGAUCCACAAGAUGAAUAGGGCAAAGAUCAAGGAGAUCAAUAAAAAAUGAUCAGACAGUGAGAUCUAUUAACAUAGUGCUCAAUCUAAACAACCUUGUUCACAAAAAAAAAUAAAAAUAAAUAAAAAAAUAGGUCUAGUUUUUUCAUGAGUUUUACAGUGGUAUGUAUUCAAAUUUCCAUGGAAUGUUUUUGACAAUGAGAAACGUAAGAUUGAACCCACAAGAAGAGAGAAAAACCAAGCUUUGAAGCUUACCUAUCCACAAAUACAGGAGAGCAACCUCAGAAGAAGAAGAAGAAGAAGAAGAAGAAUAUGCUUGUACUAAAGCUUUUGAUUAAGGUUUAAUUUGGAAGAGAAUGGCAAAGAGAUUCUUGAGGUAAACCAAAACAGUAGCAGGAGAAGGAGAAGAAGAAGAAGAAGUAGAAAGAAUAACUAAAAAGGAAGUUGAUCAUGAGCCCUGCCCUUCAUUCAAUUCAUCUGUUUCCCAUGAAAAUAUAUAUGAUGUAAGUCCGAAUAUUGGCUAAAAAUCCAGAAACACAGAUAAUAAAUUUAAAAAUUAUUUUUUACAUUGGGGGUUUCAAGUAAAAUUUUGAAAAUAACUGACAGAUAGUUUAAAAAAUUAUCCUCAAAAAUUGUUUUUUAUAACAAUUUUUAAAAACAGUAUUAGACAAGUUCUAAUAAUUUCUUACUGAGUGGGAGAAUGAGAGAAAAUACAAAUAAAAUAAUUAAAAAUCUUAUAUAUACCAACUGAUGAAGGAUUGAAUGUUCUAGUUUUCAACUUUUCAUUAGUUCAAUAAAAUUACAAUAAAAGGAAUGAGAAUUUCUGCAGAUGCAAAGAAGAGAAUAGAUUUAACAAUAAAAAAUCAUUAAAUUAUGUUUAAUCAGAAUCUCACAGGAAGUUGAAUGGAAAAAAAAUCAAGUAUCACCAAACUAAAGAACUAUAUAAACAAAUCUCAAGGUUCCAGGAAGUGGAGAACUAAACAACAAAACAUUUUGCAUAUAUUUUGAGAAUGGGUUUAAGAUUCUUGUUCAGAUAUUUGAAGAUAUACCAUCUGAGUGGUCCCCUCACUCUUGGUAACAAAUAUUUGAAGAUAUUUUCUAUUUCUAUAACAAAAAUCAUCGGAGUUUUUUUUAUAGUGGUUCCCUCCAUUUUUGGUAUCUUUAACAAAAAGAAAUCCAUACUGGUCCCCCAUUCCAUAUCCGUUUUCUUUACCAAAAAAACCAUUUUCUUUCUGCUAAGCUCAAAAUCAAAAUAAAAUCAAACAUGUCUUUACCAAACAGAAACCAAACAAAUCUGUAACAACAAACCAAACAAAUUUACAAAAAAAAUAAAAUAAAAUUUACGAUUAACUGAAAAAUUCAUAAAUCUUACCUGACAACGACUUCCAAAAUUUGAAUUUGAACCAAGGAUGCAAAGGGAAGGAUGAAACCCUAAAGGGAAGAACGAAACCUUAAAGGGAAGAACAAAAGCCUAAAGGGAAGAAAGCCAAUCGGGGAAAUGGAGAAACCUAAUGGGAAAGGGACGAAAAAGGAAUUCAAAACUGUAGUUACCAACUACGGUUUUGACCAAUUUAAAAAAAUUCAAAACCGUAGUUACCAACUACGGUUUUAUGAUGUGGCAUUCCACAUGGCCCAAACGCACUAGAUUGGGCAUUAUUUUCAUAUUCGGUUUAGUUUAUGCAUUUUUUUUUAAAUGCGGCAUUUUGGGUCAAAGCUCACGAUCUCCGGCCAAAAUCCGGAUGCUGUUGUACUAUCCGUACAUAGCAGCUAGAUGCAAAGUCGUGUUGCCUUGAUUAUCUAACUCAUUUAUUAGGCUUUCCCAUCUUGGUUCUUUUAGAGUAUACUUCAUCACUAUAGACUUCCCACAUUGGGCUGCAACGUGAAGAAUGGUCCAACCUUUAUUGUCAACCAAAUUAUUAGCACAUGGACAGCGUUUGAUGAUCUCUGCCAUCAUAUCAGGGUAGCCUUUUUUAGCUGCUAUGUGAAGAGCAGAACUAUCUUCUUUAUCCCACAAGUAAGCAACUGAUUUAUCACAUUCCAGCAAUUUCCUAGUCGCUUCAAGAUGUCCCAAUUGUGCAGCAUAAUGAAGGGGAGUCCACAUAAAUAUGUCUGUUUCUGUGACCAUAUCUUUCUUUUUGUCCAGUAGUAUUGCAAUAAUGUCAUCUAGCAAUUUAGACCAAGAAAAAGAAAUAUAAUUAAAACAGACUUUUUCAUCCAGAGUACUUUUAGAAAAUAUAUUACGUUCUUUUUAUUUUAAUAUCAGAUAACGGCUCAGGAUUACUUCCCCAUGAGAAGGAUCAGGCAUUAUGCAAUGAAUUUUCCCAUCAAUUAUAAAGAGGGUAGCUACUAGCCAGUGUGGCAUAUAUUGUAAAAGUAAUUGUGUGAUUUUCUUUCCCUGGUCUUACUACUUUUCUAGUUUAGUUAAGCUCUCCACCUAUCAAUUAGAAAAGCAGAAGUAAAGGUUUGGGCUUGGGUAAGUAUUCUUCAAAAAUAAUUCUAAAAAAUAAUUUAUAAGAACUAUUGAAAACCAUUUUCUGAUGAUAUUUUAUAAAACAAAAGUUCUAAUGGCUGUAUUAUUAUGCUUGGUUGGAACUAAUGAAUACAAUUCUGAUGACUAUCUGUCAUAAGUAUAGGAAGGCCAUGCACUCCAUGUAGAUUUGUUCGGCGUCUGUCAGGAAUCAAGAAUCAGUUAAUGGGGCUCCGAAUGUUCUACUAGCCUUGCCAAAAAGUACUUCAUGAGGCUAAACUCAUCCACACUAAAGUGGUGUUUUUUUUUUUUUUUACUUAAUUCUAAAUAGAAGUUUAAUGCUUAAUAGCGUUAAGUAUUAAGUUAUUUAUUUUUAUAAUACUUUAUUUCUAUUAAGCAUUAAAAAGUAAAAAAAAAAAAAAAAAUCAACAUAUCACUUUUUCUAUUCAAUAAAAAGUUUAUAAUAAAUCAUGAAAAAAUAAAAAAACAAAUGAUCUAAAGUUUGAAAGCAAAUUGCUUUUAGCAAAAAACUAAAAAAAACGCUCUCUAAGUCUAUAGAUUUAUGUGUUCUUGGCUUUGUAUAUCUUAGACAUGUUGGAUAAUGGUGUAACAAAGAUUUCUCCAUUUUUUUCUUAUGCAUUUUCUUCUACAAUAUUUUUCAAGCAUCCCGUUGUAGGGAUAUUUACACAUAGUGCAAUUUUGCUUUAUUUUUGUUGGCAACUUCUUCUCUCUGUUGUAUUAUUCCAAGUACCUUAUGUUACGUCUGACUCUAAAAAAUUAUUAAAUGAAGGAAAAAUAUCAAGAAACUUAUUAUUAUUAUUAUUAUUAUUAUUAUGUUUAGUUUAUCAAAAAUUAUUAAAGGAAGGCAAAAAUUGUUAAAAAAAAUAAUUUUUAUUAUAAAAAAAUUAGAAAAAUAAAUACAAUUAAAAUAGGUUAAAAAAAUUAUAUAUGUCCAAAUUAUUUUACAGUUGUGUAAAAAGGAAGAAAAAAAAAAUGAGAAAAAUGAAUUUGAAAAAAUAUUAUUAAUAAUUUUUUAACUUUCAAUUAAUUUUUCAUCUUCCUUUAUUUUUGUUUAUGUUUUCCUUGUCUAGUAUAUUCCUUCAAAAUUUCUAAGAAUCAAACAUGUGGGUUGCGGACUGGUUCGCUGGCCUGCUGGCCUGCUUGCCCGCUUGCCUGGUCCAAGCAUGAAGUUGGGUUGACCUCUAAUGGUCCCUUGGUGGACCAACCCACCAACCUAACCAAACGAAGGUUGCUACCUUGGAUCAAGUGUCUGGGAUUUGAGUAAUAUCUUCUCCUGGGUUAUUAAAUUUUUAUUAGUUUUCAACGGUUUUCUAUUUGUAAUGAUUAAAUUUUUAUUGUAAAAAUGGCUCAUAAAAACAUUGAUUAUCCUAUAACAAUGUUCCAGAAGCAAGAGAUUAUUUACCAUAGCUUUGAACCGCUAAUUUUGAAUAUUGAAAUAAGUGGAAAUAGAAAUAAAUACUAUUAUUAUGUUUAACUUUAUGAAAAUUGUUGUAAAUGAAGUGGUGAAUGACCACAUUGAUGGUCAUUUAUGAACUCCAUUCACUACUACAAAAAUAGUUUAUGGUGUCACUAUUUACGGUGUCACUUUUAAAAUAAUGACACCAUAGGAUUUAUAAUUAAUAAAGGUGACACAUCAUAUAAAAAAUCUUCAAUUGAGGUAGUUAGAUGAUAUUAAUUUUAUAUUUAUAGUGUCAUUUUUUGGGAAGUGACAUCAUAUAAAAUAAUUUUUUUAAGUAUUAUAACCCAUUUUUAGAAUUAAUAAUGAUGGAUACUAUAUAAAAAUCCCAUUGUUUCCAUAUCUCACCCACAAUCCAAAAAAUCUCAAUAUAUAAAUCCUAUAUAUAAAAUCGUGAUCUUCUUCAACCUUUUCUCUCACCCAUAGUCAACAUGCUCACAACCGACAUUCUUCACUUUGUGGACUCCCAAGUAACCCAAAAUCUCUUGGAUCUAUCAUUUUUUUUUUCUUUUAUUAAUGUCAUUAUAUUAAUUGUUUCAACAUCUUUGUAUUAUGAUUUUUGUGAAUUGUGUAUUCUUGAGUUGUAGGGAAGAAAAAUUUAGGUUUAAUCUUCUAGCGUAGAAGAAAAAACUGUAGAUUAAUUGAUUUUUUAAUCUAAACCAAACACAUGAUCAAAUCCUUAAAAAAAGUGAAAAACAGAAAAAAAAAAUGAAUGAUUUUUAAUAUCUAUUUGUGUGAGAAUGACAGGCACAGAAUUUUUUUGAGAUAUACUAUCACAUAAUCUUCAUCCUUUCUAAAAAACGAGAGAGGAAAAAAAAUGAUUUUUCUGUUUGUAUCUAAGUGGGAAUGAGAUAUAGAAUUUCGUUGAGAGUAUCCAACCCCAAAAGGACCAAUUCGGGAAGGCAUGUGUGGUAUUGGCGGAAGAUGAUAAGAUGGAAAUCAUAACCAUAGCCAUGUUCGAUCUCUCUAUGUCUUUCUAUCCUCUUCAAUUAAUUCAUGGGCAUAGAUAUUUUAUUUAGUUUUUAUAUUUAGUUUAUUUAGUUUCUAAAAUCCAAUUAGCUAGAUUUUUUAUUUGAUUUUAUUUUUAUAUUUAAGUAGUUGAGUUUUGGAAAGUUUUUAUAUUUUGUUAAUAGAAAUAGAAAUUUUUAUAUUUUUUAUUAUUAGGAAUUUCUAUUUUGUUAAAUUGUAAGUAUCUAUCUCAAUAAGAGAUUAUUAAUAUUCAAAUGAAAGUGAUGAAAGAGAGUAAAUAUUUUAAUGCUCAAUUAUAUUUUAAUGUUUUUUUUUUUUACAUAAGGGUUUAUUUAUGUUUUCAAUUUUGAAGUUCCCUUUCCAAGUCCAUCAACAAAAGUAGUGUCCAACCUUAAAAUGGGCAUGUGUGGUAUUGACGGGAGAUGAUAAGAUGGAAAUCAUAACCAUAGCCAUGUUCUCUCUGUGUCUUUCUAUCCCCUUCAAUUAAUUCAUGGGCAUAGAUAUUUUAUUUAGUUUUUAUAUUUAGUUUAUUUAUAGUUUAUUUAGUUUCUAAAAUCCAAUUAGCUAGAUAUUUUAUUUGAUUUUGUUUUUAUAUUUAAGUAGUUGAGUUUUGGAAAGUUUUUAUAUUUUGUUAAUAAAAAUAGAUAUGAGGACUUAAAAGGGUUUAUAUUUAGGUAGUGCUUGAGCCAAGGAAAAUGAUAGUCCACUAUCUUGACCCUAUGCAUCACAAACCAUGUGAGGACUUAAAGGAUAUCGUAAACAUGUAAGUUCUUCCUAUUAUUUUUCAUAGUAUUAUUUUUAAAUAAAAAAAAUACAUUCACCUCAAACACAUUUUUUUAUUAUUUAUAUAUAUUAAAACAUAUAACAUUUACCUAUUUUUAAAAUGUACCCAUUGAACUUAUUUACAUAGGACUCUUCGAAUAUCUGCAAAGAAAACAUCUAAGAGGGAGUCAUCUUAGAAACUAGUGCAAGUGACAUCCAAAAAAUUUUCUUUACACAUUAGCUUAUGCAUUUGCACCAUUUAUAUAUGUGAGUACUAAUGUUAUUUUAUAAUUGAUCGAUUAGUGUCCAAGACAAGGAGGGUUCGAAUGUGGCUACUUUGUUAUGAGAUUCAUUAAAGAGAUAAUUUUUUAUCCUACAAUUAUUGCUUCAAAGGUAUUACUUAUUAAAUGAAUUGUACAUAGUUUUAGGCUUCCAAAUGUUAUGCAUUUUAAUGUUAUUUUCUUAUUUGAUUUCAGUUUUGUGAUAAAAAAAAACAUAUUCUCAAGUAGAAUUAUAUUUCCAUUUAUUCAUUAGAAGAAGCACCCUUCGAUGAAAUUAGAGGAGAAUGGGCUACUUUUGUGCUACAACUAAUCAUGAAUCAUGUUAAUGCAUCAUGAUCACCAUGCAUGGUGAGUCCCUUAGCUACUACAUGAAUUUUUCCAUAGGUAUUGUAUAGUAAUGCUUAUUCUUUGAAUAAUGUUUCUAUUUGAAAAAAAAAAUAGUUCUUAGAUUUGUUCAUUUAUGAUAACAUCGAUCCAUGUUUAUUUUCUUCAAUAAAAAUCUCUAAAACUCAUUAAAUUUUGAAAUGCAGGUAUACACUCUUGGGAUGGUGAAAUGGAGAAUAAAAAGAAAGAAGAAGGCAACAAGAUUUUGGGUUUUUAAAUGCAACUCUUAUGUUAUACGUUGUAGGACAUAAACGUUACUUUAAUUGCAACUGAGAAAUUUAGAUUUUUAGAUGGGACUUUUAUGUCAUUUUAUGGUUAGCCGGUUUUAUGCUUAGGAAAUGGAGGUAUACAUGAAUCUUGGGAUCUUUAACAUUUCUAAAUCAUGUUUUGGUAUGUAUUCACUCUUCUUUUUUAGUUUUGAUGGGUUUGAUAUGUUGGACGUACUAUCCUUUUGUGAACAUUUGAUAUACAAAUAUUAUUAGAUGAUCAAUGUAUUAUGAGUUAUUCUAGAAACAUUACAGAAAAAUGAGUUAAAUAUAAUAUGAUUGUUAUAUUUAUGGACAAAAUAUAAAUAGGUUAAUCUUAUUAAUUCAUAAGCAUUACAAAAAUCAACAACUAAAACCAAUCAUAUCUUCCACAAUAAUUUACAAUGAUGUGAUACCAUAACUUAAAGGUGAUGCAUUUAAUGUGACAUCAUAACUCAAAGAUGAUGUAUUUAAUGUGACACCCUAUCAUCACUAGAAAUAUAUGGUGUCACUUCCAAAUGGGUCACCAUUUAUCUACUUUGGUGUCACUUCCAAAUAUGUCACCAAUUGGUACCCUCUAUGGUGUCAGUGGAGAAAGUGACGCUAUGUUGUAGUGACACCCUAUGUUUAUGGUGACUCGUUAUAAAUGUCACCAUAUACCUUUUUCCUUGUAGUGAUUUACUCAUCUUUAAGAUGAGUAAUGGGAGUUCAUAUUAUGAAGCCUAUAAAAGGCUUUUUACAAAAAAAAUAAAAUUCUCUUCCUCUCAUUCUCUCUCUCUUUCUUUCAUUCUCUCAAUUUUCUCAACUCUCUUCUCUGAUUCCUUCUUCCCAUUAUAUAUAUUGUUAAAGUAAGAUAUAUUUUAUCUCUACUACUUUAUUUGUGUUGCAUUUAUCCUUGUUUUACAACAAAAAUUAUAUUUUAGAAUAAUUUUUAUAAAAAUUAUGGUGAAUAUUUGAAGGCACCCAAAGCAUAUUAACUUGUACUUAAUAAAGAUAAGGCCAUAUUGAAUGUUUUGAUAUUGGUUUAUGAAACUACUUAGAGGAGAGUGAAUAGGCGGUCCUCUGCUUACAACACUCAAAUUGAAGUUUUAAAUAUUUUUAUUAACUCUUAAUUUAAUCAAUAUAUGUAAUUAAUAAAUAGAGCAAAGAAUAAUCUUACACUUGACAUGUGAUGUACAUGGAAAAUCAUCUACAGAAUCUAUAAAAAAAACUUGACGAUGAAAAAUUCAUGAGUCAAUUGAUCAUAGAGCAAAUUCACUAAUUUUGAUAGAAUAAAUACAUAAUCUUACCUAGAUGAAAUACUACCUUCCUUCAAGCAUCUUACACAGGUCAGUACUUACACUUGCUUUCAUGUUCAUAAUGCAAAACCCAUGUAUUCCUUAGUGAAUACCUUAAAACUUUAAGAGAUGUGAUCAACCACCAUGAACAACUUCAAACAAGAUAUGAGCUUUUGGAGUAUCAGGAAUAUGCAAAAGAUAAUAACAAUAAAUUGUAGGGUACGAUGAUGUAUGAAAGUACAAAGUUGAGCAAUGUAUGAUGGCAAAAAACUAACUAAAAAAGAUUUGAAAAGCUGACAAAUAUAGGAUAUUUAUGCAUAACAUCAAGACCGCUUAAGCCCAUUUUGUGGGCACUCGAGCGCUCCUUGUUAAUUUUAGCUUUUCUAAUUUAGCUUCAAGCCCAUUUUGAAUCUAAGUCCACUUUACACCUUAUUCAUGUCAUUAUAUUGUGAACAAGAUAACCCUACUUACCUGAACAAUCAUGUGAAUGAAUAAAAAAUGAUCACAUAUCUUCAAGGCCAGUGCAUACAUAGAGUUGAGUAAAAAAAAUAUUUGGAAUAAAAUUGUUAACUUAAACUAAUUAGUCUAGAUCACUAACACAAAUAAUAUCAAAUUUAGUUAAAAUACAAAUACACCUUCCCAUGAGCAACAUUAUUAUGUUUUACCUUCUUCAUCUUUUACAAGUUUUUAGUUAUAGAAAUAAUGAGAUUAAAAAAUUGAAGGGUAAAUUGCUCCGAUGACUAACUUGAGUGCCUUGGGGCAAUUUUUCUUUGCUUUACAUAUCUCAUAUACCUUAUUAUUGGGAGAUUAUUAAAGAUCGAAUCACAAUAGGACCAAUCCUAAAAUAAAUUCCCCAAAAUCAUUGAUAUUUGAGGCUAUGUAAUUUUUUUGCUCCAACAAGUUCAAUAUUUUGAAUAAGUUUAUCAUACAUGCAUGGAUGUACUUCAUUCUACUACUUGACUAGGGUAGCAAUCAAAAUAGAAGCAAACCUAAAAUCAAUGCUCCAAUAACGUUAAUGUUUGGAGCUUCAUAAUUUUUUUGCUCUAAUAAUUUUGAUAUUUUAGACAAAAUUAUUUUACAUUGAUCGACUUGCUUCUUUAUGUUUAAGUAAAGGGAGAGUUUUUCUUGCCUAAAUCUUGACACUUAAAGAUACUAAUAUUUAUGUUUUGAACAUGAGAUAAGGGACAAAUCACUAUCUUUAACUUGAAUUUAUGUUAAUGCAUGCUUUGAGAACUAAUACGCCAUCUUUCUUUUUUUUUUUAGUAUAAAAGCAUAAAAAGGGAGGAAAUGUAAGCAACUUGAUGUAAUUCUAGCAUUUGGGAUGGAAUGGAGGAGCAAAUAGGCAGCAAGAUGAGCCCUAGUGCUUGCUAAAGUAAAUAAAUAAAUAAUAAAAGCGAAAAGGCAAAAGAAAACUACAAAGGCAUUCUAAAUUGGUUUAGGAGUAGCUAAAAGUGAUUUGGAGAAGCCAAAAUCGAUUUCAAAAGGUUAUUUAAUCAAUGUUAAAACCAAUUUGUGAAUGAGAAUUUUCAUAUUAAUGGAGUCUCACAUCAUAAAAGCGAUUUAAAGGAGGUUGAAAUCGAAAUUCCAAUCUUAGGUUAAAAGUUAAAAUUGGUUUCCAUAUUGAAAUUUUGAUUUUAUCUUGUUGAAAUCAGUUUUUCCAAAAUUUACAGCAUAUGCCAAAUCAAAAUUUCACACUUUGGUUAAUUUGGUAUCAAAAUCUAGAUUUUAGGCAAUUUUGAUGUAAUUUCAACUAAUUAAGUUAUACGUUUGCUAUGGUGGCCAAUGAGAUUAGGCCAAGUGCCUUUUUAGGGUUAAGAUAUUUAUAUUUUCAUUUUUUUUUCAAGGUUACAAAGAGAACAUUUUUACAAUUUUGUUUGUAGUCACACUUUCUAGACUUUUGUUUCUUUCUUUUUAUUAAUAUUCUUUUUUUUUUCUUAUGGAAUUUGGGUGUGAAAUCUCAAUAUAAGAGAUUAAGAUCUUUAAUUUUGGAGAUGUAGCAUGAAGAUACAUGGAAGAUUUGGACAAGGAGCAUAAGAAAAGUAAUGUCAAAUUAAUUGAUCAUUAGGUUUUCAUUUUUACCUUAUUAGAAUGAGAUCAUCUAUGAAAUUAUGGUUAGACUAAGAUCCUAGUGAUACUUCUAAAACCAUUUGAUCACUAGUUAACAUAAUUUGAUAUACUAUCAUGAUUGAAUUGAAAAUUGAUUGUACAAGAUAGAUGAGUGGUACGAAUGUAUAAACAUAAACCUCAAUUAACCAAUCUAUAUUAUUUAUUUUAGUGAAUCAUGUAAAAAGAGUAUAAAUGUCUUAAAAUUCAAUUUGAUCCCAUAUUGACUUUGGUCUUAAACCCUAGAUCUAUGAUUUACUCUCUCUCUCUCUCUCUCUCCUUCUCUUCUUAUGAAUUUGAAGCUAAAUUUUGAAAGCUCCAGAGUUGUUAUCAUAGAUUUGUCUUAAUCAAUUUAAUCUAAAUUCGGUCUUUUUAGAAAAAUUUAUCUAUUAAAUUCACAAUUUUGGGUAUAAGAAUACUUUGUUCAAUACAUAAAUAGUCAAAUGUGUUAGUCUUUAAAGGAUGACAUCUAGAUACCAUACACCAUAACUAUCCUCUCUUUGUUUUUUCUUGGCUAUGAUUUUUAUAAUAAUAAAGAUUUUCGUUCUAAAACAAAGAGUAUCGAUAAAAAAAAAAAAAAGUGUCAUUUUUGUUAGAGAUUGACGACUAUUUUGAAUUGAUAGAUUGUCUUAGUUUUUAGGAGCUUAGAGCUUGUUUUACGACGUGAUUUAAAAAUAUCUUUCUAUUUUUCUAAAAAAAAUGACUUCUAAAAUUUAAUAGCAUUGUUUAGCAAUUGUUCUCUAGAAAUGGUUCAAAAAAAAAAUUAUGAACGUUCUCUUAGAGAACAUAGAGAAAUAAGAAUAAUAAUAAUUAAAAAAAUGAUAAUAUAAGAUUGUGGACCCCGCACUUCUGCACAUGCGUUCCACUCGAUGACGAAACUCAUUGUUUUAUUUGUUUAGUGAAAUUUUGAUUUUUAGAAAAGACUUGGAGUCACCACUUAUUUUUGUUUUAUUUUUAAGGGAAAACAAAAUAAGAAAGAAAACUCUAAGUGUGACUUCUUAUUUGGAAAAGAGGGUCUAUGGAAAACCAAACUUGGGUUUGGGGGUCAAGUUACUUAUUGGGAAGGUAUGGUAAGGACCAUAACAUCCCUCCAAACCCCUAAAAAUGAGUCUCUACUAAAUAAGGUGAAGCAAACGUGGAAAUUGACAAGGAAAUUGUUAGCCCAAGGGUUCUCCUAAUCGGGUUUUGAUGGUAACAAACCAUGGUUAAGUGACUAAUUGGUUUAAAUGUUUAAGAAUCUCAGGUACAAACCCGAAAAUUCAUCAAAGAACCAAAUGGAUAAAAGAUCGAGACGCUUAGAAGACUUGUGAUCAUAGGAAACUAAUGCAAAAUGAAUGCAUGAGUGCACUUAGGAUUUUCAUAUGUUUCAUGCACCUUAGUGAUAACCCGACUCUUGGUAGCUUGGCAUGUAAGGGUAUCAACAAAAUUUAUACCUAACGUCCUUACACUAAAGUAGCAAAGCUACUAUAGCAUAGUGGCUCUAGGAUCGAACACUGGGAAGGGUUUUUACUUUAACUGAUGAAGUUCGGAGGAUGGAGUGAACUUUUCUUAAUAAAGAUUAGGUUAAGAUGAAAACAUAAAAAGAUGAAGGUGUUGUAAACUAAACUAACAUGCAAAUAGGUUAAAAGAUGGGAAAAGAAGUUUCUCAAAGCUUUGGAUAGCCAUGCUUAACUCACCGUGUAAAAAUAGAGAUUUUGGAACUUUUCACCUCGAGUUGGGGAAGCAACUCAGGUGAUGCUUACUUCUCGAACCGGUAUGUGUUUAACAACUGAGUUUUAGUCCUUCAAAACUUACAAAAAGGGUAGCUGAACCUCAUAAAUGCCCUUUUAAUGAUAUAGGUCAUCUCCUCGACUUGCAAUACAAUGGCUCGUAGGAGAUAACUAAUGAACGUCAGUGGAUCUAACAAUAAGAAUCCACUGAGACCAAAAGGUUAUCAAGUAUUGGCCAUUCAAAGCAAGUCAGAGGGAUUAAAAGCUUUACUUUGAAUGAAAACAUUUAUGAUGCUCAACUACUUACAUUUAUGGCUUGGAAAUCUCCAUCCUGACACGGGAGCUUCACAUGGCAUCCAUUACUUCAAGAAACUAAAAGGUUUUAGCCUCUCAUCCUUGGGGAUUUCAUCCUCCAAGGAUGUUUGGCUACUAAGAAAAUAGAAAAUAGUAGAGAGAAAAAGAAAGCAAAAGAUAUUAUGUAUUUAGCUAAGUGUAAAAUUUUACAAAAGAUGGUCCCCUGGAGAAAGUUCCCCCGACCAUCCUAAAAUGAAAAUUACAAAACAAUAUAUAACAGGUUGUUUACCCCUGUAUCCUUGCUUAACAACUAAGGAAUCAUUUAAUUGGUGGAUUACAAGGAGAGAAUUGGGAUUUAGACAACAAAUAUCUGAGGCAAAAUAACAAAAAACGUUGGUCGCAAAUAUCUGGAAGCACUCAGGAGAAUUUCGCAGGCGCACAAAAUGGCUGCGAAAUUUCGCAGAUGAACAAGAUGGCUGCGAAAUCAUUUCGCAGCCGAAGGCUGAUUUCGCAGCCAAAGGCUGAUUUCGCAACCCUGCGAAAUUGGCCUUCAGCUUGGAGUGAUCUGCUUCCAUUGGCUCUAACUUCUUCAUUUCAACUCUAAUUUGCGAACCGUUUGAAGCAUUGGAUUGUUGACUUCCCGAUCUUCGAAACGACAUAAAGCAUGCAUAAAUUGGACUAUAGGAAGUACUCCAAAAGUGGCUGAAAUGACUGUCAUCAAGAAUGCUUCAAGGUAGAUUCUCUCUUUACUUCUCCUCCUUGCAUUCCGGAUUGGUUAUGGCAAAGGACUUUAAGGCUUCAAAGCUCUGAUUCUUCAUGUUCCUGAGCUUUCCAUUGCUUUACCAUGGAUUCCAAAUAACUCUCCUCCAUCUUGGAUUGCUUUGGUGAUCAAAUUACUAACAAAAACACCAAAACUUACACAAAGUGAUUAGAAGUGAUUGCAAAGGUCCUUAAUAUGUUAAUUGGGUUAAAGGGCGAUAAUUACUACUCAAAAGUGUUUAAAAGAGUUAAUUACAAGCUAUCAAAUAGCCCUUUUUGAGUAGUAAUCACUUAGAAAACUCGGUUUAUUCUUUAAAAUGUCGAUUUCAUUAAAACUUGAGUUUUUAACUAAUUUACCUUAGGCAAAAUGUUUCAAAAUUGACUUAAUAAUUUACCUAAAGACCUUGCCUAAGUGUUAGAAAAAAAAAAAAGAAUCAAAAAAUAGGUUUUUCCGGGCCAAAAAGGCUCAACCGGUCGAGGCUAUGGCCAACCGGUCAACUGGUUAAGGAAUCGGUCGAUCGGUUGAGGUUGUCUGGUCGAGGACCGGUCGAGGAAGGUCAAAAACCUUCUCUCUCUCCCAUAGCCUUCUCUUCCCAAUCGAGGUGAUUCCCUUACCGGUCAAGGUCCGGUCAAGGACCGGUCAAGGUCCGGUCAAGGACCGGUCAAGGUCCGGUCGAGGACCGAUCGAGGACCGGUCGAGGACCGAUCGAGGACCGGUCGAGGACCGAUCGAGGACCGGUCGAGGUCCGGUCGAGGACCAGUCGAGGUCCGGUCGGGGAAUCGGUCGACCAGUUGAGGUUGUCUGGUCGAGGACCGGUUGAGGAAGGUCAAAAACCUUCUCUCUCUCCUAGUAGCCUUCUCUUCCCAGUCGAGGUGAUUCCCUUACCUGUCAAGGUCCGGUCAAGGACCGGUCAACGAGGUCCGGUCGAGGACCGAUCGAGGACCGGUCGAGGUCCGGUCGAGGUCCGAUUGAGGCAACGAUAACCUAUCAUGCAUUAAAUGCUCCAACGGCUAGUGAACCGGUCGACCCCCAGCUCAACCGAACGAGGUUGCCUUUUGCUGUUUUUGACUCCCGAGCUUAGAAACCUAUAAAUUGAGAGCUCCACUUCAUUUAUUGAUAAGAUAACACUUGCAUUCAAAGCCCACCUACCUGUUCUUGAUCAAAAAGCUCUCAUUUCUUUCAUAGUGCAUUAAAUUACCACUUACAUAUCCUUUAGUGCACUCUUGUUUGUCAUCCUAGCUUUGUCUUGUAUUUGAGCCAUUUUUAAGCUAGGUUGAGUGAUUAUAUCUUGUAACAAUCCGAGUGUUAAAGUCUUCAAGAGGGUUGAAUCUUGAAGAGGUUGUGUAAGAGCCCAUUGGAUUCGGAAUCCAAGUGUAAGAAGAUUGGAAGCUUGGUUGAAGCUUCAAAUUAGUGGAACCCUCACUCGGUUAGAAGGUUGAAGAGAGUGGACGUAGGCAAGGAAGUGACGAACCACUAUAAACCCAAGUUUGAAUUCUCUAAACUCUAUCUCUUUACUUUGUUCAUAUUUUGUUUAAAUUUGUUGUGAUUGAAAAGAUUUUAAAAACCCAAUUCACCCCCCAUUUUGGGUGUUUUUCUUAACUAAGCAUAGCCUUUGUUUUCUCAUAAAUCAAUAGAUACCAAUAAAAUGAUUGAAUAAUAAAACAAAUCGAGCAUGAGAAUGAAUAAAUAAAUGAAGUAGGAGUGAGAGCGUACCUUAGCAGCAAAUAAUAGUGCACUAUCAUGGAAAAAAUGUUAGCUCAAGUACAAAAUUUAUCGCAUGCAUAUCAAAGAGCAAGACAAAGAUCAAGCAAUAUUCAUUAAGGUGUGGCUCUUAUAAAGGUGCAAAAAGAAGUUUGAUAAGCCCACAAUGCAAACAAAAGAUUCUCUGACCAAUCCCGAGAAGUCUCAAUCAUCCUCUGCAAGAUCCUCUUAAUAUUCUUAUUCACAGCCUCUACCACUUCGUUAGUCUGCGGCCUAUACGCAGAUGAUCUAUGAUGCUGGAUAUCGUAUCUCUGUAAUAAAGUGUCAACAUCUACUCUAAAAUGUACUUCUAUGCUCAAAAUCAGCUCAUGAGGGACUUCAUAGCGACAAAUAAUGUGUGAUAUGAUGAAACUAGCGACCCAAAAUGAUUUCAAUCUCGCAUAUGAAGCAGCCUCCACCCACUUGGUAAAGUAAUCAAUGACGACCAAGAUGAACUCAUGACUACUGGAAGACUUUGGCGAAAUCUUCCCAAUAAUGUUUAUACCCCAUACUGAAAAUGGUCAUGGUGAAUUCAGUGCAUGUAACUCUAAAAAGGGUACGUAGAUAAGGUCUUUAUGAAUCUAGCACUCUCGACAUCUUUAAACAAACUGGCAAUAAUAUUUCAUAGUCAACCAAAAAUAGUCGGUCUUCAUGACCUUACAAGCUAAUAUAUGUCCUCCCAUAUGUGGUCCACAAACUCCCACAUGAACCUCUCUCAUCACUCAAUCGGUAGAGGCGUGGUGAAAGCACAAUAGUAAUAUCCCAUCAACUGAUCGUUUGUACAAUGUCUCCCCACAGAUCACAAACCAGGUGGCUAACUAUCUCAAUGCUCUCUUAUCCUUCGUUGUGGCAACCUCAGGAUAUAUGUCAAGUCUCAAAAACUGAUAUAUGUCAUAGUACCAAGGCAAACCAUCAUCCAACUCUGCCUCAUCAAUCAAGCAACAAUAGGUAGGAACUAAUCUCGACUCAAUCAGUAAAGGGCGAACAAUGGUAUCAGCGGGAAUAUCAAUCAUGGAAGCUAGAGUAGCUAAGGCAUCAACAAACUGGUUUUGUGCUCUAGGCAGAUGAGUAUAACUCAAAUCAUCAAAUCUCCCAACCACUAGCUCUAAGCAUGCAUGGUAAGGCUUAAGUUUCACAUCUUUAGUCUUCCAAUUGCCUUAAAUCUAUCUCAAUACCAGAUUGGAGUCACUAAACACCUCCAUCUGUCUAAUCCCAAGCUUAAGAGUUGUCUCUAAUCCCAAGAUACAAGCCUCAUACUCAACAAUAUUGUUCAUGGCAAGGUGUCGAUCAAAGAAUGCCAAACGAACAAAUCUAGGAAUGUGGUCACCAUGAUGGGAUAUCAGUAGAACACCUAUCUCGUGUCUAGAAUGGUUGGCCGCACCAUCAAAGUACAUGCGCCAACCUGACGAAGUAGUCACUGCAGCAAUAUCCUCAUCUAGAAAGUCAUCAUCAAUAGCUCUACCAUCAGAAAAACUAGUAAUGAGGCUAAGUAAUCUACAACAAUGCUCCAUCUGAUAGACUUUUGAGUGACAUAAUGAAUAUCAAACUCAAUCAAGAGUACCAACCAUCUUAUGAGUCGAUCAAUCAAAGCAAGCCUGUCAAACAAAUAUCUCAGAGGAUCUAGACAAGAUAUCAAGUGCACUAAAUACUCCAUCAUGUAAUGUCUCAAUCUCUUAGUAGCCCAAACCAACGCCAAACAGAAGCGUUCAAUCAUGACAUAUCUUGUCUCAUAAUCAAGCAUCCUCUUACUCAAAUAAUAAAUAGCUCGCUCAUUUCCAGAAUCAUUAAGCUGAGCUAGCAUGCAUCCCAAGGCUAUAUCUGAGACUGACAAGUAUAGGAAUAAGGGACGACCUGGUGUAGGAGGCACCAAGACUAGAGGCGAAAACAAGUACUCCAUGAUCCUCUCAAAUGCACGCUGACACUCAUCAUCCCAAACAAGAGGUCGACUCUUCCUCAAGAGUAAAAAAAUGGGCUCGCAGAUAUCUGUCAAUCUGGCGAUGAAUCUACUGAUGUACUAUAGUCUACCUAAAAAACCUUUGAUCUCUCUCUCAGUUCUCGGCGCAGGCAUGUCAAGGAUGGCUCUAAUCUUAUCUGGAUCUAUUUCUAUGCCUCUCUCACUGACCAUGUAUCCCAGAAGUCACUUAAAAAGUGCACUUCUUAGGAUUCAGUCCUAAUCUGAACUAUCUGAUCAUAUCAAAGAAUCUCUUUAAAGCUACUAGGUGAUCUACUCUAUCUUGGGAUUUCACUAUCAUGUCGUCUAUAUAGACCUCGACAUCCUGAUGCAUCAUGUCAGGGAAAAGGAUAGUCGCUGCUCUUUGAUAAGUAUCUCCUGCAUUCUUCAACCCAAAUGGCAUAAGUAGCAGUAAGUACCCCACUCAGUAAUCAAAGACAUCUUCUCCAUGUCCUUUAGAGCCAUCAUAAUCUGAUUGUACCCAAAAAAUCUGUCCAUAAAGGACAACAUCGAAUGACCUGUUGUACUAUCAACUAGCAUGUCAAUGUGUGGGAGAGAAAAAUCAUCCUUGGGAUUGACCUUGUUGAGAUCUCAGAAAUCAACACACACUCUCACCUUGCCAUUCUUUUUGGGAACAAGGACGACAUUGGCCAACCACUCAGGAUACUCAACCACUGAUAAGAAUCCCACACUAAGUUGCUUCUGAAUUUCUUCUUUCACCUGCAGACUCCAACGAGGAUGCAAUCACCUCAACUUCUGCUUAAUCGGUCUAGCAAGGGGUAGUAGUGGCAAGUAAUGUUGGACUAUGGAUAGAUCAAGGCUAGAUAUGUCCUCAUAAGACUCUACAAGUGAUGUUGGACUAUGAAUGGAUCAAGGCCAGACAUGUCCUCAUAAGACCAUGCAAAGACAUCCAAAUAUGAUAUGAGUAACUGGGCAAGGCCACCACUCUCAUCUGUAAACAAAUCCAAUCCAAUCCUUAGCUCCCUAGGCUGGUCUGUUGUACCAAAAUCAACAAUCUCAGCGUCUCCUGUGGUAGGUGAAACUCUCUGAUCACUAGGACUCAAAUCAAAAGCAGAAGAAGAGUCCGCAUCUGAAUUGUGAUGUACAAUCUCAUCAUCUAUAUCAAAUAUUUGUGAUGUGGGUGAAUGAGGUGCAGAUAAAGUGUUAUCACAAGAAAUAGGCAAAUACUCAAAAAGACUCAUAUCCAUAUAUGAAGAAAGAGUCAGUAGAUCAUCAGAAUGGGAGACAAACCUUGAUAGUAUAUCAAAAGAAAGUGGUGGGUCCACAUGUUUGGACUCUACCAUGACUGGGCUAUUCACACACACAAAUACAUCAUCAUCAACUAUAUCAUCCUCUGAAAACUCCAAAGCAGGAGCAAUCUGGAUCUCCUCAGCAACCUCGAUGGCGGACACCCCAAAUAGAUCAAAUGGAGAAGCAAACUCAGGUUGGACUAUCCCAUCAAUCUGACUCAUACUCAUCGCGAGCAUCUCAUCAAUGUACCUGUCAUGUGGAACAACUCCAUCCACCAUGUCCCUAAUCUCAGCAAAUGUCCCAUGCUCGUCAACCUCAUCCAAGAAAUAGAGUGUCAUGAGGCUCAUAUGAUCUGGAAAUGAUGGGGUGGCUAAUGCAGAAGCAGAAGUGCCAGGAGCUCCAUCACUCAACCGUAGCUGAUGGACAAGACGCUGAAGCUCAACCUCCUGAACAGUGUUGAAUCCAUCAAUAAUCACACUUGAAUGCGUCUAUGGCUUUGACGCCCUCACAAAGUAGUCCGCCAAGCUCAUGUUGCAUGAGCAAAUAGGAUAGUCAAAUGGUGUGUGAGUCAAUCGGGCUUUCACUCUCUCUUUGCUCAAUCACACCAUAUAUCAAUAAUCGGCCUCAAUAGAAAUAAACCCAAAUCCAAAUGGUACAUCACGAUAAAAAAUAGUUAUAAACUCAUUGGGCCCAUGCUAACAUCGCCCUAAUCCCAUGCUCGGUAGAAAAGACAUGCUCCUCAUCAUGUCAAGCACCAUUGUACUACCGUGUUGAUCAAAUGACAUAGCCAUAAAGUCCCUACAAAAAUCCUCAAUCUCCAGAGUCUACACCUCAUCAAAUGUGAACCCAGUAAAAAACAAAUCAUCCUCAUUGUGACUAAUCUGAAGCAUUGGCUUGGAAGAAGCAAACAUAUCUCCAAUGGACCGCACUAUGAUGACCUGGCCAUCAUGAAUGAACUUCACCUUCUGAUGAAGGAAAGAAGGAAUGGCCCCAGCACUAUCAAUCCAAGGUCGGCCAAUAGUAGGUUAAAAGAUGUAGAAAUCCUCAAAACCUGGAACAGAAUAGGAAAUGUAGUUGGACCUAUCAAUAGCUUGAUCUCCAAAGUGCCCAUGACCUCCCUCUUAAUGCUAUCAUAUGCUCUGACUUUCUGAGUAGAGGGACCAAAGUUUGAGGAUGCAUAGCCGAGGGCAAUGACAUAAGCUAAGGGACAGACGUUCAGGGUUGGGUCAUCGUCCAAAAUGACAUAUAGGACUCGGUGGCCUAAAAAACCAACUAAGAUGUAUAGAGGACAUGUAUGGUCUGAACCCUCGGGUGGCAAAUCAUCAUCUAAAAAUAUAAUACAAGUGGCUCUGCCAACCGUCAUCAUGUGAAUCAACCCCUCGAGAAUAGUGGUAGUCUCGACUCUAAUCUAACUCAAGGCUCAAAUCAAUGCAUUUUUAUGAGUGCUAGAAGAUGCCAAUAAGCUCUAAAUAGAUAUACAAGUCUGGGUACUCUACAACUGUCUCAGAAUAUCAUCAUCAUCUCUCUUGACCUCCUCAUGAGAGGCUGCACCCUCCAAGGGUCUAGCGGUUGUGAGGGGUUGUUGUCAUACUACCUUACCUCUGUGAAUAACAUAUUGUAUAUCUGGAGUAUGAACAUCAUCAACAUAUGGAGUAUGUACCUCAUCAACGUCUGGAAUCAAAACAAACGGAGUCUGAACACUAUAACAUGGAAAAAUCAAUGGCUCGACUAUAGUCGACUGUAUUGAUGUCACAUCGGGAACCAAUUUGAAUAGUGUGGGCAUCCAUGGGCCCAAGGUCAUUCUACUUACCUCAUAAAUCCCAUCUACUACUAUAGGCUCUAGCACUGACUCAUCCCAACUCAGCAUGUGGAUAUGAUCAUAUGGCUUAGUGAAAUCCAUGAAAUGUAUACCGUUGGUUGGUAGAGAGACUGCAUGUGAAGUAUAAGCUGACAGAGGGUUAGUGGUUACACUUGGCUGACCCAAGUGAACCAAACCCUGAUCUAUCAAGUCCUCGAUGGCGUGCCUCAAAGCAGUGCAAUGGUCCGUGUCAUGCCCUAGACCUUGAUGGUAAGAACAAUAUAAAUCCAUCCUGAAGAGAGGUGGCAUGAGUUGAGGUAUAUGUCGAGGAGCUAACUGAGUUAACAAACCACCCUCCAUGAGCUUUUAGAAAGCUCGGUUCAAAGGCAUACCUAGUUGGGAGAACUAUUGUGUCAACCUUUGUACAAAAGAAAUAAUAGUCUAUGGGGCUCGGGGCUGAGGGUAUAAAGUAGGAGGCCUAUCUAUGACAUGUGCAGCAAAAACAGGUUGUGAGACCAGAUGUAGAUAAGUAUGAGUCAUAGGUUUGGAGGAAACAGGUGGCCUAUACUGUACAUGAGGUGGUGGUGGGUAGUAGAAUCCAGAAGGCUGCCCAACUGUCUGAUAGCACUCACAUCUUUUAGUCUCUGUCCUCCUAAAGGCUUCUUUCCCUAAGAGUCAGUAGGGGAAGACUCGGACCAUAAUCCUCUAGUUAUGUCCUCCUCUAUACCAUAUAAAUCCUGUACCAAAGAUCCAAAAUCCGUAUGAGGAAAUCCCAUCAAGUGCCUAGCAAAUCAAGGCUGCAAGCUCCUCGUGAUCAUACUAAUCUAAUCAUUCUCUGAAGGAUGAUCAAUAACCUAUGAAAUCUUCUCUCUUUAGCGGGAGAUAAAUGAGGUGACCGACUUCUCUAGCCUUUAUCUCAAAGCCUCUAACUCUCUCCUCGAAACAUCAAUGACAAUGUUAAAUGCAAACUGUCUCAAGAACUUCUAGGCCAAAUCAUCCCAAGUCCGGCGGCAUGAUACAUCCAAUGAAGCAAACCAACGUUAUGCCACACCACUCAGGGAUAUAGGAAAAAACAUAACCAUCUAGGCCUCAUCCAGUCCAUGGGCCCUCAUAACCGUACUAUAAAGCCUCAAAUGGAUGCGAGGAAAGCCAAUGUCCGUGUAUCUCUCAAUCUUAGACAUCCUAAACUUGGUUGAUAAACUGGCCACUGGUGCUCCAUUAAAAUCCUCCCAAGUAAUAGCUUCAUCUGAAGUCUUCAUCUGUCUCAUCCUCCGCUCAAGUCUAUCCAUACGAGCAUGUGGGUCCUCUGAGAUCGGGGUAGGCACUAUGACAGGAAGCAAGGCAACCUCAGUCUGACUCUAUAAAGUAAAUGAUAUAGGUUGUGAAACUAUCUAACCAAGUGGGAGAAGUGGCGGAAUAGUGGGAUCAUACUGCACACUCUCCUGAACUAGAACCUUUUGGGUUUGCUACCCAUCCAUCAUUUGAUCAAGACUAGUUAUGGCCUCCUGGAUCGAAGCCAUAGCAGCAACGAACUAAUCAAAUGUAACCACCUACGAAUCCAUAUCUGCCUAAUCUAACUGGUCUGACACUCUGAUCAAUCUACCUUUAACUCUGAUCUAAGAAGUUGAACUCAUAUCAAACAUAUCAAUACACCUACAAUAGUGGAAAUACUAGAUAAGAUAUUGUGUAAGGGAAACUCUACAAGGAGUGUUUAUCAACUAUGCAGGAAGGUAACCUGGAAGUAUUGAAACUGAUAUCUAAUUCUGAGCAAAUAUAUAAGAGACUACUACGAAGGUAACUAAAUUUAUCACUACUGACCCAGCUCUGAAGGCCCAUAGAUGCACCCACGUGUGGGAAAGGAAAUUCUGAUCGAAUAAUCUAAGGCUCAACCUAUAAGGUCAAGGUGGCUCUAAAAAAAAAAAAAGAUGGACUUUAAAGGAUCCAUAGCAGAAGCGAUCAUACCCUUCGACGGUAUGCAACCCUUUGCACGCCUUUGAAAAGACGAGGCUCUUCCAUGCAAGAUGGUCAUCACCUCUACACAUGCACUACCUCGACAUCCUAAGGGUAUUUGCUAUAGUGAAAGCUCUCACAACUCUCAGCACUCAGUAGUCAACUAAAGUGCAUAGUGAGUGGUGCAGGUGCAUCCGAAAAACCUAUGAAGCUAAAGUAGAAAAAAAAAUACAUUAGUCACACAAAUAUCCAUGAAACCUAGCUCUAGGCUAUUCAGGUCUUCAAAGAUCGGACUCCAAUCAACAUCAAUGUGUCGACCUCCUCAAGAAUGCUCCUAAACAUCAAUAUAGCCCAUCACUAGACCUUACUCCUAACCACUAGCUCGGUCAUAGAAACAAGUACACACAAGGCCUCACACUUGCAAAUAUAAGAACCAAAAUGAAGGAAAUGACCGAAACCAAAGGGUUGGAGGUAAGGGGAUAGAUGUGUGAUCCACACGGACAACCAACAUACAAUCACAUAGGAGAAGAUUAGUUAUGCAACAAGCAGUCAAGCAGAGCGCAAGUAUAUCAUCCAUGUCCAUACACAAGCCAAACAAAAAUAUGACAAUCAAAAUGACUAGCAACAAGGAUAGCAUGCUCAAAUAUAAUCAAGAUAACAUACAAGCAAGAUAAUCAACACUAAGACAAAUAAAAGAUGCAGCAAAGUGAACAUACAUGUCAAAGUAAGUAGGAUAAUCAAGGCAAGAGCAAGAUCGAUCAAUACCAUCAACAUGCCAAUGUUGCAAAGGGAUAUAACAAUUAAGCAUAGAAAAUCGUUGCAUCAAAAUCCUCAAUGUGCUAUGAUCACUCAAGCAUUGAAAAUUGUAAUUUUGAAAAAUUAUUUGAAAAUUGGAGUUUUGAAAAUUAAAUUUAAAAAUUAGAAUUUUGGAAAAUUAAAUUUAAGAAUUAGAAUUUUGGAAAUUGAAUUUGAAAGAAAUUGGAGUUUUGAAAAUUAAUUGAGAAUUGGAGUUUUGAAAGUUAGUUUUAAGAAUUGGAGUUUUGAAAAUUAAUUUUGAAAGAAAUUGGGGUUUUGAAAAUUAAUUGAAAAUCGGAGUUUUAAAAAUUAAAUUUAAGAAUUGGAGUUUUGAAAAUUAAUUUUGAAAGAAAUUGGAGUUUUGAAAAUUAAUUGAGAAUUGGAGUUUUGAAAAUUAGUUUUAAGAAUUAGAGUUUUGGAAAUUAAAUUUAAGAAUUUGAAUUUUGGAAAUUAAAUUUGAAAGAAAUUGGAAUUUUGAAAAUUAUUUGAAAAUGGAAGUUUUAAAAAUUAAAUUUGAAAAUCGGAAUUUCAAAAAAUUAUUUGAAAAUUACAUUUAAGAAUUGGAAUUUUUUUAAAAUAGAAGUUUUGAAAAUUAAAUAUGAAAAUCGGAAUUUCGAAAAAUUAUUUGAGAAUGGAAUUUUUAAAAGAUCAAUUUUGUUAACAUAAAAAGAUGGAUUAGGAGGGUGACAUGUUAGGCUUGGGAUUUGGGUCUAAUAGAUAGGCUUUGAUAGAGGUUUUGCAAAGGUGGCCAUACAGGAGUUAUUCACAUGCUUAUGAAUGGUGGGGGAAGAAAACUCAGACCAGAUUUGAAAAUAAGAACAUAAAUAUGAUCUCCAAUGCAUAAAAUAGCUUAAAUUAAAUCAAAUUAUUCCCAAGCCAAAAGCCAAAGUAUAAAUAAAUAAACCAACAACAGCACACCUAUGAAUGGCUCAGAAAUCCAAUAAAUUCAAACACAUAACCUAAUGUUCAUGCUUAGCAAACAAUCCACAAAAAAGAAAAUAACAAAAAGGAAGAAGAGCAUAUUAUGGUGAAGCAGAAUCAAACCUAAGCAAGUCCUCUCACUCUUUCUGUUUUUCUCUCUUAGAUACCGACUCUCUGUUUUUUCUUUUUUUCACUCAAGCUCUCUUCCUCAAGCUCCGUUUUCAGCUUGUUUUUCUUCCCCUUCCAACUUUAAAAAAAAACCUCUCCUUGCUCCUCUUUCUUCCUCCCAACGGCCACCUCUUGCUCUUGCUAAAAAAACCUCAUUUUCCUAUCUCCACACCAGCUCAUUUUUCUUCUCAAAACGUCUCCUGUUUUUUGUCCAGCUCUCAAAACCCCCACCUGUUGAUAACCUCUCCAAUCCGGCUCCCCCUCUCCAUCCCUUUUUUUUUUUUUCUCUUCAAUCCUCCCCUCCAAGCUUCAGUUUUUCUCUAAAAAAAAAACCAUCCUCUCCUAGUCUCAUCUUCCCUCUUAAAAACAGCUCACCCAUGGACAACCUCUCCAUUUUUCUCUCCCGUUAGCUUCCACCAGCUCUCUGCUUCCUGUCCACUCCUCUAUUUUUCAUUCAGAAAAAGUCUCAUCUCAACCACCACCAUGGCAAGGUGGUGGUGUGUUCUUGCCACACAUCCCAUGCAACUUUGAGCACUCGUGAAAAGGUCGUCCCCCACUUUUCCAAAAAAAAAGCCCAGCUCACUGUAGCCAAAUAUGGGUCUACAAAUAUGAUUAUUUUAUUCUUUCAUUUAUUUUCCACCAAUCAAUACCGAAAAUCUUAAAAUAUAAUCAUUUUCUUAAUUACAUGUGGUUUUUAUAUUUUCUUUAAUUUCUCUAAAUUUUGUCAUUAGGAAAAUAAAUUCUAAAUUAAAUAGUAUUUAAUACGUAUGAUUUAGUAAUGUUUUAAAAUGAUUUGAAACUAAAAAUUUAUGUAAUUAGUAUUAAAAAUCAUGAAACUAAUAAUCAAUCUAGGUAAUAUUAGAAAUUUACAAAACAAAAUUCAUUAUAUAUGCCUUCACUAGUUUAUGUUUUUAUACAUAAUCAUAAUUUUGUGAAUUUUUUCACUAGACAAAUAGACUUCAAGUAAGCAAAACUUAAUCUAUUAGAUUCAUGAAUGAAUCUAAUAAAUUUUAAACAUAAUUUGAAACUCAAAUAGUAAACCAAUUCAUACCAUAAAUUUAUGGAUAAAAGUUAAUCAAGAAUAACUCUAUUAGUUCUCUUUUAUGUAGAAUCAUAUUUUUCCAAAAUUUGCUCACCAGAAAAAUGGAUUUCAAGUGAAACAAGACUUAAUACGUUAGAUUUAUUAACAAGUCUAUUAAUUCAAAAAUAUUUAAAAAUAAAAAAUAAAACAAUUAUUAAUAUAAGUUGACAAACUAAAAUUGUUCCAAAAUGACUCUCCUCUACACAUAUCUAUAUUAUUUUAAAAUUUGUUAUUAAGCAAAUAGAUUUAAAAUCAAGCAAGACUUAAAAUGUUGAAUUUAUUAAUGAAUUUAAUUGUUUUUAAAAUAAUUUGAAACUUGAAAAUAGAUAAAAUCACUACCAAAAAUAAUAGAUCAAAACUAGUACAUAAUGAGUCAUAGCUUUAUUGCUCUUUAUAUGUACACAACUAUAUUUUACGAGUUUUAUCACUAAGUAAAUAGAUUUUAAAUUAUGUGAGACUUAAAACUUUAAAUUCUUUAAUGAACCUUCUAAAUUUUAAGGAUAAUUUGAAAUCUAAAAAUUUGAUCAAAUUAAUUAUAUACUAAAUCAAAACUUGUCCAAAAUAGGUCCAUGCUAAAAUACUAAAUAUGUACAUGCAACGGUUUUAAAUAGAAUAUUAUUAACCAUUAUUAUUUUUUAAUUAUUAUUUUUUUAAAAGAAAAAUUAUUAUGCUUUUAUGAAGGUAUUAAUCUCUAUAUUUUUAUAAUAUAUAAUGAAAUAGUAUUAGUUUUUUUAAUAAACAAAAUAUAAUUUAUGAUCUUAAUAUUAGUUUUCAUAUUUUACGAAAAAAAUAUUUAUUUUAAAAUUUUAUUUGUAAUUAAAAAAUUAUUUUUAUUUUUAAUAAGACUUGAAUUAACUUGAAUUAAUAUUAUAAUUGAAUUUAUAAUUUUUUUCUAAAAUCAAAGCAUAAAAACUAUUUAUAAAAACAACUUAUUUAGAUAAGGUUUUUUUUUAUUUCUUUGAAAAGUGUUUUUAAAAGAUAACUUGCCAAAUAGUCUUGUCUUUCGAAAAUAUACAAAAUAAAAUAAAAUAAAUUAUUUUUGUUCUUUAACUUAAAAACUGUUAUUAAAAACAAGUAUAAGAAAAUAUUAUCAAAGUGAGCCGUUAGUUUUUAGUAAUUAGUUAUUUUUGACAAAGUUUAGUGUUUCCACAUUCAGAAAGUUUAAACUAAUUUGUUUUCAUUUUAGUUUAAUAUUCUCAUUAGCUGUUCUUUUCUUUUUUUACCUUAGAAUUUCUCCAAUUUUAUGCUUAGUAGGUAAAUAGAUUUUGCAGGUAGACUCCAAUGAAUUAAUCAACCAAUUCAACCUAUGGUAGAAAACAAUUAAGGUCAAAACAACAAUAACAAUCGACCUAUGAUGUCUUCCAUGAAUACAGAUCAAUGGGAGAGCAUUUGAACCCUCCUCAUCUUAGUACACCUUCAUGCUUCAUCAUGUCGUAGGAUCAUGUGACCAUCAAGCCUCAAUUGGUGCCUUUACUCUUGAUCUUCAAAGACAAUGGAAAUGAAAACCCUCACACCAAUAUCAAGGAUGUCAAAGAAAUUUGCUUCACCUUUCAAGAAGCAAACAUGCCUCUAGAUGCGUUAAUAAGAAUAAAGCUUUUUCCACUUACGUUGAUAGAUCGAGCAAAAACAUGGUUGAACACCCUUGGACCACAAGGCAUUGGGACCUAGAAUAGGUUGCAAUUGAUCUUCCUUAAAAUUUGUUCCUACCACACAAGACUAAUGCAUUGAAAAGGGAAAUGUCAAAUUUUACAACCUGGGAAAACAAUAAAUUUUUCUCAUGUUAAGAGCACUUUAAAUGGAUUUUCAAAGCAUGCCCACAUCAUGUCUUUGAUAAUUACAAGUUGAUUUUCAAAGCAAUGUUAGAGACGAUGUGCGGAGGAAAUUUCAUAAGAGUCUAGAUAAAACUCCUUCAAUUUCUAGAUUAUGUGGUUGAAGCAACAAAGAGUUAGAUAGAUCAUGUGAUUAAGGAAUCACAAAGAAUGCAAAGUUCCAAAAAAAUUGAAAGUUUGUGAUAUCUUCAACUUGUUUGAAAGCAUGGAUUUUCAAUUAAAUAUUUCUACCUUAACUAGGAGAUUAGAAGACUUGGAGACCAAAGGAGUCUAAGAGGUCAAAGCAAUGAAUAAGUUAAGAGUGAUGAGAUGUUUGAUAUGCUAGUUAAAGGAGCACAAGGUUACAAGUUGUCCAACACUUCUAGUAGUGAGGCACAUGUUAUCAAAGUUGGCCAACACUUUUGAUUCAUUCAGAUAGAAUAGUAAAACUCUCCAUUCUCCAACACCUAUAAUCUAGGUUAGAUUAAUCAUCUUAACUUAUCUUGGAGAUGGAGUAGUCAAUUUCGUUAGCAAAAUCAUGCUAUGAACCAACAUUCAAAAUGCUUAAUAUCCCUAAUUAAUGAAAAUAAAUUACACACAAUAGAUAAGUUGUGAUUACUCAAUACAAGGUUGGGUGAUAGUUGUAUUUUCCAACACAUAAUGAUGUAAUUGCAAUAACAAUUUAUGGUCGAUAGUGGCCACACAAGCCCCAAGUAAAGGCUUCCCACCUUUGCAUUCAUCAUUCCCAACAUUAGGAAUUCUAAUUGCAUCUAUGCCUAAUACGUACUCUAUGCAAAACUCUAAAGCUUCCUUUGUAUCAUGGCAUUCAACAAAACAUCCCUCUCAGCAAUUAUGAUUUUGUACAUAACCCUUUAAUACCUUCAUAACCUUUCAAAAGAAUACAUCCAUCUAAGGUAAACUGGCCUACAUGAUCUCGUUUUUCUUGUCAAGUGCAUUAUUUAAUGAAGCAUAAUGUCAAAAAAUGAAGGUGGAAUUUUUUUUUCAAGUAAGCAUAAUAUCACCACCAACUCAUCUUAUAGUCUAUCUAAUUUAAACACAUAGACUACUUUGCUACAUGAGGCAUUGAAAAAUAAGCAUAAUCUAGAUAUAGUGUUUCACAUGUUUAAGUAGAAUAUAUUGUAAUUCUACUAGUAAUAUGUUGCAUGAGUGCAUGAUAAUCAUGGGAUUUAAGACCAUAAAGCUUCAAAUUUUCCAUUGACACAAGUUUUAUGAAGUUAGAGGACUAUCCUUCAAGGACUUUCAAGUCAACUAAGGUUUGAUAUACCACUUUUUUCUCUAUCCUAGAAAGUGUGUAGCAUGUAGGUGGGAGGCAAGUCUACUUUAAGUCAAAUUUUGGUGCCAAUUCAAACCUUAUGCCCAUCUCCAUAAGAUCCAACCCAAAAUUGAGUUCAUCUUUUAUUUUCCUGGAAUGUUAAGCAAGGUGCCAAUGAUGCUUUCGCACACAUUUUUCUCAAUUUGCAUAACAUCUAAUUUGUAAUCGACAUACAAAUGUUUCCAAUAUUCUAGAUCAAAGAAUAUGGGCUUCUUUUUCCAACAAAUUGUAGUAUUCACAUUAGAAGUACUUGCUUUAACCUUCUUUUUUCCCCAUGAUUAAAAAUGGAAUCAACUUCUUCUAGUAUUUCCUCUCUAGUUAAUGGUUAUGGAGGUAGCCCAAACUCUUGCUAACCAUUGAAUGCCUUCUUUUGUUUCCUAUAAGGAUGGUUAUAUGGAAGAAACCAUCUAUAACCUAUAAACAAGUUCUUCUUCCCAUGUUUCGAUCUACAAGAAUAUGUUUCUUUCCCACAUAUUGGUAAGCAUAAUGUCCCUUAACAUGAACAACUCUCGUUAAUGUGCAUCAUAUACUUUGACUCUUACCUCCCAAAGAGUUUUAAGAGCUUCCACCAAUAGUGCCAAGUAAACAUCUAUGUCAUUUCCAGGUUAUCAUGGAUUUGAUAUCAAUAAUGAUAACAUCAUAAAUUUCUAUUUCAUGCACAACCAUGGUGGAAGGUUAUAUGCGAUCAUUAUAUAUAAUUGACUAAAUACUAUGACAACUACUAAGAGAAUUGUGAGGAUUUAUGCCAUCUAUUAAAAUAGUAAGUCUAAGUUUUCUAGUCUUAGAAACAAACCUGGGCCAUAAAUGGUCAACUAGCUUCCAUGAUGGAGAAUCAAAUGGGUAAUGCAAAUUCCCAUCAAAAUUUCUUUCUUGGGCAUGCCAUGUGAGAUUUUUUUUACUAUUUGUGAGGAUUGGAAUGUUUUUUUAAACCUUGAGAUAGGUGGAAAAUACCACAAGACUUUUGCAGGAACACUUAUUCUCCUUUUGUUUCCUUUUUUACUUACCUUCUACCUUGAUGUUCCACAAGUACAACAUAAUGAUACAUUUUUAUGCUUAUUUCUAUAAAGAUAACAAUCAUUAGGGCAAACAUGUAUUUUUUCAUAUUCCAUUCUCAAUGCAUUUAAGGUUUUUUUUUUUUUUUUUUUUGCUUCAUACAUGCAUUUCAUUGUUGAUUGGGAGUGUAUCACUUAACAUUUGAAGUAACUCUAAAAAAAUUUUGUCAAACCACACAUAUCUUACUAUCAAGUUAUACAAUUUUACCAAUGCAGAUAACUUUAUAAACUUUGAACAAGCAAGAUAUAAAGGUUUUUUAGCAUCUUCAAGUAGUCUUUUAAAUGAUUAGGGAUCCUUCAUAUAAUCAUCUUGUGCAGCAUAGACCAUCUAAAUGGUAUUGUCUAAAUCAUCACAAUUAAGUUGAUCAUAAUGAUAUCCUUCACAGUUGUUGCUUCCUUACUAAGAACUACCUCUCCAUGCUAAUACCGUGUGCAGUAACUUUGAUUAAUUCCAUUGAAAUAUAAGUGUUCUCUAAUCACUUGAGGAGUAUGGUUCAUUAAGUUGCUAUAAUGUAGGCAUGGACAUCUAAUAUAGUUCAAAUCUCUAGCAUUUAGACUUAUAAAUUGAAUAAAGCUGUCAACCCCUUCUUCAUACUCUUGUGAUCUUCUAUCCUUAGACUACAUCCAAGAUCAAUCCAUUUUUGGGUUGAUUCAACUAAAUUCCUAUAUAACACAAGUUGCAUGAUUUAUUAAUUAUUAAUUCCUAAACCAAACAAGGAUAUAAAUUGAGCUAUACAACUAAUAAAUAAAGUAUUAAAACACGAAAUAGCAUCAUAAUUGUACCUAUAUUAUAGCACAUGCAACCACCUACAUAUGUUCAAUCUUAAACACUUAAUGUUACUUCAUUCAAUAUAAAUUAAAUAAAUGCAUAACUUCAUUUAUUAGCAUGCAAUAAAUUAUCAAUAGAAUGUAUGGGGAUAAUACCCUAAUUAGUAUUAGUGAUAAAUCAUAUCCCAUGAUAAUCCAUUAUGUAAUAUAAAUACUAAAACAAGAUAGGAAGACUAAGAACUUAACUAAUUUAGCAUCAUACAACUAAAUCUAAAGUACCCAAUUUUAUUGUGUUCACUAAAAGAAAGAAGUAGUAGAAAAUUAAUUUACUUUGCAAUUCUAUAUGAUCCAAGUGUAUAUAGUAUAUCAAAUCCUCAAGUAUGAACUCUCACUACAAGAAAUAAGUUUUUAUUAGUUGGAUUCUCAAAAUUAAGAUACUAUUAAUGUAUAUAGAUUCCAUGAAAAUGCUUGUCUUCACAAGGUUGGAAUUUCUAUCCCAUCUAAGAAUUGUAUGUUUUUAAAAUAUUACACAAAGAAGCAAAAUUUAAAAUUGUCAUGAAAAUUUCAACAACAUUUCUCUCCUAUUCUCGUAGAUGAGCCCAAAUUCUCAAUGAAAAUCCUUAAUCAUGUUUUUUAAGUAACUUUGUAAAUUUGGAAUGGCUAAAUGCAGUUUCUAUAUUUUUAUCUACUAGAAGCCUUAAGUUAUAAAAUUGAACUAAUAAAUGGGUUAGGUCAUGAUUGGGAAGCUUGUUUUAGAUCUACCAUCUAUAUUAUUUUAUUUUAAUGGAGCCCAAACUAAAUAGGGAACCCAACCAUCUACCACAAUACCAUGUCAUUUUACUAAUAUGGCCUUUGUUUAUUGGUCAAAUUGGGUCCUAUUUGUUUGUACAAAUUGACACUGUAUGUGGAGUGCAGUGUUCAAUAGUUGGUGAUCCAUUUCAUAAUUUUAAAAUAAAGAAUUUGUUUGUUGAUAAAACAACAACCAUCCACCACCCAUUCAACUAACAAGAUUUAAGAUUAUUGUUUCUUUCCUAUGGGUGAUAAUAAAAAUAAAAAAAUUAAGCCCUAAUACAAUGAAAAUAGAAAAAAAAAAAUUGAAUAGUUUGAUUUUAAGAAAUUAUUAAACAAAAUGAUGAAAAUUGCUAUUGGAAUUCACCAAUUAAUCAAUUCUUCAACUACCACAAUGAUUCCCAAACAAUAGACAAAUCCUAAGUCUAAAGGUACCGUUAUGUCAUCUAAAAAUCCAAAAUAUUUAUCCAAACCUAAACUCUAAAACCCAAUGUGUUUCAAACCUCAUCUUAGUAGGAUUUUUUUUUUAAACAUUAUUUUAAAAAAUUAUAAUUAAAGCAUUGUUGUUUAAAAAAUAAAUAAAAAAAUACAACACUUUUCAUCACUUGUUUUAUUUUUGCACUAAACUCGUAUUUGUUCAAGAGGCGAAAUCACUUUUUAUAUUGAAUUGAAAGACGAGUUCACUUUUCACCUUAAAUUUUUCUAUACAGAACUUGCUUUUUCAAAAGAUAAGUUCACUUUUCCAAUGUUGAACUCGUCUUUUGAAAAAUACAACUUCACUUGAAAUCUAAAAAUGUGAUAGUUUAAAAAAAAAUAAAAAAAAAUUGGUGGUACAACCUUUUAAAAAAGUACACUACUCUUGUAGAAAGGCCUAUCUCAAUACUCCUUUGACUACUAGACUCAAUAGAGUGUGACUUGGUAUAUCAUUUUACAUGCAAUGUUAGAUUUAUUUUUUUUAUUUUUUUUUGGUUUUCAUAUUCUCAUAAACCAAAAAUGGAAACUAAUGAAUAAAAAUAAAAAUUAAAGAAAAAAAAAAAGCAUUUAAAAUAUAUAUCAAGAAAGAAAGAUAUUGAUCACCUAUUUCUUUCAACAUAAGUUCCUCUAAGUAAAAUGAUAAGGUUGCCACUAUGGUUUAAUCUCAGGAGGUUUAAGAGCACACAUCUUCAAUACGGGAAGGUUUGAGAGCACAUCUUUAAUAGGGGAAGGUUUGAGAGCACAUCUUCAAUAGGAGGAGGUUUGGGAACACAUCUUUGGUGGGAAAAUAAGAUUGAUAACUUCUUCUUUUUUAAAUAUAUACUGCUAUUAAAAAUGUGAGGUGUUUGUCAAUUUUUUCAUUCCAAAAAUGUCUGACAACUUACCUUUUAAUUCUAAAAAUACUUCUCAUCAAUUUAUUAAUAACAAUAUAUUAAUAUUUAAUAUUACAAAAUGUAUUCUAUUAUCAUAAUCUAUUAGUAUCAAAUGACAUUAUACAUUUUAUUCUCUUUAGAACCUAUAAUAUUCUUUGACUCUUGAUGAUGUGCCUAAGCCCCAUAUUUUCAAUGCCCACAUAAGCCUUUUCUAUCAUUUUCUCCUCUCCAUGGUCACAACAGCUUCUUCUUCAAGCUUUUAGAUUUUUCUUUGCAAAAUUGCCAUCGUAACAUUCCUCUUCGCCACAAAUGGCAGUCGAUUCAAGACUAUGUCUAGAGUUAUGGUCAUGGUUCUGGAAGGUUUGGAUUGAUGAAAGUGUUAUGUUAGGGACAAGAGAGAGCUUCAAUGAAAUGUAAUGUUUUGGGGAAAGCUAAGAAUGACAAUGGUGGCAAAGAAGGUGUUCCUGAAAAGAAGAAACAGUUUGUGUGGUGGUUUCAGGAGGGGUGGUUGUAUUUUCACAUUCAUAGGAGUGACACAUUUGUUGUCAAUUCUUACUUGGAACCCAUACUGAAGGCACAUUUUCUAUGAAUUUCUUUUCCCCUGUUAAUUUAGUUUGGAUGAAUAAACUGUUAUUGUGUUUCAUAAAAGCAAUAUGGAGGGUUGGUUUGGAUAGUGGUGAUACUCCACAUUCAGAUAUGUUUUCCUUUUGUAUUUUGGAAACUAAUGAAUCAUAACAUGCUUAUUGGUGAAAGGAGAUUGUUGUUUAUCCCCUAUUUGUUUAUAGAGAAUGAAUUGUGUUUGUGGAGUUGACAAUUGAAGAUGUUGACUGUGAUUUAAAUCCAAAAAGUUUUAGAGAAUUGGUCAAAUAAAUCUCUGAUAAAUAUAUUUUUUUAAUGAAUUUACAACUCUUAUCUAAGUAAUUUAUCGCAUUGAUGGUAUCUAUGUAUAUCAAUUAUUUGUGUUCUAAUUUAUUGUGAUUCUAUCUCUUGUGUUAUUAAUCAUUUAGGUUAUUGGAUUUUAACAUUUUGAUUUUUAUCAUUUCCCAUAUUUUUAAUUCAUUGCAUUUUUGUUCAUUGUGAAUGUUAUUUAUUUAUUAUUUUAGCACUCAUUGGGUUUUUUGUGAACACAAUUAGGUCAACUGUUGUUGCCAUUAGUGUUUUUGAUGAUUUUGCUUACAUGUUUAUUAGGGAAAUAUUAGAAUUCAAGGUGUUUGGUACAUUUGAGAGGUAAUCCAAUUUAGUAUUAGAGUAUACCUUUUUUUUUUAUGAAUCCUGACUUUUUUUUUAUUGGGAUCAAAAUUUGUUACUUACUCUAGAAAUUUAGUAUUUUUGUAAAUACUUUUAAUUUGUCUAAUUAUAUUUUUUUAUAAGUAUUUAUAACUUAAAGGUUUUACUAAAAAGAAAAUGAAGUUAGUAGUUUUAAAUUGAAAUUAGUCUUAUUUCUUAAGGUUUUUUUCCUUUUUCAUUUUUAGCUUAAUUGAAUCUAGAACUUUCUUGUAAAUUAUAAUUCUAAAAGGAGUUUUAAUUACAACCUAUUAAUAUUUAAUGUUACCAAAAUCUAUUAAUUAUUCCCUUUAAAAUCACCCUAUAACAUUAUAAAAUAUUAUAAUUAAUACAUCAUCUAAUCAACAAUUAAGAAUUACCCCUUCACUCUUCAAAUUUCUUAUGAUGACAGUUUCACUUUUCAUUUCUAAAGUUUGAAAACUUUUUAAAUUUCUGAUAACUUUUUCCUCUUUGAAGAGAAUUAAGAAGUUUUUGUAAAUUGGCACUCCCAAUUUGAAUGAAGUGCUAUUUGGUGAGUUGUUAUUUAGUGUUCUGAAUGAUUUUACUUAAAUGUUUGUGUUACUUAUGAGAAUAAUUUGAUUACUUUGUUGAAUUUUAUUUUUAUGAUUUUGAGCUUUUUAAAACAAUACUCAAUUCUUUGAGUUUGUUGGAUGUGAGUUGGAAGAAAAUUGAAAUUUAAGGUAAUUGGUAAAUUUGAGAGGUAACUAAAUUUAGUAUUCAAGUAUACAUUUUUUUGUAAUGAAUUUUAAUUCUUUAUUUUAUAAUUCAAUGUUUAUUAGAAUUGAAGUUUGCUACUUAUUAUAUAAAUUUAGUAUUUUUGUAAAUACUUUUAAUUUUUAUUAUUUUUAGACAAGUAUUCACAAGUUAAAUCUUUUAAUAAAAAAAAUAAAGUUAAUUGUUUCAAUUGAAAUUUGGGUAAAUGUUUCUAGAGUAUGUUUUUCUUCAUUUUUUGUCUUAUUGGAUCUUAAUUUUAGAAUAAUUAGAACUCUCUAAAAAAUAAAAUCCAUAUUUUUUUUAAUAUAAAUUACCAUUCUAGAGCUAAAUGCAUUUCCUUAUUUUAUAAUUCAAUGUCCAAUAAUAUGCAUAGGAAUUGGACAAUAUAGUUUUUUGUUUUAUAAUCCAAUAUCUAUAAUAAUUGGAAACUAUAGUUCCUUAUUUUAUAAUCCAAUGUCUAUAGAAAUUAGAGAUUCUUAUUUAUGCUAUAAAUUUAGUAUUUUUACACAUUCUUUUAAUUUGUCUUAUUUUGUUUCUUUUAAAUAUUAUCUUUAACCAAUAUUCACAACUUAAAUCUUAUAAUAGGAAAAGUAAAGUUCCUUAUUUUAAUUUAAAUUGAGGUAAGUGUUUUUCAAGAUUUUUUUUUUUUUUUUUUUCAUUUUUAGUUUAGUUGGAUCUUCACUUUGGGAUAACUAGAAUUUUCUCAUAAUUUUUGUUUGUUUGUUUUUUUUAAAUACCAACCACUAUUCUAAAAUGAAUUAAAAAUAACCACAUUUAACAAUUCGAGAAUGAAAUAUCAAGUAUAUUUGAGAGAUCAAAAACAAUUUUUAUUCUUACUAAGAUAUUUGUCUUUUUAUUUGCUCAUGGUUCUUGUUAUUAUGACUUUGUAUUACAUUCCAGAAACAUAUAGUUUUUCCUUGUGUAAAUAAAUUAAUAAAAUUAAAGGAAAUUGACAAGGAAAACAUAAAAAUAAAAAGUAUGUUUGAAUAAAUAAUCCAAUUUUUUUUUUUUUAAUAUUCAUCUACUUUUCAUAAAAUUAGGACAAGUAAAAGUUACAUUUUGUUGUCCCUAAAUUGCAAUGAAUUUAAAUUAACAAUAGAUAACGGGUUUAAAUAAAAUUUGGUACAUAUCAUUGCUAAGGUGACAUUUAUUUUGCCUAACUUAGAAAAAUUGAUUUUAAAAAGAAUUUUACCAUCUAAGAUUUUUGGAAUGGAAAAAUGUAACAUUAUUUAUAUUUCAUCUCAGUCCUUUUUCCUUUCUAUUUAUAUUUCAACCCAAUCAUUUUUUUUCCUUUUUUAUGUCUAGUUUGAUUAUUUGACUUUGAAUCUCUUCUUAGUUUCAUACAAGGAUUUUAAAAGAAUAAAUUCACAUAUUUAAUUUUUUUUAUUGGAUUUGUUUUCAUAUUACCUAAUCUACGUCGCAUGUGAACACUUCCUAACAUAUAUAUAUAUAUAUAUAUAUAUAUAUACACAUAUGUAUGGAAGAGUAAGAUGACUGUUUCAAAGAAUCAUUUUUAUAAAAAUGACUAUUUAGAAGAGUUAAGGAGCAAGUCUUUGAGGGGAAAUAAAAUCAAUAGUAAAAGAAUAGGAUGACGUUUCGAAAGAAUCAUCUUUAUAAAGAUGACUAUUUAAAAGAGUUAUGGUCUCUUUCCCAAAGUAGAUAUUUAAUUUGAGAACGAGUGGGAAAAUAAAAUUAAUAGCAAUUUGCCUUUUAAUAUUUACAUAAAAGGGAAAGGAUAGGAUGAUUUUUUCAAAGAAUUGACUUCACAAAAUAGAUAUUUAAAUUGCAAAGUCAUUAUUUAUCAUAUUAAUUAAAGAUAAUGAAUUUUUUUUAAAAAAAGUCAUUGAAACAACUGUCAUUAUCUCCUUUUUUGUUGUAGUGACUUUGGAUUUACUAUUAGAUACAUAAUUAACAAAUCAAAGGAUUGAGUGCAAUUAAUUACAAUAGAUUUUUUUGUAGAUAUUAGAAUGUUGAUAGAGGCUGGACAAAAAGGAGGUAACUAGGAUUAAGGCAUAAUGGAGUAUUCCACAGUGAAGGCCAAGAACAGGGAAGAAAAAAUGAGUCAGCUGCAGGUGUUAACCUGCUCUGAUACCAUGAGGGAAAAUAAGAAGGGGAAUAAUUGGUAUAUAUUUUUCUCUAUCUACUGAUGGAAUGAAAAAGCAUCCUAGCCUCCUACGAGGGUCUAACCUUGUGAUUCUCCACUGUAUCAUAUCAGGGUGAUCCAUGGCUUGGUAGUCUUUUCCCUAAAACCUCUUCAUAUUGGCUCGUAACCGAUUCAAAAUUCACGAAAUUCAUAUAGAUCGUUCAAUGAAGUCCCCUAAUCAAGUUCAAGGUAGCCUUUGGUUAUUCUGAAAAUAGAUUUUUUUUUUUUGUUUUUUGUAGGUAUUAGAAUGUUCAUAGGGGCUGGACAAAAAGGAGGUAACUAGGAUUAAGGCAUAAUGGAGUAUUCCACAAUGAAGGCCAAGAACAGGGAAGAAAAAAUGAGUCAGCUGCAGGUGUUAACCUGCUCUGAUACCAUGAGGGAAAAUAAGAGGGAAUAAUUGGUAUAUAUUUUUCUCUAUCUAUUGAUAGAAUGAAAAAGCACCCUCCUACCAGGGUCUAACUUUGUGAUUUUCCACUGUAUCAUAUCAGGGUGAUCUGAACAAAUAACCUUGUUUUAACAAUUAGUCAUCCAUGGCUUGGUAGUCUUUUCCCUAAAACCUCUUCAUAUUAGCUCGUAACCGAUUCAAAAUUCACGAAAUUCAUAUAGAUCGUUCAAUGAAGUCCCCUAAUCAAGUUCAAGGUAGUCUUUGGUUAUUCUGGAAAUAUGACUAAUCUACUUCAGUACAAAAUGUUGAAGUUACAGAAGAAACAAGCCAUGCAUAAAUCACCCACACCCCUCUUCCAAAUUAACAAGCCAUGCACAAAUCAAAUUCCCAUACAUCAAUAUUAUUUUACAUGUCUUUUUAACAGACUGAAUUCAUUAAGACAGAAGAGUACAUAACUCAGAGGUGAAUCCUACACAGCCACUUCUACAGAACCCCAAAGAUGUAAAAGGUCAGGAACAGACACCCAAGCACAAAUGCAGAGGUUGAAAGCUCUGAGGAACUGGGUAGCACCAAAUAAAUGCCAGAAGUAAAUGCUAUCACCAUUCCUAGGAUGGAAACGUAUGUGAGUAUGGCUG
rnacentral:lncRNA from 1 species